rnacentral:lncRNA from 1 species
UUUUUUUUUUUUUUUUUUUCUUAAGAGAAAAAAAUGUACUGUGAAAUUUGAGCGCGUGAUAUCUGUAGCUAAAGACAAUGACGUGUCAGGCCCUAAUGGUAAGUAAUCGGGCUCAAAACUUACACCCAGUUCUGGAAUUUCUUUCAGCGACAAAUGGUCAAUUUUGCCCCCGAAUUUAUAUUAAAUAAUAAUACAUUAGAUUUAAUUUUUUUUAGUGAACAGUUCUCUAAAUUUACAUUAAGAAUCAAAUAUAAUCAGUAUAAAUGUCUUUAGCAAAUAAUUUUUUGAAUUUGUGUUCUUGAGUCAAAUCCAUUUAAUUUAAAAAUAAUAUUUAUUUUAUUAAUUUACUGAUAUAAUAUUUAGUGAUGUACUAUACAACAGCAUAUUUAAAAAAAAUUUAAAAUUUAAAAUUAAUUACCUCAAAAAAUAAAAAAUUAUAAGUCUAUUUAUUUCAAAAGUUGAAAUUUUUCAAAAGUUAAAAUUUAUCUUAUUUAAUACUUGUUACUUUUGUGCUAAUUAAAUUUAAAUUUUAAAUUUUUUUGAAUAAACUAUUGCACUAUAUAUUAUAUCAGUAAAUUAAUAAAUGAAUAUUAUUUUAAAUUUUUAUAAUUAAUUAAAAAUUUAAAAAAUCUAAUAUUAUUUUAUUUUUUAAAAAAUAUAAAUUGAACGUAUUGAACCAUUAAAUAUAAAUUCAGAAAGCUAUUUAUUAAAAAAAAUUAAAUUAGAAAUAUAUGAUCCUCAAACAUAAAUUCAAGAAGUAAAUUGACCUCUUAUCCUUUAUUUUAGUGACUUUUUUUUGUUUUUUUGGUUUUCCUUAUAAUUAUUUUUUGAAAAAAUAAAACUAGUAAAAGCUUACAAAUUUAUAGAUAUAAAUAUUCUAUAAUAAUACCAAUCUACCUUCAAUGUUCUGAUUUUGAAUUUAGAAAAAUGAAUCAAUUGAAUAUAUUUUCAUUUGUUACUCGGAGUUUUGAUUUAUUCCGAAAUAUGAAAAGGUGAUAAAAAUUCUAACUGAUGUCUAAUCUUCUAUAAAUAAAAUAAAUAGAUAAGUAAAUAAAUAUUAAAUUAAUUGAUUAUAGCUAGUCCUUUUAUCGGACAUGUUAUUUGUCAGCACAUUGAUUUUAAUCUAAAAAAACAAAAUAAAAAAAAAACAAAAAUUCAACUAUAACCUGCUACAUUUGAAAUGGUAAAAGAAUAAAAAUAAAAAUACAACAUGGUAGCCUUUGGAAUAAAAUUACACAGUUGAUCUGCAUGAUUCUCUAGUUUUGCAGCAGGGUUUUAACUCAACUUGUUGCAGCAGAUGCUCUCUUGGUUGGAUUGUACACACUGAAUUCACCAAAUUCCCUUCUGCCACUGGCAAAAACAGCGCUCACUAUCAAAUCCUUUGGACAAAUAAAGACUAGUUUCAGUGGCUUAGUUUAAGCACAUAUCUAUAGCAAAUGAAAGAUUUGAAUUAUAUAAACACAAAUCUCAAAACAUGUAUAGGAAAAUUGACAAGUAGAUAUAACCAUGCUUGCACAUCUCCAUGGUAAUUAGGCAUAUGCAAAUGCAGCUUACCAAUAUAGUGCUUUGUGUGUUAUGUUCUGGACAUUGUCUAUAAAGAGCAUGACAUAUUGCAAUUCUAUCCAAUGGCAACACUACUGUUGCAAGCUUACAAGUGAACUAAUUGUAGGUGUCAACUUAAAAAGUCCCUGAAAUGAAUCUUCUUUCAGAAGAAUUUGCUGGUGCUAGAUGCAUUGAGUUAGUGGUGAUGGCAUCUCAAGGUAUGGAAUGGCGAGGGUCUGAUCUGGGGCAAUAUAAAUCUUGUAAAAGCAUGAUCGUGGUUCACAUUACUUGCAUGAUGAAGCAACAUACCUGUGCAUUACAUCCCAGCCAGCAGGUAAGAAACGAGGAUGAACUGCCUCAACAAAAACUUGUCUCCAUCUCUGACAAAAUUCACGAAUGCCGUCGUCCCCAUAUUCUUUCAGUAAAUGCUCCACAACUUGCUUUCCAUGUGGUCCAUGUCCUAAUAGAGAUAAUUUUGAAUUAUUUUUGGACAGGCCAUGUCCACCAUGUGUAGGAUAAUUUGAGCAAACUAUUCCAUUUGGUGGAUUGAUUUCACAGGUAUCACCAUCAUUUCCAGCACAGAUUUCUUUUCCAUCAGAAACUUCAUUUUCAUUGGAAUUCAUAUCCUUGUGAGCAGCAGCAGAGACAUCUGCAACUUGUAGAUUAGAAGAGACACCCACAUCAGGGUCUGUUGUUUUGAAGAAGUCUUGAUCUUCUUUUACUUCAGUUCGUAGCUCUGAGUUGAUAGUUUGUGAACUAUCUGGAGUAUCAGUUAUAGAGUUGUUCUCAACAGAAGAUUUCACCAUGGUAACAUCAUGCACCAAUUCGUUGUUCGAACAAAUAUUAUUGGCAGAACGUUUCAAAGACAAUCCUCUCUUCUUCUCAAAUCUUCUUCUCUCAUGGGGACUCAUUCCAACCAGCAAAGCUCUUUCCAAAUCUUCCUGUGAUAUUUCCCUUCCUCCAUAAUAUUGUGUAACAAUCUACAAAAAGAAAAAUAUUCCCCAUGAAAAGCUAUAUUUCUCGCAUAACACAAAUAACCAGCUGAUAGCAUCAUAUGUAUGAUGGUUGCAUGAAAAAUUUAAGGGAUAAGUAUAUAAAAGUACCUUGUGGUUUCAUCAUUUUACAAUUUUCAAUAUAUGUGGUUUUUUUUUUAGACAAAAAGAGACACGUGGUUAUAAAUCGUGACAAAAGAAAAUAUUUUACCGUUAAAAAAUCUCGAUUUCCAAGGAUUUAGCCAUCUUUACUCUGAUCAGUUAUUAUUAUCAUAUUUCUCGUGUUUGAUAAUAUGAGUUUAGAAUUUAACUCCUCAAAACGUCAUUUUUUUACUAUUAAAUCGAUAUCAUCGAACUAAUGACUUCUUAAAUCGUGAUUUAACAAUCAAAUAUUAGAAUUAUGAGUUGUUAAGCUCCAAACUCGCGUUAUCAAACACAAACAACAUUGAUAAUGUAGAAUUAUAGAGAGAUUUAUGUUUAAAGAUCUGUUAGCAAUAUUAGGGGCUAAUAUCUAGGAGAUCUACAGCUAACAGAUCAGUUUUUCUUAUCCCAUGAUUUUAGGAGAUUUGGUAGUCUGUUACCAAAUCUGUAGAUAUAAGUUUCCUGUUUUAUAGCUUUCAGUUUUAGGUAUAUAAAGAAGGGCCUGUAACCUUAUUUUUAAUAUAAUGGAAUCUUACUCUUUCCUUCCACAAACAAGUUGGUAUCAGAGCAAUCUCUGAACCCUAAUUCCCUCAUAUGACCAAAUACGGGAAACGUGAUUCAAGAGCUACCGUUUCCCAAAUCACCUCCAAUCAGGAAGCCAUGGCUUCCAAUAAUGAUAGUAACCUCAUGCCCAUUACAGGACACAAACUGAAUGGGAACAACUAUCUCCAAUGGUCCCAUUCCGUAAUAAUGUUCAUAUGCGGAAAGGGCAAAGAUGAUUAUCUCACCGGAGAUGCUGCCAAACCAAACAAGACGGAUGAAAAGUUCAAAGUCUGGAAUGCCGAAAAUAAUAUGGUCAUGUCAUGGCUCAUUAAUUCCAUGACAAAUGACAUUGGAGAAAACUUUCUUCUCUAUGGAACAGCAAAGGAGAUUUGGGAUGCUGCCAAGGAAAUAUAUUCUAACAAUGAGAAUACAUCGGAAUUAUUCGAGGUGGAAAGUGUUCUUCAUGACUUCCGCCAAGGAGAAUUAACAGUGACUCAAUACUUCAACACUCUCAAUCGGUAUUGGCAGUAGCUAGACUUAUUCGAGGAGCACAAUUGGAGCUGUCCGAAUGAUGGAAUCAGGUAUAGACAAAUAAUUGAACGGAAAAGAAUAUACAAAUUUUUGAUUGGAUUAAAUAAGAACCUUGAUGAAGUACGAGGAAGAAUUUUAGGAUCCAAACCACUACCAAAUAUCUGAGAAGCUUUUUCAGAAGUUCGGAGAGAGGAAAGUCGAAAGAAGAUCAUGAUGGAAUCUCAAGAUUCUAUGACAAAUCCUGAGAGUUCAGCACUUGUGGUGAGAGGGAAUCCAUCCAACAACAACAGCGAUCACAGACCAAAGAAAGGGCGACCAUGGUGUGAUCAUUGUCGACGUCCUGGUCACACCAAGGACAACUGCUGGAAGAUUCAUGGCAAACCAGCAGAUUGGAGGCCUUCCCGGUUUGCCAAUGACAAAGAAGGACGAGGCAACCUUGCUUCCAUGGAUGAACAACCUCCACCCGAACCAACUCCCCUUCAGCAAGGAACAGAUAGAGAUCUGCAGAAAAUGUUCAGCCAAUCCUUGCCUGCACCAGCUCCCACUGUAGUUGGUACCGGAUCCCUGGCACAAAAAGGUAAUUUUUUAAGUGCUCUAAAUGCUAACAAGGAGAGGCUCAGUCCAUGGAUUAUAGACUCAGGAGCUUCUGAUCAUAUGACUGGAGAUGAGAAGCUAUUUUCAACUUACACCCCAUGCUAUAAAAAUUUAACUGUGCGAAUAGCUGAUGGUUCACUCUCAAAGGUGGCUGGUACAGGCUCGGUUCAAAUUUCAGAGAACAUCACUCUUGAUUCUGUUCUACUUGUACCAAAAUUAAAUUGCAAUUUACUGUCCAUUAGUAAACUCACUCGGGAUCUCAACUGUGUUACUAAAUUUGGCUCAAAUCUGUGUGUAUUUCAGGUCUUGGACUCAGGGAAGACGAUUGGCAGUGCUAAGAUGUGUUCGGGGCUCUAUCUUCUAGAGGUUAAUGAUCCUCCUCAAGAAGCAAUUCAUCAAUCAGAUUGUUCAGUGUCCAGUAGUCCUGUUUCUUUGUCUGCGAGUCAGUCUAAUAAUGAUAGUGCAAUUAUGUUAUGGCACUAUAGGUUAGGUCAUCCAAAUUUCUUGUAUCUUGAAAAGUUGUUUCCUUCAUUAUUCCAUAGUAAAAAUCCAAAUGAAUUUCAAUGUGAGAUCUGUCAAUUCUCUAAACAUAUUCGCAAUUCUUAUCCUAACAGAUUCUACAAAGCAUCUCAACCUUUUUCCAUGAUUCAUAGUGAUAUAUGGGGCCUUUCUAGGAUAAAAAAUGUUACUGGUUCUCGCUGGUUCAUUUCAUUUAUUGAUGAUCACACUAGACUCACAUGGGUAUUCCUCAAGAAAGAAAAAUCUGAGGCAAACCAGAUCUUCAAAACCUUCAAUACCAUGAUCCAAACACAAUUCCAAACAAAAAUUCAAAUUCUGAAAACUGACAAUGCCAAAGAGUAUUUUAAUUCCAGCCUUAAUGAUUAUCUCAUGAGUCAUGGUAUUGUUCACCAAAGUUCCUGUGUUAACACUCCUUAGCAAAAUGGUAUUGCCGAAAGAAAAAACCGGCAUCUUCUUGAUGUGGCUCGAUCUCUUAUGUACUCUACCCAUGUACCAAAAUAUUUCUGGGGUGAAGCCAUCCUUACUGCUGCAUACCUCAUAAAUAGGAUGCCAUCUCGGAUUCUUAACUUCCAGACUCCCUGUCAAAUUCUCCUUCAGUACUUUCCCACUACUCGUCUCAUCUCCACCAUCCCAUUCAAAGUUUUCGGGUGUUCAGCUUUUGUUCAUGUCCAUCAACAACACCGGGACAAACUUGAUCCUAGAGCUCAUAAAUGUAUUUUCCUUGGGUACUCUCCAACUCAAAAAGGAUAUAAAUGCUACUCACCGGUCACUAAACAAUUCUAUCACUCCAUGGAUGUCACAUUCUUGAGCAACAACCUUAUUUCCCCAAAUCUGAUAUUCAGGGGGAGACUAAUUUUAUCCUAGACUAUCAGCUUUGGGAUAUUGAAGAAUCACCUCAUGUCUCUCAUAAUUCUGACCAAACUUGCCCAUCACUAAAUCAUGAAUCACUUCCUCCUCAAAAUCUCUCCCUUGAGUCUUCUUACUUCCUAGAACCUCCUACUCAAGAUCAAGCCAACAAUCCACCUCAAAAUCUGGACACACCUCAAAAUCUGGACACUAUUCAAUCAACAAAGAGUGAUGAAUUGAUUACCUACUCAAGGAGGAGAAAGAACCAAAAGGAGAUGGAACAACAAGCAUCUCUUGAGCAAACCCAAGAGUCUGACUCAAGUCCUAGAUCAAGUGAAGAUCCACCAGGUAACACUAAUCCUGAAACUAAUGAUGACAGUGGCCUUCCUAUUGCUGUGAGAAAAGGGGUAAGAUCAUGCACAAAACAUCCGAUAUACACAUUUGUGUCAUAUGAAGGAUUGUCACCGAAGUUCAAAGCUUUUGUUGCCAACCUCGACAACAUCCAAGUUCCUAAUAAUAUACAAGAAGCUCUCAGCUCACCAGAAUGGAAAUCAGCAGUGUAUGAAGAAAUUCAUGCACUAGAGAAAAAUGGAACUUGGGAAAUCUCUGACUUACCAACCGGGAAACGCCCAGUAGGCUGCAAAUGGAUCUUCACAGUAAAAUAUAAUGAAGAUGGGAGUGUUAAUCGGUUCAAGGCACGACUGGUUGCAAAGGGAUUCACCCAAUCAUAUGGAAUCGAUUAUGAGGAGACAUUUGCUCCAGUAGCCAAGUUAAACACAGUUCGGGUUUUAUUAUCUUUGGCUGCAAACCUUGACUGGCCUCUCCACCAACUAGAUGUCAGAUGCCUUUCUAAAUGGGGACUAACUGAGAGAUCAAGCCAACAAUCCACCUCAAAAUCUGGACACACCUCAAAAUUUGGACACUAUUCAAUCAACAAAGAGUGAUGAAUUGAUUACCUACUCAAGGAGGAGAAAGAACCAAAAGGAGAUGGAACAACAAGCAUCUCUUGAGCAAACCCAAGAGUCUGACUCAAGUCCUAGAUCAAGUGAAGAUCCACCAGGUAACACUAAUCCUGAAACUAAUGAUGACAGUGGCCUUCCUAUUGCUGUGAGAAAAGGGGUAAGAUCAUGCACAAAACAUCCGAUAUACACAUUUGUGUCAUAUGAAGGAUUGUCACCGAAGUUCAAAGCUUUUGUUGCCAACCUCGACAACAUCCAAGUUCCUAAUAAUAUACAAGAAGCUCUCAGCUCACCAGAAUGGAAAUCAGCAGUGUAUGAAGAAAUUCAUGCACUAGAGAAAAAUGGAACUUGGGAAAUCUCUGACUUACCAACCGGGAAACGCCCAGUAGGCUGCAAAUGGAUCUUCACAGUAAAAUAUAAUGAAGAUGGGAGUGUUAAUCGGUUCAAGGCACGACUGGUUGCAAAGGGAUUCACCCAAUCAUAUGGAAUCGAUUAUGAGGAGACAUUUGCUCCAGUAGCCAAGUUAAACACAGUUCGGGUUUUAUUAUCUUUGGCUGCAAACCUUGACUGGCCUCUCCACCAACUAGAUGUCAAGAAUGCCUUUCUAAAUGGGGACCUAACUGAAGAAGUGUACAUGGAAAUUCCCCCCGGAUUUGAGACACAAACUACAUGCAACAAGGUUUGUAAACUUAGGAGAUCGCUAUAUGGGCUCAAGCAAUCUCCAAGAGCUUGGUUUGAAAGAUUCACAAAGGUAGUGAAGAAGCAUGGCUACUCUCAAUGUCAGACGGACCAUACACUAUUUGUUAAACACUCUUCUGCAGGAAAACUUGCUGUUCUCAUAGUGUAUGUGGAUGACAUAAUCCUAACAGGAGACUAUGAAGAGGAAAUCUGCACCACCAAAAGUUUACUAGCUGCAGAAUUUGAAAUCAAGGACCUUGGGAAUCUUAAAUAUUUCCUAGGUAUGGAGAUUGCAAGGUCAAGAAAGGGAAUCUCUGUCUCACAGAGAAAAUAUGUCCUAGAUCUCUUAAAAGAGACUGGAAUGCUCGGGUGUAAGCCGGUAGAUACUCCUAUGGAUCCACUAUCAAACUAGGAGCUAAGGAAAAUUGUGCACCCGUGGACAAAGGAAGAUACCAAAGAUUAGUAGGUAAACUAAUAUACCUAUCUCACACACGACCAGACAUUGGAUUUGCUGUUAGCAUGGUAAGUCAGUUCAUGAACAAUCCAAAUGAAGAACACAUGGAAGCUGUGUAUAGAAUCCUGAGAUACCUGAAACUAACACCAGGCAGAGGAUUAUUUUUUGAGAAGAACCAAAGAAGAGAUAUUGAAGUGUUCAGCGAUGCAGAUUGGGCAGGAUCAGUUCAAGACCGAAGAUCAACUUCAGGAUAUUGCACUUUUGUGUGGGGAAAUUUGGUCACUUGGAGAAGUAAGAAGCAGUCAGUGGUAUCAAGAAGCAGUGCAGAAGCUGAAUUCCGGGCAAUGGCACACGGUAUUUGUGAGGGAAUUUGGUUAAAAAGGGUGCUAAAGGAAUUAAAAAUUUCAGAUGAAGAACCUAUGAAAAUGUUCUGUGAUAAUCAAUCAGCAAUCAGCAUUGCCAAAAAUCCAGUUCAUCAUGAUAGAACAAAACAUGUGGAAAUUGAUCGACAUUUUAUAAAGGAGAAGAUAGAGGAAGGAAUAAUCAAGAUGUUGUACGUGCCUACAUGUCUUCAGACAACAGACAUUCUUACCAAGGUUCUAUCGAGAAAGGUGUUUGAUGAUCUGAGUUCCAAGCUGGGGUUAAUUAAUAUUUACCGCCCAGCUUGAGGGGGAGUGUAGAAUUAUAGAGAGAUUUAUGUUUAAAGAUCUGUUAGCAAUAUUAGGGGCUAAUAUCUAGGAGAUCUACAGCUAACAGAUCAGUUUUUCUUAUCCUAUGAUUUUAGGAGAUUUGGUAGUCUGUUACCGAAAAUUUAAACAGUGAUGCUGCUUUACAUUUCUCUCCCCUAAAUAAAGCAUAUUUGCAACAUAUGUGGAACUAAAUAAUUUCAGUACAAUUUAAAUAGGAAAACCACAAUGUAAUGAUUACCACAGUUAUGAUGUCAGCAGCCUAUGUUGUCCUAUCAAGAAGAGUAACCUUAGACUAAGAAAUUUCCGUCCAAUUAUGAUUAUCAUAGUUAACCUAAAUCUUCCAAAGCCGCUUUUGAAAGGAAAAGGUAGCUGUCUGACAUCCCAUAAGCAUGACACCAAGCCACAAGUAUGUUGCAUCAAGAGAAUCACAAUAUUAUCAUCAGCCAGAAAAUAAAAAAGAUAACGUAGAAUCUAGGUCUUACAAAAUAAACACUCCAAAGAUUGAUUUUUUGCUGGUUCAUCAACAACAGACACUAGUUACUACUGCACUGAGUUUUCUGCUGAAUAAAUAUUUCGUUGCUUAGUUUUUCAUAUUGGACUAAAUCCAAAUCAUUGGUUGAAGGUUGACUUAAUUAAACUAUAUUGCCAUAUUUUUUGCAAUUGGUUGUCAAAAUUUCUUUACCCUAACCACAACAUGAUAAGAUGAGGAAAAAAAAAUUGACAGCCCAAGGCACGGUACAUGUCUCAUUCAUUAAAAAACCAGAUAAAAGGAGAUGAAUGGCUAUAAACUUAGAUUCAGAUUCAGAAAAAUAAGACUAUAUACUGACCUGUGUCAGUUCCUCUCGGCGCUUGGGUGGCAUUCUUGGUCCAUGGCGCAACAGAGCCAUAGCAGCUGUGCGCAAUUGUAAAGGAGAUACUCCAGCCUCCUCGGCAGUCAUCAGUGAUGAAGAUGACUCAGAUAUGAUAGCGCUUUCUUUAGAAUCAACUACUUUCCGAACAAACAAUGGAAUUCCAAAUUCUACAGCUACAUGUCUUUUGUAUUUCUCAGCGGCAGCAUGAGCAACUUCAUGACAGUCCACACAAAGGAGGACAAUAUCAUGAGACCUAUGGCUUUUCAAAUGCUCAGGGAAGUGUAUUCUGUAGCAUGAAGGAAUUAUUCGAUAGCGUAAGUAAUGACUUCCUUCGCCACAGCCGACACAUAUAUUUCUCUUGCUUUGGAUGUAGAAAUCAUUGUCUUCAUCUUCUGGACGGCCCUUAGGCUCAAAAAGAAGCCUGAUGGCAGGAGGGUUUUCAUCAACAAGUAUUGCAAGCUCUCGAUGGAGGUACCUAUAAUGCAAUAACCAGGAAGCAUUAAGAGCAGCAAGUUUCUAGUUUCUAGAACAAAGAUUUUAGAAUUUUCAGCCACUAACCAUUCAAGCUUUCUUCGAUCACAGUAACAAAGCAAACGUCCAUCAUUUGCAUAGAUCCUACAAUUAUGAUAUACUGGAGAUUUGCAAGAGAACUUCUGGACAAACAAUUCUCGUGAACGUGAAGCCUUCCGAGCAACUUGCUUAGAACUUUUAAAUCCAUUUUUCUUGGACAUUGAUCUAUUUGUUAAUCUCACAUCACAGCUAAUGAGUAAUGCAUAAUUAUAAACAGACAACGGGCAGCUCCCAUUUGGACCCAGGCAUUUUUGCAAAAGCAGUGAGAAAAUAUCAUCAAGGUUGCUUUUAUUCUCCUGGAUUAAGCAACAAAAAUCAUAAAAAUGGCUGCAAACAACAGGGGAUGGAGAUGGCUGAGACGAAAUACAAUUCAUUGGAUCCAUAUUAUCAGCUUGAGCUAUGGUGUCAUAUAUUUCCAUUGCAUUUGUUGAAACCUUGUUCGCAAGUGAAACAAUAGCCUGGUCUGAUAAUACAAACCUUAAGCCCUCAUCAUGUACACGAGCCUGAAAGGAAAUCCAACGCACAUGAUUUGAUUAGACAACAAAAAUGCAAAAACAAAUCCCACACUGAAAGAAUGCAACAGGUGCAAUAUUUGCAAUAAACUACAAAUUUGGGAAAGAAGCCCUAGGAAAAUUCUCUUGAAAGCACCUAAUAUAAUAUUAAAUAUCCAGCUACCACAGUUAACAGCAAGGGGGCAAAUGGCUGGACAUUACCGAGUUCUAAGUAUUAAUUCAAUAAUUAGUUCUAAGUCCUAUAACUCAACUAGUUAAUCAAGAAGGUAUUUGCAGAGAUACUUUAACUCAACUAGUUAAUCAAGAAGGUAUUCGCACAGAUAUUCCAACUCAACUAGUUAAUAAAAAAGGUAGUUUAAGGAUAGGGGAAGGUGACAUUUAUCAGUUCAUACUCAAAGGUCUAGACAAGCUGAUGUCGUGAUCUCCAUAUAUCCAAUAGUAUAUAACUUAAUUAUUAAGCCAUAACUGCGUAUACCAAUUUGCAACAGAAUGAUGCUACUAUCCUUUUUAGUCCUAAACAUUAAAUUAUUUUGCUAGGCACUUGAUAGCCAGAAGACCAAGAAAAUUACUUCUAGGAGGGUGCACUAGCAAUUAUGAGUCAUCACCAUAAGAUUAGCAUCCUUUGGAUCCUGCAUGGUGGUGCCAUGGCUAAAAGCAUGGUUAAAAUGUGACAAGCAUUUGAUUGCAAAUACUUCUAUCUUAUGCUGUCAAAAACUAGAGGAAAGUUUUUUGAAUAGACCAUCAGUAUGAAACAGAACCUAAGCUAAAAGGCAAGCAAUAAGUUCUUUGUUUUUAAAGAUCUGAUUCAGAGAUUAAACUAUAUGUCGCCAUUAAGCAGGUUUCACAUAGAUAUAUAUAUGACUAGGUAAUCUUCUGUUCUUCUGAUAUGAAACGGCGAGUAAUUUUCUUAUAAGAGGCGAAAAUUAUUCAACAUUAAGAUGCCAACAAACAAAAUAAAGUUAACACUUCUUUUUUUCCAAAUCCUAAUAACCAAAAUGCAGUAAUGCUAUUCUCCAUCAACAAAUAUUACUGAAAUAGUUCACUGACCAUCAAUUCUCUCCACGUGCACAAGCGUCUCACUAGAUCCUGAAAUUAACAUUGUAACAUUAGUAUGUGUUAAAAGUUACUCAAAAUGGCCUGCUCUAAUAACCAUACACAGAGUAGCACACCUGUAUCUCACAUGAAACUGAUGAACCUCCUUGAUCAUUCAAAUAACGAGAAAAAAGUGAUGAUGCAGCAGCAUCACCCGGAAAUUCUUCAACCUCUUUUGUGUAUAGUUGCAUACAAAUCAUGUUUGAACGGCGACUAGCCUCAAGAAUAAACUUUAAUUUGACAUCCGGAUAAGAAUAUGAAUUAUCUGGUGCAUUAACAUGUUUAGCUCCUUUAUGCUAUGAGGAACAGCUGAUAAACAUUUGAAUGGUAAUCGACAUAUAAAUGUGUAAUGCAUGAGCAAGGACCAAAGUAACUUUAUUAUUUUUAACCUACACUCUUCUGCUAAUAUUCCUUCUAGAAGCAAGCCCCUAUCCUCUUUCCCCAAAUACCAAAGAAGCAUUUGAAUCUCGAUAAACAAUAUUUAUUGUUUUAGAUUUUAAUAAUUUGUUAGUGAUGCAAUCAUUUCAUUUUUCUCAACAUCUAUAAAAAUACUCAAGAUAAAAACAAAGGCUGAAAAAAGAGCACAUUAUAUAGACAUACCAUUGUCUUUUUGUUUGAGCUCAGCGAUUAAACAACUUGCAAUAUACAACAGAUAAUGUGCAUCUGUUAGAGCAUAUUGUAACAUCUCUGCAGGCAAUGGGCGCUGCCUCCAGUCUUCACGCUACAAUUCAACAUGAGAAACUAUUUCGUGAUUCAUAACAAAGUCAUCAAAUAUAUGAAAAGGUCGCGGAGUUCUCUCAGAAGAGAUAACUAAUAAGCUCCAUCACAUGGAGCAAGAUGCAUAAGCUUUAGAAGUUUCAACCCCAAACCUGUAGUAAUUUGUUGGUGGAUACACCACAAUAAGUUUCAAGCAAGUAUGCCAGUGAUUUCUGUGGCUUUGACAGAACUUCACAUGCCUGUGAUAUAAAGUACCAUAUAAUUGCAGUGAGUCGUAACAGUAUCUUUUUAAUAAUUAAAGCACUAAUUCUAUAGAUAAGGAUUCGCCAAUAUAAAAUGAUAGUAUGACAUUUAACAUUCGCUCAUGCAAACAAAUAACAUAGAACCUCACCUUUGCAGUGUCAAAUAAAUUAACAACAUAAAUAUGGAAGUCUCUUUGCAGCCAAAGUAUAUCGUUAUCACCUCCAUGGAACACCUAGAACACAAAUGUUACCAUCAAUGGCAAGACACAAAACUUGCACUAGAAAUGCUACACACUAAUGAACGUCCUUUCAUGUAACUGCUUAAUGACUUUACCUUGCAAAUUUUAGGAUUUGCAAAAACUGCACCAAGAAUACCCAUUGCAUCAUGCAAUGCAAUUGUAUCCAAUAAAUAAUCUUCCUUCUGAGUGGAAAUCUACUAAUACAAUAAAUUUUCAUCAGAACCGGAAAAAAUACACAAUGUAAGCAAGAGAUAAUUGAAUUGAAAUGCACAUUAUAACCUGAACAAGAGCAGUGAAACCAAGAAAGGAACGUAAGCUAUGCUGCUCAGUAUCAACAGCAAAAACGCUCUGGUUACUCAGUUCAUCAGUUAGCUCCUUUAAUUGAGACUCAGUCUCGACCCAUACAUAAUCAUCCUUCAUUUCCUUCAAAUCCACGAUGCUGUUUAUCUCAAAUCCAAAUUCAAUUCCACUAUUCUCUAUCAAUGCUGAAAUCUCCCUUUCAUAGGGAUGUGAACUCGAAGAAUUUCCUGACAUAGCAUCAAAACCUGAAUACUAAGAAUUAAUAGUUUGUUUGGAAUGUCUAAAAAUGAAAUAAUUCACUUCAAUUCUAUUAUGCCAAAAGUGACCUGAUUGUGCAAGAAUUUUAAUCAAAUUUUAUUUCUUCGAACUUAGUACAAACAAGCCUUUAACUGAAUAAACUGCUACUUACAUGUGUCAAAAAUCCUAUCAUUCAACUCUUUACUGGAAUGAAAACAGCGAUAAACUAUAUCUUUGGAGAAAACAGUACCGUUUUUGUUCCCAUGUAACUUCAAGUGCUUGAACUGAGAGAACGAGUUAUCAGCUAAAACACGCUUGAAAGAACAUUGCGGUUUUUGGUCGGAAUGUAAAUAACAUGAACUUGAACUGCAUUUUUGCCUCUGGCGGCGUCUGUUACGAUACUGCCUCGUGAAAACAAAUGAAAUUGCUGCAAGAGAAACUAUGGCGAUCGCGAUUCUAAUCUUUUCUUUGUACUCCAUUUUUUCUUCUGUUUUCUUCUCUCCGCCGCCAAUGGUGGCGCGAGGGUUUAAGGAGGCGGACGGAGGGGGAAAAUUGAGGUUUAUGCGGUGGCUUGAGUUGAAAUGGGCCAAUAUGGAGGAUUGGGCUUUCGAGGCCCAAGACAAGGUAACCGCUCUUCAGUUUUUCAAAAUUCAGUUACUCAAAGUCUUUAGUUUGAUUGAAGAAAUAGAAAAGAAGAUAAAAACAAUGGAACCUACUAAUUCCCAAGGGAGUGAAGUUGAUUUUCCAAUGGAAGCAAUUGCACUUUCAACUCCACCGAAGACGAAAGCGCCGGCCAAGCAAGAAUCCGAGGACGGCGGAGGAAAUAAAUCCGAAGGAGAAAACAAGACUGCAAAAAGAUUGGGAAAUAUUUUGGUUACAGUAAAGGGGAAAUUUGCAGCAAUUAUAAAACUUGUUGAGGAUAAAUGGCUAAAACAAUGCGGCUUCUCUGCUUAUUCUGACACAACAAGGGCUUACCAGAUUUGGCCAGGGAACAAUGUAUGCCCUAUUUGUUAUGAAAGUUAUACAUUGCAUUGCAUUUUUUGGAAGUCGGUUACUGCCAAUUCUUGAUUUUGGUUUGGUGUGUUUGUGUGUGUAUGUGCAGGUGUUUCUCUUCCAUGGGCGGCUAGUGUGUGGGCCGGAUCCUAGAGGAUUACUGUUGACAACUGUUUCAAUAGUAAUCACAAGUUGGAUCUUUGCUGUGUAUAAUGAUGAUGAUUUACGACUCCAUUCUACUCUUAUUGUCACACUCUCUUUGAUUCUCACAACAAGUGUUCGUCUUUCUUCCAUGGUUUUCUGCUUCGUUUAUGUUUCUUUUUUUUUUUUUUUUUCUCUCUAAGAUUUAAAAAGCACGCUCUGACGCAAAUUGGAAAAUUGAAAAUAAUGGAUUAUAAAGGCUAUAGAAUUCUCUCUGGAAGCGAGUAGCCUUAUACUGUUGUUUGAAUGCAGGUACUUGUCAACUUGUUUCUAGUGAGUUCAACUGAUCCAGGGAUUAUUGCCAGAAACUAUCAAACACCUUUGGAGGAAAUCGGUACGAGCGAAGGUAGCAGAAGAAAGAAAGUAACAAUCAAUGGUGUGGAAUUAAAACUCAAAUACUGCGGAAUUUGCAAGAUUUUUAGGCCUCCAAGGAGUUGCCAUUGUGCCAUCUGCAACAACUGUGUAGAGAAAUUCGACCACCAUUGCCCAUGGAUUGGACAAUGUGUUGCACUGGUAUAUACAUAAAUAUAUAGAUAGAUAGAUAGAUAAUGCAAGCUUAUACAUAAAAUUAUUAUAUUUGUUAAUGUGAAUCUGAGUUUGUGCAGCGAAACUAUCGAUUCUACAUGACAUUUGUGAUCUCUGCUUUGAAUUUCUUUAUCUAUAUAUUCGUAUUCUCUUUCUGGAGAAUCCAACGAAGAAUGUCUAGGAUUGGCUCUGGAUUGAUUGGGAUGCUUAUGAACUGUCCUGAAACACUGGCACUAGUUUUGUUCAGUUUCGCUGCUAUUUGGUUCCUGGGCGGCCUUGCUAUCUUCCAUGUCUACUUAAUUGCCAUUAAUCAGGUUGGUUCAAUUUCUAUCAAAUUCGAAAACCCUUUGUGAAUUCCAUGUGCACCCAAUUCAUUAAAUAACGUAUUCAGGUUAUUCGUUUCUGAAAUUUUUUCCUUUUUUUUUUCUUGGGGAGGGUGCAGACUGCAUAUGAGAAUUUCAGACAAUUCUAUGUGGGGUGUCGAAAUCCAUUUGAUAAGGGAAUUUUAAGUAAUAUUAAGGAGGCUUUAUUUUCAGCAUUGCCUCCUUCUGGAGUUGAUUUUCGUGAAGUAGUACCAAGUGGACAUCCAAAUGCCGCAAGAGAACUGGUGUAAGUGUAAUAUUAAGAAGGUGACAAUCUUUUUGAUCAUGAAUUUGUAUAUGUUAUAUAUCAUUUCAGAUUGAAUUUAUUAAUGAAUGAUAUUAUAAAAAUAAAUUUGUAUAUCAACAAUAAUUAUUAUUAUUAUUAUUAUUAUUAUUUUGUUUUUGCAGCACUGCCUAUUUUCAUCAUAUCAUAUUCUGCACUUCAGUUCCUGUAAGCACAGUUCCUUUUUGUCUUCAGACAAAAGCAAAAGGGAAUUAAAGCAUAGUAGAGUAAAAAUUAAAUCCUCUUUGAGUCAAGCCAAAGACAUCUAAUUUGCACAACUUUGAUAUGGUUAUCUGUGUUAACUGAUAACUGAAAUAAAUUGAAUUAACCUGGAAGACCACAAUAAAUUGAAUUAGCUAGAAAAUGCCAUAACGCUGCCACAAUUUCUACUAUACUCAUUCAUGAUGGGUUGUUUCCACUUGUCAUCAUGGGUUCCAAUGAACAUAAAAGUGAUUUUGAAUAUAUUGUUUCAAAAAUUUGUUCCUUGUAAUAUGAUAACAGUAAUUUCUUAGAUCACCAGAAUGAUUUUACUUAUAUUCGAUUGAAAAUAUGACUUGGCCUUGUCUCAUUGUUUAGCCAGUUGGAAAUCUUCUGUAUAGAUUUGCAUUCGUCAAUCCGGCUAAUAUAAUUAAAUUAUUUGAUGAGUUUGAUAUACUUAAUUUAAUGGAUUUUUAACUUAAAUCCAUUUUGUUUAUGUAUCAAUAAUAUUUAUACUUUUAAAAAAGAUUUGCCAAGAUCUUUUUUUAAGUUAGUUUUUUUUUUUUAUAAAAAUACGCUAGUUUUUUUUUUUUAUCAUUUUCUCCCAACCUUUUCUUUUCCCUUCGUAACUUUCUUUUAUGAUUUAUUUAAUUUAUUAUAAUGAUCUUUCUCUUCCACAUGCAAAUGAAAGAAUAAAUUUCUCUAUCAUGAAUUGUCCUAUUAUAAAAGUAAUUUUUUUUAAAAUUAUUAUUGACAUACUAUCUACCACCUCAAUUCUUAUGAAAGUAUAUAACUUCUCAAGAUUAUAAUAUAUAUAUAUAUAUAUACACAUAUAUAUACAUAUAUAUACAUACAUAUAUAUAUAUAUAUAUAUAUAUAUAUAUAUAUAUAUAUAUAUGUGCAUAUUUGACCUUAAUGAUUUAGCGUUGUCAUAUGGGACUCAUUUUUUUUUUUUGGCUCAAUUGUGACCUUAAGAUUAAAAAACAAACCGUUUAUACACUUUCUGUAAUACCAAACCAAUUUUCACUUUCUCUUGUUAGCCUUUGGCUGACGUGUUUUUAAACUUACUGAGACAUAAGUAAAUGACGAGGUGUUUACCUCCAACGAAACCCUAAAAUACAACUACCCAAAAUUAAUCUCCAAAUUGAUUUUUUAGAACCCUAAAUUGAUUUCUCAAAUGAUUGAAAAUCUCUAACACUAAUAGAACGCCGUUUUAGAAAUGAAAUCCUCUCUCGUUAUGAAAAAAGUUUUAGAGACAUUGAAGGAAAAGUUUUAGUAGAAAGAAGAUUCUACUGAUAGAAACAAGAGAGCUAUUUAUUCGAAAAAAGACAAGAGACAAAGAGUGUUCUUCUACCGAAAGAGACAAGGUAAUCCUCUAGCUUUGAACCACAAACCAUUUGGACCAUUUAUAUGAAUUUAGAAUGUAAUAAAAUGAGCCAGAUUGAUUAAAAAUAAACUAUUUUUAGUUGUUUAGUGUUUAUGACUUUGUGAAUGAAGUUAAUAAUUUAAUAAUUUAAAAAUAAUUUGGUAUUGUUAACAUUUGUGCUUUGGUAUUUGUUUAUUGGUUUGAACUUUAUUUAUUAAUUCUUUUGCAUAUUUUAUUGAUUUGCAAAAUGGAGGACAUUGUGGAUGUGUGUUUUAAUUAUGGUGGAGAGUAGGUUUAUAAACUUCAGUUGAAUUAUGCGAAUGGGGAAGUAGAUAUGUGCUAUGACUUUGAUAUUGGUUACUUAACUUAUUUUGAUAAUAGGGAUAGAUAUUUACAAAAACUAGGAUUUAAUUAUGUUUCUGGCAUAUUCAUUCUUGAAACUGAAAAAGCAAUGAGUGAUGGUUUAUUUCUAGUAGAAGAUGAUGCAAAUAUUAUGAGGAUUUUAGAGUUUAUUGAGAAUAAUUCUUGGGUAAGGAAAAUAGAGAUAUAUGCUACUCAUGCUGUUGAUAUUCCUCAUAUUGUAGAGCCUUUAUUGGCUAUUGAAGGACCUAUGGAUAGAUAGGCUAGGGAGGGAGGGAAUAAAGAGGCAAUGGGUGGGGAGGGAGUACAUGAGACAAUAGAUGGGGAUUGAGUGAAUGAGACAAUAAGUGAGGAGGGAAUGAAUAAGACAGUAGGUGGAGAGAGAGAGUGAAUGAGGCUAUGAAUGUUGAGGAAAUAGCUACACAGUGUAUCCAAGUUAAUAAUGUAGCAAAUGAUGAAAAUGCAAUUGAGAGUAGGAAGAUAAUGGUGAUGGUAGUGAGUGUGAGGAUUUUAGUGAGAUUGAUGUGAAUACACCACCUAAAGAGAGGGUUAAUUAUGAUGAGGAAGAUGACAAACCUAACUUUAUACUAAGUAUGACCUUUGCAUAUACAAAGGAAGUUAAAGAAGCAUUAGUUAGGUAUGCAAUAGCAGGGGAGGGGGGGGUUAAAUUACAUAUAAAACCUAAUUAACCAACUAGAAUUAGGGCAGAAUGUGUUAUAGAAGAAGGCUCCCUUUUUGUUAUUCUAAUAUCUAAUUGGUUUAGUUGAACAUUAUGUGUUGAGCAUAUAUGUUUUAAGAUAUUUCAUAACCAUAGCUGCACAAUAACAUAUUUAACUAAGUAUUUAAACUAAACUGAAAGAUCUUAAGGAGAAGGCUGAACAAGAAUUGAAAGUGAAGGUUAGUAUGAGCAAGUGCAAAAGGGCUAAACAAAUAAUCAAGCAGAAAAUGAGUGGUAGUUAUAAGGUAGAAAUUAGUUACCUAGAAGCUUAUGUAGUUUUAAUCAAAAGGUUUAAUCCUAGGACUACUUGUAAGAUUGAAUUAUGUAAAAAGGGUUUGAAAGAGGGCAAGAGAGUGUUUAAAAGGAUGUUUUCUGCUUUGAUGCAUGCAAAAGGGGUUGGGUAAGGGGUUAUAGGCCUAUUAUAGGAUUAGAUAGAUAUUUCUUAAAGAGUGUAUACAAGAGUAAACUACUAGCAGCUGUAGGUAAAGAUGCAGAUGAAAAGAUGUUCCCAAUUGCUUGGGCAAUCAUUGAUUAAGAAAAUAAGAUCAAGUAGAGGUGAUUUUUAGAGUGGUUGGUGAAAGAACUUAGGCUUAGUGAUGGAAGCAAGUUGACAAUCAUGUCAGACAUGCAAAAGGUAUGCUUAUUGAACUGUAUACUAUUUCUUUAUCUUAUUGAUAUUUACUAAUGUAUUUGUAGAUGAUAUUGUUAUUUUCAGAGGUUAAUUCAUGCUGUUAAGGUGGUUUUAUCCCAAGCGAGCAUAGAUGGUGUGCAAGACACAUAUAUGCCAAUUGGUCAAAGAAAUAUAGAGGUGGAGAAUUGUGCAAGAAGUUUUGGAUAUGUUCUUGGAGCAUAUAUGAGGAACAGUUCAAAGAUAACUUGAAAUGCUUAAGAGAAUUAAGCAAGAAAGCAGUAGAAAAUUUGAUGAAAUAUACUCCUUACAACUGGUGCAUGACAUGUUUUAGUAGUAGAAGCAGUAGUUUUUCUAUGGACAAUAACAUUUCAGAGUCAUUCAACUUAUGGAUAAGAGAAGCAAGACAAAGCCUAUCAUUUUAAUGUUUGAGGAUGUAAGGAUUUAAACCCUAAACAGAAUUGCUGAAAAUAGUAACACUACUCAGAAAUGGAGAUAUAGAUGGAGUCCAAACUGCAUGGAAUUUUAUCAAGACAACAAGGAGCUGGCUGCAUUUAAUUGCUUUGUGAUUUUUAAUGAUAAUGUAGGCUUCGAGAUUGGUGAAGGACACAAUAAUUUUAAAUAGAAGGUUGUACACUUGCAAAGCAUGGGACCUAACAUGUAUCCCAUGUUCUCAUUCAAUAUGUGCUAUGUACCAUCUCAAGUUGGAUCCACUACUACACAUAGCCCACUGGUACAAUAAGUCCAGAUUUCAAAAGACUUAUAAAACUCCAAUGUAGCCUGUUCUUAGAAAAAGGUUCAUGAGGAUUGAAGAGUAUAAGGCUAUUGAACCUUCUCUUGUACCCAAAAUGAUUGGCAAGCCUAAGAAGAAAAGGAUAAGAGGUGCUAAUGAGAUUAAUAACACCUCUAGGUUUUGAAGGCUAUCCAAGAAAGGAAACCUAUAAAGUUGUGGCAUUUGCAACCAAGAAAGCCAUAAUAAGAUUAACUAUCUAAUAAAAACUAAAGAGCUAUGCGCAAAUUUUUUAAUUAAUUCAUAGCCCAUUUUUCUUUCAAUUAGGUAUGUGCAAAUUUUUAAUUAAUUCAUAUCUCAUUUAUCUUUCAAUUAACUAACAGUUUUCAUAUCUUAACCUUAUGGAGCAACACAACCUAUUCAAGCAACAAAAUCAACUACAAUUGCAACUGCAAGUUCAACAAGGAUUUUAGGAGGAAGAUUUCACAGAGGUCUAAGAAAGAAAGUGUAUGGAAUGGGGUGCUAUAUUGAUGAAGCAAUUGGAAUGACAACUUUGAAUUUAAUGUAUUUUUAAUACUUCAAUUGUUUGAGUUUUUUAAAUAUUUAUACCUGCCUUGUGUUAAAGUGGGUUGUGCUUUGUGGCAGCCUGGCAUAAGAAAGAGUUGUUUGUGAGGGUGUUUCUUAAACUAGGACUGUUGCUGAUGUUAAUACAAGAUUUCCAAUCCCAAAUGAACAAGAAAUCAGGAAAGAAAAAUCACAAGAUAGGAGCACAUCCAAUACAACCAACUUGAGAAAAGUCAUCUUCAAAGGUGAUAAAAUUAAUGUGACUUAUGUAGUUGAUUCGACCACUUGAUUUACAGUGGUUGGGAAGGCCAUGCAUGACACCAAGUCAGCUACAACAACAAAGGGAGAAACAAAUUGACUAGUAGAAGGACAAAGAUCAUACACUAAUUUAAUCUAAGACCAUUCUUGAACAUUUUGUUACUUGCUCUGACUUUUUUUGGACAUAAGAUUUUUGUAAAAUAAUUAGGUCCGUGAAACAAAUGGUAUAAGUUAUAUAAAAACUUUAUUUAGUGUGUAGGUAACAUAGUAAUUGGAAGAUUUCUGAAAGCUUUUAUUGAAUUAAAUUUAUUUUUUGGUCAAUGCAAUAUGUUUUUUGCUUGACAUUAUGGAUCAAAAACUUUGUAGCUUGACAUAAUAAAUAUUUUUCAAUGCAACAAUAUUUUUUGCUUAUAUUUAGUUCUUGUUACCAUUCAACUUGUUUCUACAACACUAAUAAAAAAAUUUCUGGACAUAAAUAAUGUCAAACAAUCAUCUUCAUUAAAUUAUAAAUUAGGUUAUAUCAUAAUUCAACUUUAUGAAAAAAAGUUACAUCAUCUAAAUUACAAAGGCAACAAAUAUAAAUAGCAUAAUAGACACAAACAUUUUCAUCUUAUUUAUUGCACUCUGAAGCUCUAUUAUCUCUUUCUCUGGACCAUUCUUCAUUUGGCUAAGCUCAAGCCAUAUAUUUUGUAUUUCCAUGUCAAUAUCAUUACUUCCACACAACCACUCAGCUCCCUCUAGCUUGCAUUCGCUAUCUAUUCUCUAAUAGCAAUAUUGCGUUUUCAAACUUCAACUCAUUAAUUAUAUCCUUAGCCCUACUUGUUAAUGAUGUAUCAUAUCAUUCAAAGUACUCAGAUCCCCAAUCUUGCAUAACUUUUAUGGAAGGAUCCAAAAUUACUAAGCUUAAAAGAAUCAAAUCAAUUCACCCAAAUUAAAUAAAAAAAAUUACCUUGUAAUUAGGACACCCAUAAAACCACCUUCCUGGAUUUUUUUCAAUCCAUGAAGUCCACCUUAGAGCUUUACAUAGCUUUAGACAAUCACAUUUGGACGUCCAAGAUAUUUAACCUUUAUGUUACUCCUUUUUUUGUUGUCUUCGUUUCUCGAAUUCAAUGUUGAACACGAUGUUAAUGAAGAAGCAACCAUUGUCUUAGUUCAAUUUUAACUUUUUGUAAUGUCUUCUUCAAUUUUAUGUUUUAGGAUUUUCAAUUUGGGGAUUAAGUUGAAGAAGAAUAGAGUUGAGUAAUGGUUAUAUUAUUUGUUGUUGAUGCCAGGGGUAUGAGAAAUUGUUGUUUAUGAAACGUGAUUGUAGAAUCCACUUACGAAAAGCACAGAUGUUAAACUUGAAAAAAUGUGAUGCCCAAGAAGUUCAUAAUUUGUUUGGUAGGCUUUAAUGUGAGCAUUUGAACUUUUAUUAUUCUAUUGAUCCAGAUGAAGAGGGUCGAAGUUGAAAUCUGUUAUAGUUUGAUGCCCAUAGUAUGGCUGCUUAUUAAGAGUUUGGAGAUGUGAUUUCAUUUGAUACUAUCUACUUACUAAACAAAUAUAACAUGCUUGUAACACCUUUCAUCAGAGUAAAUCAUCAUGGACAUUCUAUAUUAUUUGGUUGUGUUUUAAUAUCAUAAGGCGACAAGGAUAUGUUUACAUGGUUGUUCUCUAAUUAGUUAGUCAAAUGUUCAUCCACCAUUUAUCAUUAUGAACCAAUGUGUAAGAAUUGCAAGAGAAGUGAAAAAUAUCUUUUUUAACUCAUUGUAUAGGUUAUACAUAUGGCAUAUUUUAACCAAGUUUCUUGCCAAAAUAAAGGGUUAUCGCAACUAUUAUAACAUAAUACAAAGGUUCACAAAGUUAGUGUAUGAUUAUUUGAAUGCUCAAGAUUUUGAAGAAGGUUGGAGAAAAAUGAUAUGAAUUACAGGCAAAUAAGUGGCUUAAUGCUUUAUAUGAUGCACGUGAAAAAUGAAUGCCAGUAUACCUUAGAAGUACGUUUUGGACAGGAAUGUCAUUGACAUAAAGGAGCGAAGGAAUCAAUCGGUUCUUUGAUGGUUUCUUAAAUUUAAAGAGCACAUUAAACUAGUUUGUUUAUCAAUACGAGAAAGCAAUUAGAUUUAAGGUUGAGAAAGAGAAAUUAGUUGAUUAUAGAAUGUUAAUAUCAAAGAUCCCAUGUGUUACUUCUUUAGGAAUUAAGAAGCAAUGCUACAUAUAUAUAAAAAGGAAACAUUUAGAAAAUGUCAAAAUGAAGUUGUGCAGUUAAUGUGUUUUAAUGCUUACUUUAAAAGAUAAAUAGAAAACACAAACGUGUUUGAGUAUAAAGUUGAGGAGAAGAAGUAUUAUGGUGAAGUUAGUCGAGGUGGGUACCUUUUAGUGUCUUGUUUAAAGAAGAUUUAUAUGACAUAGAAUGCAAUUAUAGAAUAUCUGAAUUUGUUGGACUCCUUUGUUGCCACUGUGUUUGUGUAUUAAGAAUGAAAAAUGUCGAAUCUGUUGGGAAUAAAAAUAUAUUGGAUUGACAGAGAGGCGAUGUUAGAAAAUUGCAUAAAAAAAUAUAGGUUCUGUGGUCAGCAAUAGAAAUAUAAAAGAAAUUCAAAGGUUUAAGAAAUUGAAGAGAAAUUUUUUUAAUGUUUCUAAUAUAGCUUGUGAGUCAUAUGAACAAUAUUUAUAUUUUUCAGAAUAACCUAAAUGAAAUAUUAGAAAAAAUGGAUAAUAUGGUUCCACAUCACCGGCUGCAAACUACAAAAAGCAUAUUGGAUACAUGUGGACAUGGGCAAACACCCUCUGAUAGUGAGUCAUACCUGGGUGAUGGAACUGGUCCACAUACUUUGAUCCUGUAGUAGCUCAAUCUUGUGUUUGUUGAUAACUCUAAUUUAUAAGUAUAGUUGUGCUAUUUUAUUAAGUGUUUACUAUUAUUAUACUUAUGAUUUUAUGAGUUUUCAUUUGAUUUAGUUACUAAAAUGUGAUUUUUUUUCUAGGUAUUUUAGCAAUUCUGUGAAAAUUCAAAGCUUUUUAGGUAUGAAAUCGACUCUUAGAUCGAUUUUGAAAGGCAUUAGAUGUUGAUUUCAGUCAUGAAAAUGAAGUUUCAAGUUGGAUCAGUCCUUAAACUGUUUCAGAGAAAGCAAGAAGGCCAGAAUUGAUCGAAGAAUCGGAUUACUUAUGAAAGAAAUGAAGAUCUUUUGUAAACCAGUCCUUGAGUCAUAACCGAUUGGAGGACCAAUUCAAGUUGAGAUUGAGCUGAAUCUACUAUUGUGAACUAAUUCUAUAACUAGUUCACUAUUAUUUUGAUGCCAGGACCGACUGGUGAACCAGUUGGCUCAAGAAGGACAUUUUUAAACGUGUUCUAAUUAUUUAACUUGGAAGUUUUAAGGGGUCAUGAGGUCUAGCUUUGGCCUAGAUUAUAUAUCUUCUUUUUUGUUAUUUUAAGAAGUUACGCAGUUUUAGAGAGAGAAACAUUAUUUUGAAAGGAGAUUUAAUAUUGGACUACGAGAUUUAAGAAGAUUUUUCAACUUUCAAAAAUCAAAGUGAUAUUUACCCUUAUUUUUUCUUAAUUAGGUUUUCUUUAGUUUUUCUUGAUGUUUAUUAUUUUAUGUUGAUGGAUAACUAAACUCUCAUUCUAGAGAGAUGGACACAAUCUUUUGGUUUGAUUAUGGAUUUAAUAUCAAGUUCUCUUAAUUCUUGAUCUAUUCUUUUUGUUGUGAUUGUGAAUGUUUUAAUUGACUACUAUUUCAUCUUAGGAAUUGUAUAAUGAACUUAAAGAAGAAAUACAUAUAUAAAUCUAGAAGAAUAGACAAAAUGAAAUAGGUAAAGAAAUAUAUAUGUUUAUUGUGAUAUAAGAAUUGUUGCUUAAUGGAUUUAGUUAAGUAAUUAUCUUUGAGAAUUAGUAGUUUUUUUAUUAGAUACAAGUUAAUUGCUUAAAAGAGAAUUGACAUCAUUUUAGAACAAUUAUGUUCAAGGAUGAACUCUAGUAUUAAGAUCUAUAGUUAAUUUCAUUAGAUAAAUCUGGAUCUCUAGUAUUCUAAAUCUGAUAAUUAAUAUAAUAAUUUUUUCUAUAUAUUUUUCCAAAUUAUUUUUGGUGGCCUAAGGUGCAAUUGAUCUCUAUUUUAAUCUUAAAGCCCAAAUUCUCUAUUGCUAAUCGUAUGUUCGAGUGUCUAUAUGACAGAGCACUAAAGGAACUAACCAAAGACUAAGCAAUCUUAAGCUUUAAAUGAAGUCUUGCAAAAAGACUAAAAAAGUGCGAGGGUGCUUCUUAGGCGCUGGGACGCUUUUUAUAUGACCAGAACUUUACAAACAUUGAAAAGUCCAUCUAACAUCUUGCCAAUUGCAUCAUGACAUCCGGUAGUCAAAGUGUCAAAGCUUCAAGACGUGCAGGGGCGCUUCAUAUUUAAGUUUGAGACUAAAAAUGGCAGACAAUAGCAUAAUGAGAAGCGCGAUGACACUUUUAAGCGCGGUCAAGGCAAGCACGAGGGCAUUAUUGUGACACAGGGGCGGUAUUCAUAAUUAAUGUGAUGUUAGUAACCAUUUGAGAUAGCAGCCACCUCGUCAGAGCCAUGUGUCAGGAACUGUUAGAGUCCUAACGUCUCUUUUCAAAAAGCACGAGCACAUUUGGGAAGCGUGAGGAUGCUUUUCAGGACUUUAAGCAGUUUUUGCCAAGUCAUCAAAUCUUGUAAUUAAUGUUUUGAACCAAUUGUAACGUCUCCAAGAGGUUAGUAUGAGUUUAAAUAUCCUUCUUAAACACAUAACCAAUAAGUGUGUGAUUUAGAUAUACUAAAACUCCUGCAAAUUCAUUUCUUAACUUUCUAUACUCAAUUUCUUUCUUUGUAAAGUAUAUUAAGUUGAAACUUUACGUUCAACUAAAAGUCUAAAGGGUUGUUGUGUGAGCCUAGGUGUCAAAAACACAAGAAAUUGAUUAUUGAGUAACCAUUAAUACUUAAGGAUUAAGGGACUUAGUGAAAAAUUGGUUCACUAUUGGAAGAGGUUUAGUGUUAGCCUUGAAAACACCAAGUUAUUGGGUGAACUUGUAAAACCUAAAGGUUGUGAUCUUGAGGAGUGGAUGUAGGAAGGAUUAUUCCUAAACCACUAUAAACCUUUAUGCCAUCUUUUCUAACCUAUACUCUCCUUAAAUUAUCCCAAAUCCUUCUUAAUCUUUUGUAUUUUUAUCCAAAACUAGUCAAUUUCACAAUUUAAGUUUACCAAUUCAAUCCCCCUUGACCUAGGGAAGAUUCCUACAGAUGUUCUCUUAGGAAAGCUCUAAGUCAUGAGAUGUCUCUUAUGAGGGAUGAAAUUGAUGGAGAUAGUAAGAAGAAAAAAGCCCUAGCACUCAAGGCUAGCACAAGAGCUUAAGAUGCAAUUGAUGUCCCAAGUGAUAAUGAUGAUCAAUGAGAAGCUCUAAAUGAAAGUGAUGAUGUGGCUCUCAUCACCAAAUAUGUAUAGAGAAUACUUGAAGCUAAAAGGAGAAGAAGCUACAAGCCUUUUACAAGCAAGAAACCCUUCUCCAAAUAAAGAACAAGUAAGGACAAGAAGGAAGUCACUUGCUACGAAUAUGGAAAGUAAGGACAUAUCAAGCCGGAUUGUUCCAGAUACUUAAAAAGGAAGAAGGGGGACAAAGAAAAGUUACUUGGAGUGAUACAUUUUCAUCCUCCAACAAUGAAAGUGAAAGAGAAGAGAAGACUAUUCUUUGUUUCAUGGAAAACAUGGAAGACUUUUAUAAGGUAUGUUCCAUUUAUCAUUCUUGCAAUUAUUCUUCUUGUUCAUCUUCUCAUUCUUUUGGUGAUGACUUGUUGGAUGAUGAGGAUGAACUCUUACAAAAUAUGCUUUCAAAAAUAAAUUCUUACAAAAAUGAAUGUUCUAGUUUGGAGGAAGAUCUUAAGAUUUAAAAGAAGAAAAUUGCCUUCUUAGAAAUUUCCAAUGAUGACUUAAGGAAAUCAUUGGAUGAUGUUUCAAAAUAAAAACUCUUUAAAGAGAAUAAUUCGUUGAAAAAUGAAGUUGAAGAGCUUAGGAAUUCAAUUUCAAAAUUUCACAAAGGAAAAGAGUCUCUUGACACACUAGUUGUGUCUCAAAGACUUCUCCUUGUGAGAUAUGAACUUGAGUUCAAUGGAACUUCAUCAUCCUCAUCUCAUAAGAAUUAUGAAUGUUGUGCUCGUGACAAGUUAAUAGUGAUUGCAUUUUAUGAGGCAAAAAUGAAGAUAAGCUUUUAAUUACUUAACUAAAAGCCUUCAAAAGAUACACUCAAUAAACUUCAUUGGAACUACUCAAUUUGAUUGUCAAGAUUAAAUCAAAAUCAAGGGAACCUAAGAUCAUGAAAUGACUUAGGCUAACAAUAAUGUUUCUAGAUCGCUAAGUUAUUCACCUUGUUUACCCAAGGCAACAUAUUUAUUAUUGAUGAACAUCUGCCUCCAUGCAUAUAAAAACUAGAGCCAUUAUCUAUAAUUAUUCAUUCAGGUCAUGAAAAAAAUUACUUGAAGCAUAAGCAAAUUUCAAUUACAUACACAUGAGACAACUAUGUCACCUUGUGUCUAAGGGUUAGUUGCACCAUAUAACUUAAUAAUUAAUCAAUGACUAAGUAAAAUUUUCAUAUGAUUCAUUAUUUGUUCAAGUCAUUGUCUAAACCACUUAUUUCAUAAGUGACCCGUUAUGAUUAACUUAGAUUCCCAAUAGUAGACUCGCUCAAUUUUUGACCUGGACUAGUUCACCAACCCGUCCUAGUCCUUUUCUUGCAUGUGAAUCUGUUCAUGGACUGAUUCACAACAAUAGCCUUUGUUUGUUCCAUGCUUAAUCAGUUCAACGACUAGUUCAUGCCCACCUGCUUCCUCUGAACUAGUUCAACAACAAAAUCUUCUUCUUGGCUUCAAACAACCAAUUCUAACAUUUGCUUCUUUUUAAGACCAAUCUAAGAGUCAAUUUUUAACCCGAAAGGCUACAGUUCUACUUAGAAUUACCAAAAUCAUAAUUCAAUAACUAAAUCAAAUAAAAAAUAUAUAAUUUAUAAAUAUAAUAAGAAUAAACACUCAAUAAAACUAUAAAAACGUACUUAUAAAUUAGAGUUAUAAAAGACAAAGAAAUUAAUAAAGAAGUCGAGAGAAGAGAUAUGAGCGACAUAUGACAACAGUAAAAAAGAAAAAGGAAAGUAAUUUUAGGAUUAUGGGGAUGUUUAUGUGUAAGGGUAGUUUAGAGAAUUUAAAGAAAGAAAUAAGGUUUUUUAGGUAUACAUAUAAUAAAUAUAUUAAAAAUAGAUCCAAUUACAAAUUAAAUUUUAAAUUUUAUAAUUUUAUAAUAAUUUUAUUUAAUUGUUUCAAAAUUUUAAAAUAAACACUCAUUCUUUUAAUUUAUUUUCAAAAAUACUUUUCGAUAACAAUUUUUAAAAUUUCAUAUUGAAAAAAAUGAUUAGGAAGUUGAUUUUACUUAUUAAAAGAAUAAUAAUUAUGAAUCGGCAAAAAUAGUUUAUCAUAGACUUAAUAAUAUAAUCAUUAAAAAUUUCAUGUAUGUGCAUUUUCUUACAUAUUUUAUAUCUAAAUGUAAUAAAGUUUUUAUUGACUCGUUAAUUUUUAUGUUAGUAAGCAUAACUAACUUGCCAUGUCAUCUUUUUAUUGUAAUUUUAAAAAACCAUUAUCAAAAAGUAUUUUUUAAGAAUAAAUUAUUAUUUUAAAAUUUUAAAAUAAUUCGAUAAAAUUAUUCAAAAGUGUAAAUUUUAGAAUUUAAUUAGUAAUUAGACCUUAAAAAUAUAAGAUGUAAUGUUUUUGAUCGGUUAACCAAAAAUCAAGAGUUUUUUUAUUAAAAGAACCAAAAAGCAAAACUAUAAAAAACUAUAACCUAAACCUAAACCAUUAAGGAAGUUGAGUUGUUUACUUCCGAGAAAGUUAUUUUCAACAUGCAAUCCAAAUGAAAUUAAAAUCUCUACUACCGGAAAAGUGCUACUUUCUUUCUUACUUACUCUAUACCAAUAGACUCCUAAAUGCCUGAGAAAGAAUAACUAUAUCAAUGAUCACUUAAUUUUACACUAAAUUUUAUUUUGAUCAUAUAUUUUUUUUUUAUUUCAUUAUAAUCAUUUAAUUUUAAGUUGGAUAGCAUAUUAGUCAUUUAUUUAAAAUUUCGUGGUUUGAUUCGCUAGAUAAUGACAUAUCUAAAGCAUCCAAUAUUAGGCUAACACAUAUUUUAAAAAAUGACAAGUCACUAUCCUAGUCAUCAAACUAUUUAACUAAAUUAUUAACUUAACCCAAAACCAAAUUCAACUUUAAGCUUCAAAAAUUCUCUAGGCUUUUAUAAUAAAUCUUGGUUGUUGUUCUUUUUUUCUUUCUUCUCAUUAUUUUUUUUAUUGUUACAAUAACAUUCUCCUUUUUCAGCUUAAUUUAUCUAUAUUAAUUAUCUUUUUUAUUUAUUUUUAUCAAGAUAUUAUUUUCAAAGUAAAAAAUAUAAUAAAAAUAAAAAUAAAUAAAAAAGAAAGUUAGAAAGAAAAGGAAAAGAGUGUUCAACCACUAAAUUAGUAAUGUUUUUGUACUUAUUUGUACUUAAACUUUCUUACAUGUCCACACGUUUAUUUGAGGAUGUGCGAUCAGUUUCUAUUUGGUGUAAGAACUUCAAAAUCAAACGAGUGUCUAACCAAAGUAAUUAAAUUUGAAUGCUAAUUGUAAAAUAAUGAGUAUGUAGAACUUAUAGUAUAUGAGUGCAUUUUCUCCUAGUUUUCUACCACAUCAGUCUAUUAAAAUCUUUUUUGAGAAUUAAGAAUUUUAUUUUAUAGCAUUAGAGAUUCUAUGUUAUAGAUUUAGGAGAUUUAGAAUAUUUUUUUUUAUGAAUAAACUUAAAGUUAAAUGACUAUAAUAAAACAAAAAAGUUAUAUGGCCAAAAUAAAAUUUAGUGUAAAUUAACUGAAAAUUGGUGUAAUUAUCCUGCCAUGAGACUCAUCAUCAUUGAUAAAGAGAUAUCCGUUACUCCCUACAUAUUUGACAUUUCAGUAAUCCAUACAACUAUAGGACUGAUAAAGAGAUAUACAUUACUCCCAACAUAUUCGACAUUUCAGAAAUCCAUACAGCUAUAGGACUUGUUACGUAUUCUGUUUUUCUAUUGUCUUGUGGUAUUCUUAUUGUACUCAAAUUGGUUAUCUUGUAUACUAAGUAUCCAUUGUAUAUAUAAAUGUAUAAUGUUAAUCACUAAAUAAGUUCAGUUAAUAAUUAUUCACAUUUACAUGGUAUCAGAGCUGAACGCUUAACAACUAAUUUUUUUUCCUUCCUUCUUCUCACGAUAAGUUCAUCUACUUCCUCUAUUGUCUCAUCGUCCUCCUCUUCUAAUGUUGUCUCUCUACCUAAUAUUACUAAUCAGAUCUCCAUUAAACUUCAAGCCACAAACUACCUCGUAUGAAAAGCACAACUUCUUCCUCUUUUGCACAGUUAUGAUCUUGCUUCCCAUAUUGAUGCUGCCUCCCAAGCACCACCUCCAAUUAUCAAUGAUGGUCCAAAUCCAGCUUAUCUUCAUUGGUUUAGGCGUGAUCAAAUGGUCCUAAGUUGGAUCAUCGGUUCAAUUUCUGAAUAAUUUGUUCCACAAAUUGUUGGUUCCACAACGGCAAAAGCUGCGUGGAGUAAAUUAGCAACAACCUACGCCUCUGGAUCAAAAGCACAAAUUCGCAACAUUAAAACCAACUUCUACAAGCUCCACAAGGAACCCAAUGAAUCCAUCUAUCAAUACACUCAACGCGGCAAGUCUAUGUUUGAUCAACUUGUUGCCCUUGGAAGUCCUAUUCAAGAAGAUGAUUUAGUGCAAGUUUUAACUAAUGGUUUGAGUUCUGAAUACCGACCGUUUGUCCGUGCUCUUGAAAAUCGUUUAGAUGCUGUUGGCUUCGAUGAUUUAUACGGGCAGGGCCCCAUACAUCAGAACAAAUUAAAUCAAGAGGGCCACUUGAAACAAAAGAGGAUGAAACAAAUGGUAAUUUAUGACUCUUGGACACACAACAUGAACGACACAAGGUAGAAGAACUAUCCAAUGAUGCAAAAAUUUUUGAGCAACGCAAGACAUUUUUUACAGUACGAUGAUUGGCAUGUCCUAGACGCUUAUGCCAAGUGCUAAUAGAUGAUAAAAAGGCAGACUUUGGUGCGGUUGGAGAGAUGUCGAGAUGAAGAAAAAGUGAGUAGAAACCACCCUUAUUCGGGCCGCUGAGCAGUAAAUCCUUCGUGCGGAGAUCCUUUAUUUCAAAAUGAGAAGGAAAGAAUUCAAUAGAGGCAUGAUUUGCAUUAGUAAAAGCCGAAACAGAAAUUAGAUUAGUAGUAAUUUGAGGAACAUGACAAAUAUCACGUAAAUAGAAAGAAUGAUUAGAAUUAUAGUGAGUUGAUGAACCAAUAUGAUGAAUUGGAAGGGUAUUACCAUUGCCGAUAGUUACUUCAUCAUUCCCCGGAUAGAUGAUGGGAUGUUGGAUAUUUUCUUGGUAAGGAGUGAAGUGAUGAGAGGCGCCGGAGUCUAAGAGCCAUGGUUGAGAUGCGGGUGGAGUGUGGUGAGCAUUGGUGAAAUUACUGGAAGGUCGAGGAGUUGGGAGAAGCGGAGGAAGGACCUGUCGAUUAAUUUUUGGAGAAGAGCAAGUAUGACUUACAUGACCAAUGCCAUUGCAAUUAAAGCAUGUCAAUGAGGAAGCAUCAUGAGCAUAAGAAUAAAGCUGAUUUACCGAGGAAGAUGUCAUAGAUGGAACUGACAUUGUAUAAUGUUGCAUGGGUUGAUAUGAUGGGCGAGAGUGACCACGUCCACGACCCUUUGAUGAACGUCCCCUACCUCUGUAAUUAAGACUUGGGCCAUGCCAAAAAUUGGAAGAUUGGCCAGCAAAGAAGGCUGACGGUUGAAAGGAAGUGGAGGAAUUCUUUUCAGCCAGAAGAUUUAUUUCUUCAGUCAAAAGCAAACCGUAUAAAUCAUCGAAGCCAACAGCAUCCAAACGAUUUUCAAGAGCACAGACAAACGGUCGGUAUUUAGAACUCAAACCAUUAGUUAAAACUUGCACUAAAUCAUCUUCUUGAAUAGGACUUCUAAGGGCAGCAAGUUGAUCAAACAUAGGCUUGCCGCGUUGAGUGUAUUGAUAGAUGGAUUCAUUGGGUUCUUUGUGGAGCUUGUAGAAGUUGGUUUUAAUGUUGCGAAUUUGUGCUUUUGAUCCAGAGGCGUAGGCUGUUGCUAAUUUAUUCCACGCAGCUUUUGCCGUUGUGGAACCAACAAUUUGUGGAACAAAUUGUUCAGAAAUUGAAUCGAUGAUCCAACUUAGGACCAUUUGAUCACGCCUAAACCAAUGAAGAUAAGCUGGAUUUGGACCAUCAUUGAUAAUUGGAGGUAGUGCUUGGGAGGCAGCAUCAAUAUGGGAGGCGAGAUCAUAACUGUGCAAAAGGGGAAGAAGUUGUGCUUUCCAUACGAGGUAGUUUGUGGCUUGAAGUUUAAUGGGGAUCUGAUUAGUAAUAUUAGGUAGAGAGAUAGCAUUAGAAGAGGAGGACAAUGAGACAAUAGAGGAAGUAGAUGAACUCAUCGUGAGAAGAAGGAAGAAAAAAAAUUGGCUGUUAAGCGUUAAGCUCUGAUACCAUGUAAAUGUGAAUAAUUAUUAACUGAACUUAUUUAGUGAUUAACGUUAUACAUUUAUAUAUACAAUGGAUGCUUAGUAUACAAGAUAACCAAUUUGAGUACAAUAGGAAUACCAGAAGACAAUAGAAAAACAGAAUAUGUAACAAGUCCUAUAGCUGUAUGGAUUUCUGAAAUGUCGAAUAUGUAGGGAGUAAUGUAUAUCUCUUUAUCAGUCCUAUAGUUGUAUGGAUUACUGAAAUGUCAAAUAUGUAGGGAGUAACAAAUAUCUCUUUAUCACAUAUAUGUAUUAGUAUGUCAUAUUUAUCAUAGUAUUAAAAAUAUUAUGUCGGUCUUCUGAUUUAAAGAUAUCCAAUCUUACAAUUAAAAACUUUAUAAUAAUUAUUUUAAAAAUUAUUUGUUACUCAUAUUCUCAACUCUUAAAAAUGGAGUUUUUAAUAAAUACUAUUAAACUCAUUCAAUUAAUUAGAUGACUACAAAAUUGAAUGAAGGACUGUCAUUAAUAAAAAAAAUUUAUUAUAUAAUAAUAUCACAAUAUAUGGAUUAAAAAAUAAAAGUUCAAUUAGUUUUUUAAUAUGCAUCUAACAUAUCUAUAUGAAUUAUAUUAGUUUUUUUUUAUUAUCUUGUCUAAAUUUGAAUAAUAAUGUAUUUUAUAGUUUAAAUAUGAUAAAUAUAUAUGUAUAUAUAUAUUUAUUUAGCAUAUCCUUCCCGUGUUGUAUUUUAAAUUUGUAAAAAUAACUAUGCUAAUGUGUCUAUUUUAUAUCCUGUGCGUGUCCCGUAUGCUAAUCUGUCCUGGUACACGCAACAUUUAAAUCUUGAACAGGGGAUGUGGGGGGAGCCAAAUUUAAUGAGGUCUGCACAUAUCACUAUCCAGUCCAUCACUUGAAUCAAUACUUUGAUUCAGUGUGUUUUGAGUAAAAGAAUCACCAGAAAAACUGGUUGGGGUCAAUUGGGUCACAAAUGAGUGUCCAGCAAUUGAAGCUGGUGCAUUGGUCUAUGGAAAUGGGCAGGCGACCACAUGAUCCUAUGGGCCUAUGGCCAGAGUGUGUAGUGUGUGUGGUGGCCUGCAUCGAGUGGGCAUCGAUGCUGCUGGACCAUGAGCCAUUAUUAUAAUGAGAAAUUUGCAAGGAGCCAGAGCAGCAGCUCUUUUCUUAAAAACAAAACCAAAAAAAGAAAAAAGAAAAAAGAAAAUAAACUAAUUAACAUAAAUGAUGUGCGGAUCAGCUUUUAUGUGACCUAGUAAUUUUAUUUUUUUUAGGGAUGAAUUUAAACACCCAUCUACGACUUCCUGCUUAAUAUUGGAAGGAAAAUGCUUGGAAAUAAUACCAGCAGGCACUUGCAGGAGGAGGUUAUUUCCAAGGGAAGUUGCAUGGCCAUGGGUCCUGACACUCUGAGAAAAGGAAAGGAUAAGAAAUGGGUUGUUUUCCCAUUAAUGAUAGAGAUGGAAGAGGACCAAGUCUAGGCUGUGCCUUCCAUAACCAAUCAGUUUGCUAAAAUUAUUAAGUGGGUAUGGUCUUUUCUUUUUUCCUUUUUUAUUCUUUUAAAUCCUUGGUACAAUCAGGUGAAUAUAAAAAUGUAAUGCUUCCAUACGAUGUCCACAAAGGGACCUUCAUCCAAUAGUUUUUCACAAAUUCUGAAAUUUAAUAUAAAAAAGAAAAAUACUUCUGCAUGACUGUUAAUUCUUAAUCUUUCAAUGUUUAAAACAUAAUAAUAUACUCUGUAAACUAUUAAAGAAAUGUUGCUAGCUAGAAGUAAUGGAUGUUAGUCAUAAUAUUUAAUAUAAUCAGAGUCUAAUUAAUUUGAUUAAAUAUUAAUCUCCAUUUUGAAACUCUUAUUGUUAUCUUUUAAUAAAUUUCUCAAAAUCGUUAAUCUUUUUAAAUUAAUAAGAAUUUAUUGACUAAAAAAAUAGGUUGCUUUUUAGAUUCUACCGUUAUCGUUAAUUUGGGUUGUUUUUAUUUAUUUAUUUAUUUUAAAAGGAACUAAAAAAAGAAGAAGAAGAAGAACAAUACUUAUGUUUUCCCCUUUUAAUUUGUAAAUUAACGUUGUACAAUACUUAUGUUGUCCCUUUAGAUUUAGCAAAUCUCUAAAAGGUUUAUAAGCUUAAAGAAGUUUAAGUGGGACCUUAGGAGUUUGACGGCCUGUCUCAACUCUUUUUACCUUAGAAUUUGAGUUUUAUGUUGGCGACCAUAUGUUUAAAUAUAUAAUGAUUGUUUCUUAUAUUAGCCUCUUUCCAAACAAGCAUCUCUCUUUACUUUUUAUCUCUUUUUCUUCUUGCGUAAUCUAAGUCAUUUUUUGUUAAAUUCAUGCAAAAGAAAAGUUAGAUUAAUCAAGCAAGAACCAAUCAUGCUUUUAUCAUUAGCCCAUUUGAUAAAGAACUAUGCCUCAAUCUCAAAAGAUCCAAAACAAUAAUAAUAAUAAUUGAUGGUCAAACUUUACUCUAAUAUCAUGAUCCAAAGUUGAUUUUGUAGCAUUAGCGGCCAAAUAAAUCUACCAACUAUGCUAUAAUUUUCUGUCAUUUAUAAUUUGAUAUAUUUCUAUAUAAGAGCUUAUCAUACUUUUUCUUUUUUUUGACGAAGAGAUAAAAAUAAAAAGUUGAUGUGAUAAAAAUAAAAUAAAAUAAAUAUUAUUUAUCAUAUGAUAAAAAAUAUUCAUUUCAUAUCAAAUUUUUUAGAUGAUAUUUAUUUAUUAAAUAAAUAUAGGUGUUAUGGUAUUUUCUAAUUAUAAAAAAAAUACAGAAUUUUAUAUGAAAAUGAUAGAUAUUUUUAUAAUUUGUGCUUAACUAAAUCAGUUAAUACACAAAUAAUAAGCGAUUUAAUGUUAAUGAAAAUUAAACUCGUCGUGGCUAGCUUUCGAUCCGAAAGUGUAAAUUUUGAGUUCUCUAUUACUAAGUAAUUGAUCUUAAACAUAAUGGCUUGUUAAACUAGGUUCUGAAGAAGAUGAUUCUGGAUCGGCUUUAAUGGCCUAAAGCUGAAGAUUGACGAUCUCUAAGAACACUUUUUGUAUGAGAAUUUUAAUUACAUUUCACGCUCUUACUUCCUCUGCAAGACUGAAUAGAUCGUCCCCAACAGCAGGGAUCACUAAUAGAUUUUCUCUGUACAGUUGAAAAAGCUACUGCACCUAUUAUAUACGAACAGAUGGGUCUCGUGCAAUGGCAGCUUUCAGAUGGUGUUUUCUAGGAUUGCUUCAUAAGAAAGAAGGGUGACAGUACCACCAAGUGGUGUAGUAAAGCGACAGGGACUCCUCUUGCAAGCAAGGUACCCAACAAAUUCACCACCUCCAUUGCCAUUAAUAAUACUAAGGUGGCAUCUCGGUUGUGAUCUCUAAUAAUUAUUCUACCAAGUCCCUAUUUAUAUUCAUAUUAUACAAUAUAUACACAAGUUUUUAUGCAUGGAUUCAAAACCAGACCAGUGAAUGGUUUAUCCGGUCUAAUAAAAAUUAAUUAUUUUAUAUUUAUUAUAUAUUACUAUAGUAAUUAUAAUAUAUUAACAAACUUAAUGGCAUCUAAGAAAUUCUUAACACUACAAUUUAAAUAAUUAAAAUAAAAAAUCUAAGAAUAUAUAUGAUAAAUAAUUAUUAUUUUAAAAUUGAAUUCAAUAAUUAAAUAAUUAUGAUAUUUAUAAUUUAUUAGUUAAAUUUUAAUUUUAAUUUCUAUUUUUAAAAUAAUAUUUAUAAAUAUUUUUAAUAAUAAAUACAAUUGAGCUGAUUAGAAUUAAUUAUGACAUUUUUAAUUAUGAGAAGCUAUUUUUAUUAGUUUGUAUGAUUGAAAAAUAAUAUAAUAAAAUAAAAUAUAGUUACAAAUAAAUUAUACUUUCAAUUUUUAUUAAUAUAUUAAUAGUAACUGCUAAUAAAAUUUUACUAAACUUUAUCAACUACCAUGUUGAACUUUGAGGGUUGUUAAUCCUAUUUUAACGGUUACAAACAAUUAAGGAUGACUAAUUCUAUGUUUGAGUAUUUAUACCCGGAGAGAAAAUUGGUUCUUCUAAGACAGGGCAGAUUCAUGCCCGUGAACUUUUAUUCACAGCCGUGAAACAUCAGUUUUCCAAACAUGAAAAAUUCUCGCCUCAAAAAGCAAAAAUGACAAUAGCAUUCACGGCAUAUGCUUCUCAGUCGUGAAAAUAAGAAUUCACGGCCAUGAAGAAAUAUUCAUGCUCAUGAAAAAUAUUUCUUCCUAGAAAAAAAAAAGAUACCACAAAAGAGUUCAUGGGGAAAAGUUCCCAACCCGUGAAGGAGCUCUUUCCAGUCGUGAAGAAUAAUUCACGCCCAUGAAAAAUGGUCUCCUCUUUAAGGCUUGAAGAAUCCACAAAAGGAUUGACGGGGAAAGUUUCCAAGUCGUGAACACGGAUUCCCAACCAUGAACAAAUCUUUCUAGUCGUAAAGAAGUUGUUCACGCCAGUGAAGAAGAUAUUCACGUCCGUGAAUUUUGAAGAUUCUCAAGAUUUUCAAGAAAUCACAAAAGAGCUCACGGCCAAAGUUUUCAAGCUGUGAAAUUAGAGUUCCCAACCGUGAAAGCAACUUUCGCGCCCGCGAAGAAUUAUUUAAUGCCCAUGACGGGUUCCAGCUUUUUAAAUCUGUUUUCCAUGCUGAUGAUUCACGGCUAUGAAUGAUUGUUCACGCCCGUAAAGCUGCAUUUAUGACAGUUGCAGAAACAACUAUUUUUGCACUUAAUGAGGGUGCAACGACUCUAUUUCAGUUAGAAGUAUUUAAAUAUCAUUUCUAAGUAUUCUAGAUCAAGCAAGAAAAUUCACUUUGAGCCCCCAUUAUGCAUGUACUCCCAACAACUCAAAAUCUUCAUCUUUAUAUAUUGUAUUAAAGGUUCAAGCUUGUGAUUGAAUCUUUGGAAAGUUUAGUGUUUAAUUCUUGUAUUCAAAGCUCAAAAGAUGAGAUUGAGGUUUGGUUAAGGAAUUAAAAGCUCUUGUAACUAAGAUUAAAAAUCUUAGAGUGGGUUAGAGUGUGAGCCUAGGAAAACACUUGGGUUAGAGUGUAAGCCUUCGGAAAAAACACUUAAGUUUCUUCUUACCCUUAUAAAAGAACACAAAAAUAGAGUUAGGUUUGUAAUUCUAUUUGAUAGUGGAAAUCUCAAGAGGAUUCUUGAGGAGUGGAUGUAGGCAAGAGUUAGCUGAACUACUAUAAAUUUUUGAUGUUAUGAAUUAUGCUUGACUUUCCAUUUCUAGUUUAAGAUAUUUUUUGAUUUUUUAUUUUCAACCAAUUACAUUUGGUAUCAGAGCUUUAGUCUUCUUUAUCAAAGAUGUAAUCAUCUUGAGGUAAAGGUCUAUGGCAUCCACAUCUAACCAUGAUGGAAUGGGUCAAGCAUUUAGUCUGCCACCUUUCUUUGAUGAAAGUGAUUACCCAUAUUAGAAGAAUUGCAUGGAAAUAUCCUUGAAAGUGACGGAAUUGACCUAUGGGAGAUAGUUAAAGAAGAUGUAACUCUUCCGAAGAAGAAAAAUAGUAUUGAACUGCUCAAGAAAAAAAAAAAUGGUCUCUGGAAGAGGAAAGCUUUACUCAAAGGAUAGAAAGACUAUGAACAUCCUCUAUUGUGCUAUAUCUAGAGAAGAGUACGGUGGAGUUGAACAUUACCUUUUUGCUAAGAAAAUUUAGGAUUCAUUGGCAAACAAACAUGAGGGAACAACUCAAGUCAAGACUAAGAAGACUCAAGUCUUGGUACAUGAGUAUGAAAUGUUCUAAAUGAAUUCGAAUGAAAAAGUCUCUUAAAUGUAUAGCCGACUAAUGAGCAUCAUCAACGCCUUGAAGAAGCUUGACAAGAUGUAUCAACUUGAAGAGAUCAAUAAUAGAAUUUUGAGAGUUCUUCCUAGAAAGGAGUAAGAGUACAAAAUGAACUCCAUUGGAGAAGCCAACAAUCUCUCCAAUCUUUCCACCGACUUCGUUAUGGGCAAAUUGCUCACUCAUGAGAUGAUCAUGAUAAAUGAUAAAAAAGAAAUAGCUAAGAAAGUUAAGGAAGAGAAGAAGAACUCAAUUGCACUCAAAGCCAAGGAAGUCAUCACAAGUGAUAGCGAAAGUGAUCAUAGUGAUGACUAUGAUGAGGAUCUUGCUCUCAUUUCCAAGAAGCUAAGAAACAUUCUCAUGAAGAAAAAGAAGUUCAGUAAACUAUCCAAGAAGCAUGAUGAUGCCAAAAAAGAAUCAGUCAUUUGCUUUGCUUGCAAUAAACUGGGUCAUAUUAAAGCGAAUUGUCCCAAGCUUAAGAAGAACCCAAAAAAGCAAAAGAAGAAGACACUUAAGGCUACUUGGGAUGAUUCUAGUGAAUUCAAAGAUGAUGAUGACUCAAGUGAGAAUGAGGUAGAAAAUCUUUACUUCAUGGCAAUAGAGGAACCUAUAAACGAUGUGGUAAUUGAUCUCACUUAUGAUGAACUUAUUGAGAUGUGUGAUAUUAUAAUUCAUAAGUAUGAUCAAAUGAUUUUAAAAAAAAUUCUUUGAAAAUAAAGCAAAUGAGCUUGAGAAGCUAAUUGAUGAUUUAAAAAAUGAGAUUAAUUCACUUUUUAAAUCUAGUGAAGAGUUAACUACAUUCCUUGAAGGAUGUUUGUCUAAAGGAAAGAUAACUCUUUUGGAACAUGAGAAAGUUACCAAACUCAAUGAAACUUUAACUAUUGAAAAGUUAAAUUAUUUUACAAAAAAAUGAGAAUUUAAAAAAGGAGCUUUCAAACAUAAAUUCUCAAAUUGCUAAGUUUUCAAAGGGUAAAAAAACUCGAUGAUUUAAUAAAUGCUCAAAGGUCACCUUCAAUUAAGCAUGUUUUAGGUUUUGAACAUGGUUUUCCUAGUAAGAACAAAACAAUAUUUAUGAAACCAUCUAAUUUAUUUGCAUGAUCCUCCAUAUCUAGAAUAGAAGUUUCUAGUUCUAGACCUAGAGGAGCUUAAGCGCCACCUUCCAAGACCCAACCCAAAAGAGUAAGUGGUCAAGGAAGGCAAAGGUAAAGAGCUCAAAAUUCUAAAGCCUCACAUAAAAGGAGAAAACAUGAUCACAAGAACUCACAUGCUAGACCUUUGAGGAAUGGGCAUAUACAUCAAAUUCACAAUCAUCAUCUUACAAAUGUAACUUGCUUUUAUUAUUGCAUGAAUAGACAGAUAAAUUAUAAGUGUCCUAUAAGGAUGAGCCAUAUGGAAUAUCCAUUUGGAAAUACAUCUAAGAAUAAUAACAAAGGAUCUAAUUACAUUUCGGUACCUAAAGAGAAGUGAUCUUUAUUUUGUAGGUGUGCUUGAAUAGUACCACAAAAGAAACAAGUGGUAUCUUGAUAGUGGGUGCUCUAGACAUAUGACAGGUAAUCCAUAUCUCUUCUCACACCUCGAGAUGUAAAAUGGAUGUAAGCUAAUUUUCGGUGACAAUGCCAAAGGUAAGAUCAUCGGCAAUGAAAAAUUUGGUAAGGAAGACUCAACCCUAAUUGACAAUGUGCUAUAUGUAGAUGGUCUAAAACAUAAUCUUUUGAGUAUUAGUCAACUAUAUGAUAAAGAAUACAAUGUAACCUUUAACCGUCAAACUUGUUUUGUCAAUCAAAGGGAUGAGAACAAAGUCGUGUUUAAUGGUGAAAGGAUCAACAAUGUAUACAUGGUUGACCUUGCUAAAUUGAUUAAUCAAAAGGUUGAGUGCCUUGUAGCUUUGAACAAUGAUCAGGGAUGUGGCAUAGACGACUCGGGCAUUGUUAGCAUGGAGCUCAUUGGAAACUUAUUCAAAGAUGAGCAUGUCCUUUGUAUUCCAAAAGUCAAAUAUAAUAAAAACAAGGUCUGUGGAGCAUGUCAAAUGGGAAAACAACACAAGAGUUCCUUUAAAGCCAAAAAAAGGUAACCUCCUCUAGACCUCUUCAACUCUUGCAUAUGGAUUUGCAUAGAUCAUGUAGGGUUGCUGGCUUAAGUGGCGUGCAAUAUGCAUUUGUGAUUGUGGAUGACUAUUCUAGAUACACAUGGGUAGCCUUUUUUGCUCAUAAGGAUGAAAAUUAUGAAGUAUUUUUUGAGGAUCUAAAAAAUAAUUCAAAAUGGAUAAGGUUUAAAAUUGCUUCCAUUAGAAAUGAUCACGGAAAAUAAUUUAAAAAUGAAAAUUUUAAAACCUUUUGCUACCAAAUAGGUAUUUCUCAUAACUUUUCUUCCCCUAGGACACCUUAAUAAAAUGGGAUCGUUGAAAGGAAGAAUAGAACAUUGGUAGUUAUGGCUUGAACCAUGCUCAAUAAAUACAAUAUUUCUAAGUAUUUUUGGGCCGACGUCGUCAAUACCGCUUGUUAUAUUGCAAACCGUGUCUAUAUUAUAUUUAUUUUAAAUCAAACUCUUUCUGAGCUUUGGAAUGGUAGAAAGUCUAAGAUUUCAUAUAUCUAAGGGUGUUCGGUAGGGCUGAGCAUGGAUCUCGGUGAUUUCCGCCCGAAUCGAAUAACCGUAUCAAAAAAUACCAGAACCGAAAUAACCGAAAGUCUUUAUAACCGAAUUGAAUUGAUCCGAAUUUUUUUACUAUUACGGUAUGGUAUUGGUUCUUUAGUAAAAACCGUACCAUAACCGAUCCGUCUUAUACUGAUCCAGACCAAACCGUAGAACCGAAUAGUUUACAUAUAUUUAUUAAUAAUUAUUUAUAUUGUAUAAAUAAUACAUAUUAAAAACAACUAUAAUAUUAUAAAAUACUUUAUACUCUAUAAAAAAAUUAUUUUAUAUUUAUCAUUUAUAUAAUUCAAGCAAUUGUUACCGAAAUAAAAAAAUAAUAUAUAUUAAAAAUAAUUAUAAUAUUAUAAUAUAUUUUAUACUCUAUAAUAAUAUGUCACAUAGUAUACUGAUACUAGUAAUCCAGUAUACAUACUAUAAUACUAGAUUUAAAAUUUAUUUACUAUCUAGAAAUUUUUAACAAGUUAAUUAAAAAUUACUUAAUUUAAUAAAAAGUUAUAUAAAUUAGUAAAAAUUAUAAAAAGAUAUUGUUAUAUAAAUAUAAUAUUAUUUAUAUUAUAUUUAUUAAUAAAUUAAUUUUUAAUUAUAUAAUAUUUUUAUUUUAAAAAUAAUAAUAUUAAUUAUACUAAAAGUAUUAAUUUAUAUAAAUAUUAAAAUUAAUAAAUAAAUUUUUUUAAAAUAAUUUUUAUAUUAUUAUACUAAUAAAACUUAAAAAAUUAAAUAUUUAGAAAUAAUUAAUUUAUUAACUUUUAAAAUAUUAUAAAUUAAUAUUACAAUAUUAAAAAAUAUAUGAAAUUAUAUUUAUAAAUUUAUUUUUUAUCUUUUGAAAAGGAUCAUAGAAAAUUUGAUAAAAAAAUCGUAAAAAUAUCUGUUAACAAAGUUAGGGAUAGUGAGCUAAGUGAAAUGACCAUUGAAAUGCGAGCUAAAUUUGACAAAUAUUGGGGUUCUUUAGAUAAAAUGAAUGUUAUGUUAUUUGUGGCUGUUGUUUUGGAUCCUAUGUGCAAAUUAAAGUACUUGAAAGCUAAGUAUACCAUUUAUUAUGGUGAAGAUGAGGCAAAAAAUUUGGAAAAAAGGGUGAAAAAAGCUUUAGAGUUGAUGGUGGAUGAAUACAAGAUAAUUGAGGAUCAAUUAUAUAUGGGUGAGGUUGUAGGGAGCUCAAAUAAAUCUGCAUAUGAUAGUGAGCCAAUUGAUACGGAAACAGAAGAAGAGAUUGAUGAGUUCAUUUUAGAGUAAGAAGCGCAGCAGAAUUUGUCUAAGAUAUCUCAGUUAGAUAGGUACUUCGAAGAAUUUGCAGAAAAAUUCACCAUUGAUUUCGAUAUCUUAGCAUGAUGGAAGGUGAAUUCAAUAAGGUAUCCUAUCUUGUCCAAGGUUGCACGCAAUAUAUUGGCUAUCCAAACUUCAACAGUAGCCUAUGAAUCUGCAUUUAGUACUGGAGGACGAGCUCUAGAUCGAUAUAUAAGUUUUUUACUUCCUACAACAGCAGAGGUCCUCAUUUGUUGUCAAGAUUGGCUUAGAAGUUCAAAUAAACUUACCCAACUAGAAGAAUCAAUAGAGGAUAUUGAAAGCAUAGAGUCAGGUAACAUUUCUUUACUUCUUACAUAUGUUUGUUUAUUGUUGAUGCUAUUAAGUUUUAUUGACGUAAUUUUUUACUUUUAUUGUAAAAAUUAUUCAAGAUCCUAAGAUUGGCGAGUCCCUUAUGCCAAGAUUAAAUGUGGAGUGCUAAUUUUGAGGGGAGGUAAUAACAUUCCUUUGCUAAUUUUGGACUUGUAUUUUAGUGCUACAUAAAGUUUGUAAAUUUAUUUAUUUUAAUGAUUACCAUCUGCAAAAUAUUUUUAUGCUAGCAGUAACAUAUAUUUUAAUGGUUUGUAUUUGAAUAUUGAAUAAAUUAUUAUAUUUGCAAGUGACUGAAUUGCAAAACAAGUUGUUCAAGAAUGUGAUUGCAAUUCUAAUUCAGAUUUUCAUGCUACUUUUUUUAGAUUGGUAAUCAUAUUUUUUCUAAAUGUAUUUGAUUAAAGAUGAGAUUAAGACUGUAUUUUUUAAAUUUUUUAGAACUGAAAAUAGCACCGUACCAAACUGUAUUUAACCGUAAAAUUGGUACAAUACGGUAUUGGAUCCUUUUAUGUUUGGUACGGUACUGGUACCUUCAAUUUUAAAAUAACCGAGCUUUGGUAUGGUACUGGUGAUUUAUAGAUAACCGAAUUGGACCGAUCCGUGCUCAGCUCUAGUAUUCAGUUGCAAAUGCUAUAUAUUAAAUACCAAAGAAAAUCUUGAAAAAUUUGACUCAAAAAUCGAUAAAGGAGUAUUUUUGGGAUAUGCCACAACCUGUAAAUCCUAGUCUAUAAUAAAAGAACUCAAGUUGUUGAAAAGUCCAUGCAUGUUGUAUUUGAUGAGUCUAACUCACUUAAUUUGAGAAAAGUAGUUAUUGAUGAUAAUGUAGGUAUCUUUGAUUCUACCACAACUGAAUAACCAAUCGGUACAUCCAAUUAGGAUCAAAGAAGAGAAAUAAGCAUGGAACCACAAAUGGUGGAAGCAGAAGAGUUGCCCCUUAGCCAAUCUAUUUAAGUUCACACCGAUCUUGAUAGAGAUUGGCAAUUCAAGAAGGAUCACCCUAAAGACCAAAUUAUUGGUGAACCAUCAAAAGGGGUAACUACUAGAUCCUCUCUAAGAAAUGUCAUUAAUCUAGUCUUUCUCUUUUAAAUUAAGCGUAAAUCUACUGAUGAGGCCUUAAUUGAUAAUAACUGGGUACUUGCUAUGCAAGAAGAGCUCAAUCAAUUUGAGAGAAAUAAAGUUUGGCAAUUAGUUCCUAAACCUAAAGACUAUCCUAUUAUUGGUACCAAAUGGGUGUUUAGAAAUAAACUUGAUGAAGAUGAUACCAUUACUAGGAAUAAGGCUAGGAUAGUAGCUAAAGGCUAUAAUCAAGAAGAAGGGAUAGAUUAUGAUGAAAUUUUUGCCCCCGUUGCAAGAUUAGAGGCCAUUAGACUAUUGCUUGUAUAUGCACCUCACAUGAAAUUUAAGUUAUUUCAAAUAGAUAUUAAAAGUGCUUUCUUAAAUAGUUAUAUUGAGGAGGAAGUAUUUGUUGAGCAACUUCCCAGAUUUGAAAAUCAUGAAUUUCUAAAAUACAUCUUCACAUUGCAAAAGGCUUUGUAUGGCUUAAAAAAACUCCCAGAGCUUGGUAUGAGAGAUUAAGCUCAUUUAUAUUAUAAAAUAGCUUUUUAAAAGGAAAGAUUAACACGACUCUUUUCAUUAAAAAACAUAAGCAUGAUAUGUUGAUUGUACAAAUAUAUAUGGAUGAUAUUAUAUUUAGUGCUACUAACAAAUACUUGUGUGAUGAGUUUUCUAAGUGUAUGCUAAGUUAGUUUGAGAUGAGCAUGAUGAAAGAGCUCAAGUACUUUCUUAGACUUCAAAUAAAACAAUGUGAUUAAGAAAUCUUCAUAAAGCAAGCAAAGUAUACUAAGGGGUUACUUAAGAAGUUUGGCAUAGACGAAGCAAAAUCAAGCAAAACUCCCAUGAGCACAAUGAUAAAAAAAUUAUAGCAAAGAAAACAAGAGGACAUCCUAUAAUAAGUUUACACAAAAUAAGAAAAUAGUUUCAUGCCAUAAUAAAAGAUGAUACGCUUAGCCAUUGGAGAUGUAGAUUUGCCUUUAUCAUUGGGAGCUGAAUAAGUUAUUAUGUCAUUAUAAGUACUACUAUAAUAGCAAGAGAGAUAUGUAUCUUCUUCAAACUAAACAAUGUGCAAACUGAUUGUUCUCUCUAGGAAAAUACAUAAACUAAACCUUUUUGAAAGGAAGAAGUUGCAUGAUGAAUAGUAACACAAAUACUCCUAAAGGGAACAAAUUAGCUUGACUUGAAUUAAGCACAACAAUAAGAGACACUAUGAACAGAAACCAUAUUGUUAAGACCUAAAUACUUAAUUAGCAAAGCGCCUUCAAGAGAGCAUUUGCUUAUGCUUUAGUAGGCGACCAUCUAGCAUAAAGCACUCUAUUUUGACAACCAACCACUGUUCCUAUUUACUUCCUAACCACACACCCAAACUAGUAAAAUCUUGGAAACCAUUAAGUGCAACAUCUGUUGUCACAAGAAACAUGUUACUUAUAUAUUAGGUCAAGGAGGACCUUUCCAUUUUUCAUGAAUUGAUGGACCACCGACAUUAGCAGCAUGCCAUUCCUCAAGAAAUUUAUUCAGUUUUAUUACUAUUACCAAACCAUUUGUGAUGUAGCCACCAAAGACGACACUAUACCUAUGUUUCGAAGCCUGCCACAACAACGACAUACAUAUCUCUAUAUUAUUAUUGUUGGUCCAAGAAUCUAGAAGGAGGAAAGAACCAGCUAAAUCUAUAUCAUCCAAAUAAUCAAUCAAAGAAGAAAAGCCAAGGAAAUCCUAAUAAAUAGAAACAAACUUACAUUUUUAAAAGACAUGUGCAAUCAUCUCAUCUUCAAGGUGACAACAAGGAUAAAGUGGGGAUAUAUUUGGCUUUCACUUGCACAAAUUAACUCUUGUUGACAACCAACUUUACAAAAUUGACAAAUAAAAUCCUUCACCUUUAAAGAAGGUGUAAACUUCAUAAGAUUUUCCACCAUAUUAUUAGUCGAACUCUCUGGGAUAUCAAUGAGCAUUCUUGAUAUGUUAUAGCCACUUUUAACAAUAUAUGAGCUAAAAGAACCAAACUCCCAUGCCAAACAACUUUUUCUAGACAACGAUGUAAGAACUUGUAAAAUGCAAUUAAUAACCCCUAAAUCAAAGUGUUGACAUAAUAAGUUAUAAUUCCAAACACCACUUACUAGAAAUAAUUCUUGACCAUCAUAUCAGGCGUUAAAGAUGGAGCUUUAAAUGGUCAAAUGACUUCUAUACUAGAAAUCCAUUUUGAAUUAAACAACUUAACCUGAUUUUCUUUGCUCACUCUCCAUUUCAAUCCUUCGGUAAUAAUUUGAUGCUCUAAAGAAGAUCCUUCCAAAAUUCUUAAGAAUUAGAAAGAGCCAAAGCUUGCAUAAAUCUGUAGUAGGAAAUAUGAAGCUUCAAGAACAUGGGUUAUCAGAGAGCCUGAAAAUAACAUGAUACGCCAACAAUGUUUAGCAAGAAGACUUUGAUUAAAGGCAUGUAAACCCCUAAAACCUAGUCCUUCAUAUUCGUUAGGCUCACAAAGUAGUUCCCAUAUGCCCUAAUGUAUUUUCCUUUUCUUUAUUGUCGAACCCCAUUAGAACUUCACCAAAUUCCACUGAUAUCAUUAAUAUCCCCUUUAGGAAUUUGGAGACAACUCAAAACAUAUGAUGAGAUGGUUUGUGCUCUUGACUUUAUUAAUAUUUCCUUACCUGUUGAAGAGAAGUGAGAGCCUUUCCAUGUUUGGACCUAUUUUAGUACUCUUUCUUUAACAAAAGCAAAAAUGACAACCUUACCUACAGAAACCAGGAUACCCAAAUAUUUAUCAUGACAAUCAACCCUUCUUAUACCCGUAAUGAGCCAAUAUAUUAGUUAAUUUCCCUUCAAUUGCAUUUCCAAAACAUACAUCAGAUUUUGCAUAGUUCACCUCUUGACUUGAAGCUUUGGAAUAAGUAUUUAGAAUUUGGUUAAUUGAUGGAAAAUCAUCAAAAGUAGCCCUAUAAAAGAUGAGGUUGUUAUCCGUAAAGAACAAGAUUUGUCUUCCAAAUUUUCUUUCCUUGUAAAUGCUCUCGCUUCUCUACAUUUUGAAUCUUAUAAGAAAGGCCUUAGUACAAAAGAGAAACGAGAACGCUAAAAGGGGAUCGCCUUGCCAAAGACCACGUUGUGGUGAGACACGACCUUUAGUUUCUCCAUUUAUUAGGAAGGAAAAAGAGACACUAGUAACACACAUCAUCACCUUUUGAACCUAAUAGUUGCCAUAACCUAACUUCUAUAUAACUCUCUCUAUAAAUCAGCAUUCAACCCAANNNNNNNNNNNNNNNNNNNNNNNNNNNNNNNNNNNNNNNNNNNNNNNNNNNNNNNNNNNNNNNNNNNNNNNNNNNNNNNNNNNNNNNNNNNNNNNNNNNNNNNNNNNNNNNNNNNNNNNNNNNNNNNNNNNNNNNNNNNNNNNNNNNNNNNNNNNNNNNNNNNNNNNNNNNNNNNNNNNNNNNNNNNNNNNNNNNNNNNNNNNNNNNNNNNNNNNNNNNNAAUAUAUAGGAACAAAUUUUUGUUUGACUUUAUUUUUUAUUCGAUAAUAAUGAAAAGAUGAAGGAGAUGAGUUUAAUAUAAUUAUUUAGUUCUUAUUUUAUUUCUCAAGAGGCAAAGAAAAUUAAGAAAUAUUUAAAAAGAGAAUAUGUUUGUAUUUUUUUUUUUUUUUUUUGUUUCGUUAAAUGAGGGAAAGAUUAUCAUCUAUUUUUCUGAGUAAUAACCAUAUUGAAGGAACUACUAAUGGACGAUAGAUAGGAAAAAAAAAAAAGAGGAAGAAAAACUGUGUUUAAGCUUAUUAUAUGUAAAUUAGAUCAUUAUAAUAAUAUGCAGUAUUAUGAGAUUUUGCAAAAUAUUCCAUUUAAAAAAAAUUGAAAUUCUGAUAAAAUAGAAACCAGUUGAGGCUAAUUUGGCUGCUUAUAUUAAUGAAUCCCAACAUAGGAAUAAUAAAAGGUUAUUUUUUGAAUUCCUCAGGAACUCCAAAUUAUUAAUUAUAAUUAUAACCAUAGAAUAAGUUAAUCAAAUUAUAGUAUUUGUGGAUAAUCUAUGAUCAUAAUAAUCAGUCCAAACCGACCAAUACCGCAACUCCCUCGAUGUAGAAGCUGAUCGAAUCCAAGGUGCAUAUAUGUUUUCGAGAAACGAAUCCAUAGUUCAAUAAGAAUAAUUAAUUAAAUUAAUUAACUCCACGUAAUUUGGAAGGUGCAUGCCUUUUUAAAAUAUAAUUUCUUAAUCGUAUAUUUCCUGCAAGAAUCCUUUUGGCAUUUCCAUCCCUAAUGAAGGAAAAUGGCAUAUUCUAAAUGAGUUUUAUGGUAAAUUGAACUGGAAAUCUCAUGGAAAAAUUGAGUUUUACUAGAAUACUAUUUAGUGCUCUCUUGUUAUAAAUUUAUUUUUUAAUUAUAUGCUAUUAAUUAAUAUUAUUUUAAAUAAUUUAUUUAUUUUAUAUAUUAUUCUACUUAUAUAGAUUAUCAAUAAAAUUAUAUAUAAUUUUUAAUUAUUUAUACAAAUUAAAAUUAUAUAAUUGAGUCAAAUACGAUUAAUUAAAUUUUAAUAAUAAAUAAAAUUUAAAUACAUAAAAUAUGAUAUGUUUAAUUGAUCAAUAAUUAAAUAUCAUGUAAUUGACUAAAAUAAUAUUAAUUAUAUUAGUAAAUCAUUAAAAUUAAAAUAAUAUCAAUAUUAAAUUUAUAUGGUACUGUAUACAUAUAGUACAUUAUAAUUAAAUACUCCAUAAACCAAUAUACUAAAUCUUAAAAGAAUUAUUUUGCUAAAAACACUAAUAUUAUCUAAUUAAAUAAGAUAUUACAAAUACUUUUAUAUUUUUAAUAAUACUUUUAUAUUUUAAUUUUCAUUAAACUUGAAACGUACAAAUAUCUACUUUAUUUUUUACUAAAUUAUUAAGUUAGUAAUAUUGAUUCUAAAUUUUUAAAACAUAAAUAAUGCUUUUAAUAUUACAUCAAAAAAUUAUCUACUCAAGACUUUAAAUGUUUAGAUAAAGCUAUAAAGAUCAUUUUAUAUGUCCAAAAUUAAUAAGCUCCAAUCUCGAAAUCUAUAAGUGUCAUCCAUUGUAUAUGUAUCCUGUAAUUCAUGAACGAAAAUCAAGUAACAAAAUCCCAAUCUAACUUGCUUUUCUUUUUUUUCUUCUUUCUUUUUGGGAAAUUCUGUUGAAGGGAAGGAGUGUCCACAUCCUUGAUGAGUAGCAUGAGGAGGAUGUCACUUUUAAGUGGGUGAAGUAACAUGAAUUUUAGUGCAUGUCAACUACAUGAUGGCACGUGUCAGCCGUAGCUCGUGAUGUGGGCCCUGUCCCAUGCAAAGUCUUACAUUGUCCACGUGAGCUAAAGUGUAUUAUGUCACAUGAAUAAUGGACAGUAUAAAUGCCCUUACCCAAUCACAAUCCACCACGUAUCUACCCGCUAGAUCUAAUCACGUGUCCUUGACCAACAUCUCCAAAAUCCAAGCCUCACUUCAUGUUCCCUUUCUUAUUUAUUUAUUCACUUUUUAUUACUAAAUACUUUUUUCAAAAUUCAAAUUGAUCAUCUCUGUUUGGAUAAGCCCUUUCAUUGUUUAAAAUUAAAUCCUUAAAGAACGAGCCCAGCCUAAAAUUUAAAUUUUUAAUUACUUAAUAAUAAGAGUGAAAUAAAAUUUUAAAAAUAAUUUAUAUAAAUUACACUGAAAUAACCGUCGGUUCAGUUUUGUUUAAAAAUAAUUAUUAAUAAAUAAAAGAAAGUGUUUUGAUGAAGAGAACUAAUUGAAUAACACAUGCUUCAAUUUCCUCUCAUUUGACAUUUUAGAAAUUAAAAUUUUACAGUCAUAAAUUUGAUGGUCAAAAUAAUAGAUUUUGAAGGAGGACCAAUGAAUGCUAAGAUGAUCAUAUGUGAGUUGGCUCCCAAGUGCCACCAUCUAUUUUUAAUUAGUGAAAAGCUUAUCUAGAUUCUUUUCUUAUUAUAAAAAAAAAAAAAAAUCAAAUAAGACUCAUAAUUAAUUUCAUGACAAAGUAUGUCAUCAAAUGUUCAUGUGCUUGCGAACAAAAGAAACCUGGAUGAUAUGUACCUCUUAGUUAAGGGGAUGUCUCACAUUAUUAGUUCCCAUGUUCUAACAUUCUUUUAAUCCAUAGUAAUUUCUAUUUUUUAUAUUUUAAAUAUUAAGAAGAAUGAUAAACUUUUAUCCCCAAUUAUUGCAUAAUAAAUCAUUAUUUUUUAGCUUAAUGAGAUUUGAAUUUGGUGCCUAGUCUUAAAGUAUUUAAUUUAUCAUUAGAAAUUUUUUGUUAAAUUUGACUCUAGUCCGAUUUUAUAAAAAUUUGAAAAAAAAAAUAGUUUAUAAAAAAUAAUAAAAAUCAAUAAUAAUAAAUAAAAAAAAAUUAAAUCUGUUUUUUCAAUAUUCAAUAGUAAUUUCAAACACAUUCUAUUUCUUUGACCGCCAAUGUUGUCUUUCUAUAGCUUUAGACACGAGCACCAACUCCUAUUUCCUUUUUUUCGGUUAUUUAGUUUUUUUUGGUGUUAUUUUUGUAGGUAGGAGAGUCGUCGUCGUUGUUGUUAGAUUUACUACUGUAUAUACAGCUGCGUUAUUUUCACUGCCCAUGUUCUUUUGUUAUUGUUAUAUUUAUUUUUGUUUUUAUUAUCUCAUUAUUGUUUACAUUUUUAUGAGGUAUUUAGUUUUUUCUUUUAUGAAAGUGUUAAAUUCUCCUUUUAUGGGAAUAACGAAGAUGAUCAAGAAAUAAAUUUAACAUUAAACAAUUGAAUUAUUUAAAAGGUAUAUAUAGAGUUGAUAUGUGAUUUAGUACAAUCGAGUGGAGCUUACUACUUAUAUGAAUUACAAUCAGUUAUUUUGUUAAUGCAAUUGACGAUUGUUACAAUUAGAUUAUUAUACACGUAUUGGCUAAGACUUAUUAUUAUUAAUUAUAUCAAAGUAUAUUGAUUAAUUACUAUAAAAUAUCAUAUUUAAAAGAAAACACUUACCACUAAGUUAAGGCACCAAAUCUUCACAUAAAAAAUAUCGAAAGAAGUGUACAUAAAGGAUAUAUAGAAGGUAAAAUCACAUAGACAAACACCUAAAAAUUAAAUAUUCAUAUCCAUCUUUUGUAGUACAUACCUUAUAACUUGAUAUCUUUCUUAAAAUAUAUAGGAUUAAAGGAUGCAAGUUUUAAUUAAGUGAAAAAUUAUAUAUUAUUAAUUAGAAUUAGAGUAAAUAAAUGACAUAAUUAAGAUUGAAAUUGAGGCUUUUUACAUGAAUAAAAUAUGUCUAAAUAGAUCAAAGAAUGAUAAUUAAGUAAAUUUAUAUGCCCUAUAGUUAUGUAUAUGGAAUACUUAUGGAAAAAUCUAUGCCUUCAAAAUGGGUGGAGUAAAAAGUUCAUUAUCAAAAAUUAGGUUUGGAUUCGGCUAAUAGUAAAACAAUUAGAACAAGCUACUUAUUUAGUACUUUUUGGAUUCGGCUAAUAGUAAAACAAUUAGAACAAGCUACUUAUUUAGUACUUUCGUACUCAUAAAUUUUUUAUAUUCGUUAUUUUUAAUUACGUGGAAUUUCUAAUAACUUUCGUUGUCGUGGAACUUUCAGGGGUUGGGUCGACCUCCGAUACUUAGAGCUUUUAAAGAGCUAGAGAUGAGAUAUUGAACCUCCAUUAUUUUUAUAAUAACAUCAAAAUAGAGAAGGAAAAGGUUAGAAAGGAUUUGAAGGAAGUUGAAAUUUGAGGAAGGAGUUUAUGUAAACCCGAUUGGAAAAUUCUAGGGAUUUGGUGAUUUGGUGGAAGAAGGAAUCAGAGCUCCAAGUCCUUUACAAGAAUUGCCACUUUAUCCAUGUCAAAAGGAUGGUUGAUCCCUAUCAUUUUAGUUCUUUUAUCUAUAGGGACCCCUGAAAGAGUGAAAGAGUAAGGGUCUGGAAACAACUCAGUCUUUUAGGAGUGAGGAAAGUUGGUUGUACAUUGGGGACUUUAACCAAGUCCUUUAUAGCAGCGACAAAGGGGGGGGGGGGGAGGGACUUUUUGAAUUCUCACGUGAUGGGUUAAUUUUGAAAAUUUAUCAAUGGUAAUGAUCUUAUGGACUUAGGGGCUAAAAAGGGUCAGUUUACCUAGUCAAACAUACGAAUGGGUGAUUAGAAUAUUCAUUGUCACUUGGAUAGUGGUCUUAGUAAUAUUCUUUAAAGGGAACAAUUUCCUUAUGCCCAAAUUAAGCACGAAGAAUAGGUUAUGAUCAUAAACCGCUAGUCUUCAUUCCAAAGCCUCAUCAAGGUAAAUUUGGGAAGAUCUUUAGAUUUGAAUCCCGUUGAAAGGAGUUUCUAUAAUGUAAGGAUAUUGUUGAGAAAACUUGGUGAUCAAUUGAGGAAAACAGGAACGAAAAAGGAGUGGUUGGAAAAAUCUAUAAUUGCCAAAGAAGACCGUCAAACUAGGCAAAGAGGAGAGUGGAAAAUGUUAGGGUAAAAGUAAAUGAGUUGUUUUAAAAGCUGGAAGUAAUUCAGACAUGGGAUAGUUCUUAGAAAAACUGAGAGGAAGAAUGGGACAUCCUUGACCAAAUCAAUUUCUUCUAAGAUUUGGAGGAGCAAUUCUGGCAUCAAUGUUCCAGAAUAAUUGGAUUAAUUUGAAGAUCACAAUACUCAGUUCUUUCAUUUAGUUACAGUCCAAAAAAAAGACAGAGAAACCAAAUUAUGAGGAUCAAGAAUGAAACAAGAAGAUGGGUGGAGAAUGAAGAGGUAAUUAGAAGAGUGAUGGUCAAUUUCUUUCAAAAGUUAUAUAAGGUAGAAAAGAUUAAGGAAUGAGCAAAAUUAUCUGAAAUAUCCCUAGAAAAGUGAUUGAUGAAAUCAACCAAGCUCUCUUAAAACCUCGUACUAGAGAAGAAGUUAAAGCUACAACUUUUAGUAUGGGGAGUCUCAAAAGCCCUAGUCUAGAUGGGAUACAAAAUAUAUUCUUCUAAUCAUAUUGAGAUAUUGUAAGAAUAAUGUUUAUAAUGAUUAGCUUUUCUAAAUAAAGGGUAUUUCUAAAAUCCAUUAACAUAACUUUUACUGCUUUAGUUUUAAAAACUAAUAUGUUAGCUAGUUUAGACCAAUAAGGUUGUGCAACUUUGAUUGUCCAAAACUCUACCAAAUAGGCUAAAACCUUAUCUAGAUGACAUUUUGUCAAAUUCUCAAACAACUUUCAUCCUUGGCAGACUUACACAAGAUAAUAUUAUUGUGGCCCAUGAGGUCAUCCACUAUCUUAAGACUUAUAACAUGACCAAAGGGGUUGGGAUGGCAUUAAAAAUUGAUAUGGAGAAAGCAUAUGACAUAGUAGAUUAGAGGUUUCUUUAUAGAGUAAUGACUAAAAUGAAGUUUGAAUCUAAGUGGAUUAAUCUUAUUCUGAAUGCUUAAACUUUGUUCAAUAUGCAUUAUUGAUGAACGGCAGACCAUCAAAGUGGUUCAUACCUAUAAGAGGAUCGAGGUAGGGAGACCCUCUAUCUCCGUACAUUUAUCUCCUAAUUAUUAAUGUCUUUCCUUGUUGUCUAAAUGAGGCGGUGAAGUCCAAUAGAAUAAAAUGAUUUUAGAGUGAUGCCUAAUUCUCACUAAUAGUUUAUUUGUUGAUGAUACAUUGAUAUAUAACCAAGCUCUUAUUGUGGAGGCAUGAAGAUUGAAACAUAUUAUGAUGAAUUACUAUAUAACAACUAGCCAAAAGAUAAAUGAAUUAAAACUCAGUAUCUUCUUUGGCAAGAGAUGUGACCUUGGCUUGAGACAAUCCAUCAAGAGUAUUUUUCCCAUGUCUUCCUAUCAAAGGUGUGAGAAACAUUUGGAAUCCCAUCUGAAUGAAGUCGUUUAGAGGGAGUUAGUGAACUUAAUUGUAGUUGGAGUAGCUACUAAAAGCUCAAGGCUGGAAGAGUAAUACCUUAUCGCACGCGAGAAGGGAGAUGAUGAUAAAGGUGGUCUUGACUGCCAUACUCUCAUAUAAAAUGUCUUAUCUUAAACUCCCUAAGUAUUAUUGCAAGAGCUUGAAUGCAAAGUUAGCCUUAUUUUGGUAGGAGCAUGCUGAAGAGAAGAGAGGAAUUUUUAAAAAAAAUUAGAACACUUUGACUUAAGGUAAAGAUAAAGGAGAUUAUAGGUUUAGGGAUCUGUAGUAUUUUAAUUAUGCUCUCUUAAUAGAACAAGUUUGGUGGGUGUUAAAAGAACCCAAAUCUCUCUUUAAAGAUUUUAUUGAGAAAAUAUAAGCAAAUGAGAGUUUUCUUAGAAGCUUGCAAAAGUCAUAAACUUUCUUGGAUAAAUUUGAGUAUCCUAGCAAGAAGGGAGUUCUUGAUUAAGGGCCUGAGAUGUAACUUGAGUAACAUGAAUCAUAUCCUUAUUUAGGAUCCAUAACCCUCUUAGAUCCAGUCAAGUAUCCUAGUAGGAAGGAAGCUCUUAAUGAAGGAUUAAGGACCUAGGAUGGAACUUGAGUAACAAGAAUCAUAUCCUCAUUUAGGACCAGUCCUAGAUCCCAAACUUGCCAGAUUUUAGGAUCACUUUAGCUAAGCUAGAAGGAGUUAGGGAAGUGUUGUUAAAGAUUUGAUUAAUCCCACUUUUCAAUCUUGGAAAAGGAUAGAGUUAGAGCUUUUUUUUUACUUUGUCGAAAGCAAAAUCCAUAAUCAGGUUACCCAUUGGAAUUUAAGAAAAUAAGGAUUCCUUAAUUUGGCACUAUAAUAGGAAAGGAGUUUAUUCGGUGAAAUCAGGGUAUAAACUUCUCGUCACUAAAGGCCAUUAAAGUCCAGGCUGCCUCAUGUUAUGUCUUCUCUCAUGACAGUAUAUUUUAUAAAUGUUUGUGGAAUGCUAAGGUGCAACCAAAAAUUAAGACAUUCUUUUGGUGCCUAGUCAGAAAUUCUCUUAAGACUUUUGAUAAUCUAUGGAAAAGAAAAGUCUCUUAGUCUCCUAAUUGUGGAUUGUUGNNNNNNNNNNNNNNNNNNNNNNNNNNNNNNNNNNNNNNNNNNNNNNNNNNNNNNNNNNNNNNNNNNNNNNNNNNNNNNNNNNNNNNNNNNNNNNNNNNNNNNNNNNNNNNNNNNNNNNNNNNAAUAUUAUGUACUUAUGCUCGCAUAAUUGGAAAAUGCAGAAUGAUAUGCUCUUGAAAAUCAAGUCCUUAACCUUAUCAAAGUGACCUGGCAAGCUGAAUGCACUUUUACAAAAUUUCAAGAAUUAUUGAUCAAUAAGGAUGAGCCUCCAAACCCUUUCCUAUCCUCUAAUAGGAAUUUAAGGUACUUGGCUCUCCAGAUCAAGAUUUUGUUAAGGUGAAUUAUGAUUGCUCCAUUAUUUUGGAGAGUAAAUAUGCAGGUCUCAAGUUUAUUAUACGAGGUAAUAGCGGUAAAGUGAUAUGAACUCGAACCAGAUACGUACAAACACCAAGAUAAACAAUGGUGGGAAUAUCAAAUUGAUAAACGCUCUCCCUAUUAAGAGGAAGCACCCUUACUAAUAAGUUCAAAUUUUCGCCCCAAGAUCUAACUUGAAAGUUUGCAAUUGUUUAUAAAACUAACAAACUUAGCAAUAGAACUACUAAGCCCUUUAGUCAUAAAUAGAUGAAGAAUGUUGAAACAACCCAAGAAACUAAUAAAAAGUUAAUUGAUUAAUCAAACAUGUAGAUGUGAAACUAAACUAAAUAAGUUAAUUUAAUCUCAAGAAAUUCAAGAGUUAACAAUUCAAGGAAAAUAAACUUCAUUCAAAAUGAUAUAUUGAUCUAAUGUCUUUGGCCAAAAUACAUAGCUCUAUUUAUAGAGUUGUGAAAUGAUUCUAACCCUAAAAAAGACUAAGAGAUAAGCAAUAAAGAAUCAAACCCUAAAAGACUCCUAAUAUGCGGCUGCCUCCUUUAGAAUUUUAGGAGAUAAACCAAUCUAGAAUAAAACUCCUUAAUUAAGAUAAACAACAAGGAAACAAAUAAUUCUAUCUAAUCUCUAUCUUGUAAAGAGAUAUGUGGCUGCCUUCUUCUAGAAGCAUAAGUGGCGGCUACCUCCUAGGGUUAGAUGAGACAUCCCAUACUUCUAGAAACCCUAGGAAGACUUAUUGACUUUGAUCUUUAACCUUUGACCUUGACCUUGUUCCAUAACUAGAAGCUAAGCUUCAUUAGUAGCAAUUAAUGUUACUAUCUUUAAGGCUUUGUCAUCAUCAUAAAAAAUACCAUCAUUAGCCAUCUUCAAAGCAUGCUCCAAGUAAGAAUUUAAGGCUUGCUUGAACUUCUUACUCCUUGCUCGUGUCAUUGGUCCUUCAUAGGCUAGUGGGUCCAAACUAGUUGACUUAGAUGNNNAUGCAUUAUUGUUGAUGCGCUCUAUCACUUGAAAUGGACCAUCACCACGUGGCAUCAACUUUGAUUUCCUUUGAUUGGGAAACCUUUCCUUCCUGAAAUGCACCCAAACCCAAUCACCAACUUCGAAUACCAUCCUUUUGCGGCCCUUAUUGCGUUGUUUGGUGAUUUGUUCAUUAUGCCUUUCCAAGUUUGCACGCACUUGUUCAUGCAACUUCAACACAAAUUCAGCCUUCUUUAUGCCAUCUAAAUUCAUUUGUUCACUCAAAGGUAAAGCAAUCAAAUCUAAAGAACUCAAAGGAAUAAAGCCAUAAACAAUCUCAAAUGGGCAAAAUUGAGUAGAAGAAUGCAUACUACGAUUAUAUGCAAAUUCAACAUGCGGCAAACAAUCUUCCCAUGUUCUCAAGUUUUGUUAACCAUGGUCCUAAGUAAUUGUGACAAAAUUCUAUUCACUACCUCGGUUUGACCAUCGGUUUGGGGAUGACAUGUAGUAGAAAACAACAAUUUAGUUCCCAAUUUACCCCAUAAGGUCUUCCAAAAAUAGCUCAAAAACUUGAUGUCCCUAUCACUAACAAUAGUUCUAGGCACACCAUGUAAACGUACAAUUUCUGUAAAGAACAAUUCAGCAACACGUUAUGCAUCAUCAGUUUUCCUACAUGUGAUAAAGUGUGACAUCUUUGAAAACCUAUCCACCACAACAAAAAUACUAUCAUGCCCAUGCUUAGACCUAGGUAAUCUAAGCACAAAAUCCAUAUAUAUGUCAAUCCAAGGAGAAUUAUGUAUGGGCAAAUGCAUGUACAACCCAUUAGGUUGUGAUUUAGACUUAGCUUGCUUGCAUACAAUACAGUUAGCACAUAAUCUAUUCGCAUCAGAUUUCAUCUUAGGCCAAUAGAAAUGAUCAUGCAAGACAUCUAAGGUCUUUGAACACCAAAGUGUCCCAUCAAGUCACCUUCAUGUGACUCUCUCACAAGCAAUUACGCAUAGAACACAUAGGAAUGCAUAGACGUUUUUCCUUGAACAGAAAUCCAUCAUGUCUAUAAAAUUUAUCAAUAGCACCAUGUUCACAAGCAUGAAAAAUAGAACCAAAAUCGUGGUCAUCAACAUACAAGUCUUUGAUAUACUCAAAACUAAGCAAUUUUGUUUCUAAAGAAGCAAGUAAAGCAUACCUUUUAGAUAGUGCAUUGGCAACUGCAUUUUCUUUACCUUGCUUGUACUUAAUGACAUAGAGAUACGCUUCAAUGAAUUCACUCCACUUAGCAUGGCAUUUAUUCAACUUGUUUUAUCCUUUCAAGUGCUUCAAUGCUUCAUGAUUCGUGAGAAUCACAAACUCCUUAGGUAGCAAAUAAUGCUGCCAAACAUCAAGUGCACGCGCAAGAGCAUACAAUUCCUUGUCAUAAGUUGGAUACUUCAAGUAAGCUCCAUUCAAAUUUUUACUAAAAUAGGCUAUUGGCUUCCCAUCUUGCAUUAAAACAGUUCCAAUACCUACACCAGAAGCAUCACAAUCAAUUUCAAAAAAUUUGGAAAAAUCAGGAAGUGAAAGAAUAGGAGAUGAAGUAAGUUUAUCCUUUAGCAUAUUAAAUGCUUUUUCUUAUUGUUCUCCCCAAUGAAACUUUACGUUCUUCUUUACAAGCUCAUUGAGUGGUGCGGCAAGGGUACUGAAGUCCUUCACAAACCUCCUAUAGAAGCUUGCAAGCCCAUGAAAGCUCCUCAUGUCACUAACAUUCUUUGGUGUUGGCCACUCCUUAAUUGCUUUCACCUUGUCUUCAUCAACCUGAAUUCCAUUUGCACUAACAACAAAACCAAGAAACACAAGUUUAUUUGUGCAAAGAUCACACUUAGCAAGGUUAGCAUAUAAAGAAUUCUCACGCAAAACCAUCAACACCAUUCGAACAUGUUCAACAUGCUCAUUCAAGCUCUUACUAUAAAUCAGAAUAUCAUCAAAGUAUACUACCACAAAUUUUCCAAUAUACGCAUGCAAAACAUGGUUCAUUAGUCUCAUAAAAGUACUUGGUGCGUUAAUUAAGCCAAAAGGCAUGACCAACCACUCAUACAAACCAAAUUUAGUUUUGAAUGUUGUUUUCCACUCAUCACCUAUAUUCAUUCUAAUUUGGUGAUAGCCACUUCUCAAAUCAAUUUUAGUAAAGAUAACACUACCAUGCAAUUCAUCUAACAUAUCAUAUAACCUAGGAAUAGGAUGACGAUAUUUAAUGGUAAUCUUGUUAAUUGUACGACAAUCAACACACAUACGCCAAGACCCAUCUUUCUUAGGGACUAAUAAAAUAAGAACAGCACAUGGGCUAAGACUUUCCCUAGCAUUAACCUUUACUUAGUAAUUCCUCAACUUGGCAUUGCAACUCUUUUGUCUCAUCGGGAUUGACUCUAUAGGCUGGUCUAUUUGGAAUGGAUGACCCCGGCACAAAGUCAAUUUAGUGCUCUAUUCCCCUUAGUGGUGGCAACCCACUAGGUAACUCCUCGGGAAACACAUCGUCAAACUCCUGCAAAACACUUACAAACACACUAUGAAGAGAAGAGUUAAGAUUAUUAGUGUUAAAUAAAGUUUCCUUGUACAUAAGUACAAGUACUUGCCUAUUUUCACUCAAAGCCUUUCUCAUAUCUUGCUCUCUAACUAAGAAACUUAUAUUUUUCUCACUUGCCUCCCCUUUUUCUUGCACCUUACUCAUUCUUUUGCUCAUAUUCUUGCGAAAACCCUCGUUGAACUCUCCUUUUACCACUCUUUGCUCUCGCCCCUCAUUAUUUUCCACACAACUCCCCUUUUGCUUAUGCACCUUUUCUUUUUCAUGUGCACUCUCACACUUUCAUUUUUCUUUCUUAUAUGCUUCCAUUCGGUCCUUUACAACUCUUUGUAAUUCACAAACUUCUUUAGGAAUCAAUGGUGCCAAAACAUAUAGUUUUCCAUCCAUUACCAAAGAAUAAGCAUUAGUUCGACCAUUAUGAAUUACAGAUCUAUCAUAUAACCAUGGUCUACCUAGCAACAUAUGACAUGCUUGCAUGGGAACAACAUCACAUAGUACCUCAUCAUGAUACUUCUUUACACUAAAUGCAAUCCGUACUUGCUUAGUAACUCUAAUUCCAUUUUGAUCAUUAAGCCAUUGCAAGGUGUAUGGCUUAGGAUGCUUAAUAGUUGGCAGUUUAAGUUUAUCAACCAUCAUAGCACUUGUUACAUUAGUACAACUACCCCCAUCAAUGAUUAAACUACAAUUAGCAUCAUGUUUUUGUACUUUACAUGUAGUAUGGAAUAUGUUUUCCCUUUGAGCAUCAUCAUCAACAGGUUGUAAAUUAAGAGUUCUAAAGGUUACAAGUACAUUACUAACCUCACCCAAUUACACAUCAUCACAAUCCUCCAACUCAAGCAUGUCUAAGUAAUCCUCCUUAGUAGGUUCGGAUUCUUCAUCACUCUCCAAGACCACUUCACCACAUCGUAUUGCCAUGGUUCGCUUGUUUGGACAUUGGGAAGAUAUAUGCCCAUACCCCAAACACUUGAAGCAUUGCACUUUCUUCGAUUUGAGGUCACCUUGCAUCAUUGACUUAGUGUUAACAUCAAGUUUAGGGGCUGCCUUGAUGUCUUUUGAUGCCUCACGACCCUUGUUAGGGGGCUGGUUGCUCCCUUUCCAUGUGUUACUCCAUUUUGAGCUAGGGGCAGCACUUCUACUCUUGGUUUUCAAUUGCUUUUCCACCUUUACGGCCAUGUGCAACAUGUCCUCCAUCUCUACAUAAUGCUGCAAUUCAAUUAUGUUAGCAAUAUCAUGAUUCAAACCAUGCAGAAAUCUUGCCAUUGUGGCUUCCCUAUGCUCAUCUAUAUUGGCUCUAAUCAUAGCUAUCUCCAUAGAUUGCCAAUACUCCUCAACACUCUUAUUACCUUGUACUAAAUUUUGUAACUUGUUGUACAAAUCCCUUUGGUAGUGCGAUGGCACAAACCUUUUACGCAUAAUGCGUUUAACCUCAUCCCAUGAACCAACUUCGAGUUCCCCAUAACACCUACGACUACUCACCAAUUGUUCCCACCAAAUGGCAACAUAAUCAUAAAAUUCAACUAUCGUAAGUUUAACCUUCUUAGACUCAAUAUAGUUAUGACAUUCAAAAACCCUUUCGACCUUCUUUUUCCACUCCAAAUAAGCUUCAGGGUCACUUUUACCAUGAAAAGAUGGUAUUUUCAUCUUAAUACUACCCAAAUUAGUGUCAAUUUUGGGUUGGAGACUAUGUCUAGACCCUUUAGACUCACUUUCUAGGUCAUUAUCAAAACCGUCCCUUUUAGACGUUUUCGGCAUAUCAUUCAAUAACCUAGUUAAUUUAUCAUCUUGUUUUUGAAAUUGUCUUUGCAUAUGUUCUACUAUAUCUCUCAAUUUAGAAGCUAAGUUUUUCAAAGUCAAUGGUUGUUCAAAUGACAUGGUUAACCCAAAAGACUAGAAAAGAAAAUAGAAAAAGACGUGAUCAAGUGUUAUACUCUGGAGCCUUCUUAUAGUAAAAGGCAAAACAAGAAAAGAUCACUCCCUCACGUGUUUCACUCACAAAGAAUUGAAUUCCUUAUAAAAAUUAAAUCAAAUUGUUCCAGUAAUCACAAAAGUGAGUUUUUCACAAUCUCUUAACGUUUAUUAAUUCUGAAGUUCAAUAGAACACUCGUGAAUCAAUAAAACGAAUUAUAAGCGUGUGAACAAAACAAGCUUACAACUAGUCGAACAAGACUCAAUUAACCUAAAAGAAAAGCUUUUUUAAGAGAAACUAAAAAAUUACCCAAAUCAGAAUUUCAAGAAUGAAGAACAGCUCCAAUCAGUUUAAAAAAAAGAAUUGCAGAAUGAAUCAAUCAAGAAUAAAUUCUUCAAGAACCACCCAACACAAACGGUUAGGGUUAGUUUUCCAUUCCUUUCCUUUUUUUUUUUAGAAAUCUGCCUUGGUAUGCAGGUAGCAAUGAAAAUAUUAUACUUUUUUUCUUUAUAAUGAUGCGAACAUAAAUUGAGAUGAAAUAGAAGACAAACCCUUAAUUGAAAAGAAAGUAAACCAAACUUACAAGCUCUGAUACCAAAUGAUACAAACUCAAACCGGAUACGUUCAAACACUAAGAUAAACAAUAGUGGGAAUAUCAAAUUGAUAAACGCUCUCCCUAUUAAGAGGAAGCACCCUUACCAAUAAGUUCGAAUUAUCACCCCAAGAUUUAACUUGAAAGUUUGCAAUUGAUUAUGGAACUAACAAACUUAGUAAUAGAACUACUAAGCCCUUUAGUUAUAAAUAGAUGAAGAAUGUUCAAACAACCCAAGAAACUAAUAAAAAGUUAAUUGAUUGAUUAAACAUGUAGAUGUGAAACUAAACUAAACAAGUUAAUUUAAUCUCAAGAAAUUCAAGAGUUAACAACUCAAGGAAAAUAAACUUCAUUCAAAAUGAUAUAUUUGAUCUAAUGCCUUUGGCCGAAAUACAUAGCCCUAUUUAUAGAGUGUGAAAUGAUUCUAAUCCUAAAAAGGACUAAGAGAUAAGCAAUAAAGAAUCAAACCCUAAAAGACUCCUAAUGUGCGACUGCCUCCUUUAGAAUUUUAGGAGAUAAACCAAUCUAGAAUAAAACUCCCUAAUUAAGAUAAACAAUAAGAAAACAAAUAAUUCUAUCUAAUCUCUAUCUUGUAAAGAGAUAUGUGGCUGGCUCCUUCUAGAAGCAUAAGUGGCGGCUGCCUCCUAGGGUUAGGUGAGACAUCCCAUGCUUCUAGAAACCCUAGGAAGACUUGUUGACUUUGAUCUUUGACCUUUGACUUUGACCUUGUUCCAUGACUAGAAGCUAAGCUUCAUUAGUAGCAAUUAAUAUUACUAUCUUCAAGGCUUUAUCAUCAUAAUCAAAAACACCAUCAUUAGCCAUCUUCAAAGCAUGCUCCAAGUAAGAAUUUAAGGCUUGCUUGAACUUCUUACUCCUUGCUCGUGUCAUUGGUCCUUUAUAGGCUAGUGGGUCCAAACUAGUUGACUUAGAUGCAUCAUUGGUCGCAUUAUAAAGUCAGUGAUGGUGGGAUUUGUAGAAGAAGAGUUAAUUCAACUCUAGUUGGUAAUGCAUUGACUAUCUUGGAGUCAAUUAAGAAGGUUCAAAGUAACAGCUUCAAGAAGAUUGUAUUUUAAUCAGAUUCAAAAAUUGUUAUUUCUACAGUCCUUAAUUGGAUGAAACUGAGAGAUUAAAGUUGUAAUUUAUUUAAUUAUUUCUUAUGUUCAUCAAGAGUAUUGCUUUAUUUUUAAGGGAAAACGAUCCCAGAUACCCCAACCUUUAACCAUUUUCGCGAAUCUACCCUCACCUUUAAAACAUAUCAAUUUGAUCCACCAUGUUUGCAUCUUGUAUCAUUCCUACCCACCCGUGUUUUGGCGUGUACCAGUAAUGACAUGGCGUCCACACGUGGCUUGUCCUGCAGUCUACGUGGCUGAGCAUAAUGAAGACCUCAAAACUCACCGUUUCACUCUCCCGAUUUUCUCAAUUCUUUUUCCCCAAUUUUUUCCCCGGCGAAAUCCCCAAUAGCAUAAUUUUGUACUGCUCCUCUAAAUUAUUCUGCAUUUGUGAAUUUCAUUCCUGCUAAAAACUUUAACUCUUGAUGAUUACACUUAGGAUUGUAAAUUAUUUUUUUCUCUCUCUUUUUUUUCCUAAACCACAGUCAUCCUCAUCACUUGAAACAAGAGUAUCAACCUCAACAUCACUGUCAGGGUACUCAGAAUGGCACUCACUACUAUCACUCACAUUGCCAUCCACUCUAGUAUUGCUACUAGCCCCCACAAACCCAGUGUCAUAUCUCCCUUGGUCACUAUCCAAUCCUAAACCAAAUCCAUUGUCAACUACAGUCUUGCUAAAGUCCUUUAGAUUCUGUUUUACAGUCACAUAUUCCUAAUCCACAUCUGAGUCAGAAACAUCACAAGAUAGGCUAUCCUCAUCAUCACAUUCAUCAUUUUCAGGGGUAUAAUCUUCAUCCUCACUAGAUCCAACAUAGUUAUCAACAUUGUUCACACAUUCAGGUAUACUUCAUUUUCCAUUUAUUUCCAACACUUUCAGGUCAGUUUCAUUUUGAUUUGUAUUUUCAAAUCCAACUACAGUCNNNNNNNNNNNNNNNNNNNNNNNNNNNNNNNNNNNNNNNNNNNNNNNNNNNNNNNNNNNNNNNNNNNNNNNNNNNNNNNNNNNNNNNNNNNNNNNNNNNNNNNNNNNNNNNNNNNNNNNNNNNNNNNNNNNNNNNNNNNNNNNNNNNNNNNNNNNNNNNNNNNNNNNNNNNNNNNNNNNNNNNNNNNNNNNNNNNNNNNNNNNNNNNNNNNNNNNGCUUCAGCAUAAACUUUUAAAAAGCCAUACUCUAAACCUUCUGCAAACAUCUUUUUCACUCUUCCUCAGUUUCAACAAAAACUAAGCCUAGUUCCUUCCCUAUAGGGUUCCAUCUCUUGGGGGUUCAUAGGCAACACUUAAGAAAUGUAUAUAUCCUAAUAUUUUCACUAUCUCCUCAAUAUAAUCCAUAGUGAAACUACAAAUGCCACUAAGAUUCUCAGUUUCAACAAAAACUAAGCCUAGUUCCUUCCCUAUAGGGUUCCAUCUCCUAGGAGGUUCAUAGGCAAUAUUUAAGAAAUGUGUAUAUCCUAAUGUUUUCACUAUCUCCUCAAUAUCAUCCAUAGUGAAACUACAAAUGCCACUAAGAUUUACAGAAUACCCACCAACAUAGUUGAGUAUAGGAUUACUAAUUUAUGAACCAUCAUGAUGAAAUUCAAUAGGAAUACUGUAAAAAUAUACACACAGCAAUUAUAUUAGUAAUGCAGCAAUACAAAUGCCACUUUCUAGUAAUAACAAAUGCAAAUGCAUGUAGUAAUAAUAAAUGCAAAUGCAUGUAGUAAUAAAAAACGCAAAUGCAAAUGCAAGUGCUUAAAGGUUGUAGUAAUAACAAAUGCAUUUUUCGUACAAUGUUAUACCCACGACAAUAAGAUUUCCCACCACUUGCAUUGCUUUACCCAUUCAAUGUAUUAAUAAAUACAUACCUUCGUUGCCUUUUUCUGGAAGGAGCCAUCUUGCGGGGGACCACAGGCACGAGCUUCAACAAUAUUGGACCAUAGAAAAAGGGACAAAGAUAAUAGAGUGAAUUUGGCAAAAUGAGCGAAUUCGGCAAAAUAGAAAUUAGAAACCCUAGAAUACUGAAUUGGGGAUUUCGUCGGGGAAUAAAUUGAGGGAAAAGAAUUGGGGAAAUCGGGAGAGUGAAACGGUGAGUUUUGAGGUCUUCAUUAUGCUCAGCCACGUAGACUGCAGGAUAAGCCACAUGUGGACGCAUGUCAUUACUGGCACAUGCCAAAACAUGGGUGGGUAGGAAUGAUACAAGACGCAAACAUGGUGGACCAAAUUGAUACGUUUUAAAGGUGAGGGUAGAUUCGCGAAAAUGGUUAAAGGUUGGGAUAUCUGGAAUCGUUUUCCUUAUUUUUAAUCAUAUACAUAGAGAAGCCAACAAGGUGGGUGAUUGGUUAACUAAAGCUGCUAUUAACUUUUCUGGUCUUUCUGAUUGGCUAUGCAAUCCUCCUUAGCAGCUUGUUGUUUUCUAUCUCUGUUAUACGGAUUUCGGCAUUUGAGUAAUGAAUCAUCAUGUGUUUUUAAAAAAAUCAAAAAAUAGAAUACAUUGAUUAUUGAAUUAUAAAUUAGAAGAACCUUGUCAAUGUAAUUAAAAAAUAUAAAUACAAAAUUAAUUAUUUAUAUAUUUUCUUUGUGUAUCUCUUAGGUAUACUUACUCUUAUUUUUAUUAUUAGUAAAGUUUGUACUCUAUUUUUCAACAAAUAAAAAUAUUCAUGAUUGUAUAAGACAAUUAUGCGUGCAAAGGGUCUUAAUAAAUUGAGUAAUAGAUAAAUAAAAUUCGCCAUUAACUUUUUUAACAAUAAUAGUUCACGGUAGUAGUUGUUGUACAAUUAAUUAGUCAACCAUAUAUUUUUGUACAAUUAAUUAGUCAACUGUAUUUGCUUUCCUCCUUCGAAAGGCAAUGAAUGGGAACUAGGAAAACGUUGGUUCAUUUAUGACAUCAACAUGGUAAGACACAAUUGUAGUUAAUUUAUUAAUUUUACGUGUUUUACAAAUUGAAUUUGCAUAUUUUUACCAUUUUGACAUUUUUUUAACCAUUUGCACAUUCAUAUUUUUAUUUUUAAUCAAUUUGACUUUUAAUGUGAUUUAUAGAAAUACAUAUUAAGCAUGCGCUACAAUGAGUUGGACAAAUGAAAUGUAUAAAUUUCAUAUGUAUAUUAAUAAAAAUUAAAAAAUAAAUAAUAUUGACAAAAAACUGAAAUUUCUAAAUUAGACAUAUUAGAAUUGAAAUUUCUAAAUCAUUUUACAAAUCUAAGUUCUUCAUUUAUUCAACUAAUUGUUUUAGGAAUCCUUUAAGGAUUUGUUUAAUCCUUUAAGAAUUAGUGAUUCCUUAUACUGUGAUUCUGACACUGUAUAAUAGUUAUUAUUUAUAAUAAUAGACAAGUUGUUAAGAGUCAAAGAGAAAGAGAGUCAGGUGCCUAGAUUACAACCACACUCUUUUUUAUGCUGGCACUACAAAAAUAAAAUUACAAAAAUAAAAUUACACGAUUAAAUCAAAAUUUGGAGAUAAAAUUAAUUAAAAAUAAAGAUAAAAAUGAACUAUUAGUUAAAAUAAAAAUUAAAAAAAAAGUCAGAAGUCAAAUAUAUUUCCGCAAAAUAGUAAUACAAAAUAGAUAUGUGAAGAAAAGGGGACAGAUACCAUUUUGAUAAUAACUUAAAGCAUAUAUAUCAUACAUAUUUGUACGAAUUGGACAUGUAAAAGGAAAGGAGACAUACCAAAUGCAGUAAUUGAACGUGGAAAGCUUUAUGAUUUUUGCAACCAUAGUAAGGAAAUAUAUAUAUUCAUAUCAUUUGGUUAUUAUAAUAUCUUAAUUUCGUAAGUAAUUUGAUAAAUACUGUAACUUACUUAUUUUUUUUUAAAUUAAAACAUUAAAAUCAGUAAAUCACCAACAUUCAAGAAUCUAAAAUAUGUAAUUCGGACUGGCACAUAUUAUAAAGUAGGCAAUUUCUUAAAGGAGGAUAAUACCUUUAUCCUUACCAUGUGAGGGGCGAAUAGAUUGAUGUAAAAUGACCGAAAAGUGAUUAGGCAGUUCAAGCAUGGGGUUAUUAGGACCACAAUGUCACCGAAUCUAACUCCUCAUCAACCGUUACAAUUUAAAGAGAAAAAAAAAAAUUUUAAAAAAAAGCAUAUAAUGCUUUGCCAACAAAUAAGCAAAAGAAAUGCAUAGAAACACUCACUUAUCAACGCUUUUUUCUAGUUAAAAUGAAGGAUAGUUUUAGGAUAUUAUAAAUUUAUAAAAUAAUAUUUUACAAUAACUCAUCACUCAUUAAAAAAUAAUAAUUUUCAAAAGUUUUAUAUUUUAAAUGUAAUUAGUGAAUUCUUUUAUAAAAUGUUAUGAUAUUUAUUUGUAAAUUUAAAAUUUAUAUGUUUUAUUGAAAUUAUUUUAACAUAAAUAAAAAAUUACGAUGCGAUUUUAUUUUUUGACAACUUUAAAUAAUAUAUUUUUUAUAAAAAAAAUAUUUAGUUAGAAAUCAUAAUAAAAAUAAAUAUCUUAUUAUUAAACUCUUUUUUGAUUUUGCUAGAAUCCAACUACUGUUAUUUCGAUCAACCAUUAUUAUCAAAUAUUUUCUAUUUAUAUAUUUAGAGUUUAACAAUUCAUAGAGUUGUUAUUUGAUUACCAAAUUGAUACUAUUGGAUGCGUCAUUUCUUUCGUGGUGAUAUGCAGUCAAAGAACGAAGUUAGGAAUUAUUAAAUUCUAAAUUCACUUUAUCAAAUACAAACAAUAUGAUAAUUAUCAGACUAAAAAUAAUCAAAUCAUUACGAAUUAUUUUAAUGGUGAAAUACUUAUUUUUACAGUGAUUUCUAGCCACAUAUGUUUUUUUCCUAAGAACACAUUUAAAAUUAUCAAAGAAGGAAACUUAUAGUAAAGUAAAUUUUUUGUACUUGUAAAAAUUUUAUAUAACUAAAUUAAUAAAAUUGGUUAUAACUAAAUUAAAUUAUGAUAAAAUAGAUAAAAAAUUUAAAUAAUUUUCACAUUAAUAAGUCAAUAUAUUUCAUAUGAUUAAAAUACCUUUUUUGACUUUCUUAUUUCAUUUUAUUUUUUCUCUUGUUUUUUUUUCUAUUUAUAAUAUUUUCUAACAUAAUAUUUAUUUUAUUUAAAAUGAAUUUCGUAUUUGUUAUUUAGCACAUUAGAUAUAUAAAUUUAUUUAUAAAUGAAAUAAAAUGUUUAAUAAAUUUCAGUUAAACACAGUUUUAAAAUAUUGAUAGGCAAAAUAUUUUAAAAGAUGAUAAUUUUUUUAAAUCUGUCAAUAUAAUCCCAUUUUGUUUUAACAAACUAUCAUGUGAUCUUUUGUGAAAGCAUAAAUUACUAGUCUAAUCACUUAAAUAGUUAUUUAAUAUAUAAAUGUUAUCAUUUAAUUUGAGAGAUUUUCUUUUCUAAUGACUUAAAUAAUUAUUUUUAAAAUGUGAAAUGGUUAUUCUAAAUUGUACCAUUUCCUUUAUUUCCUUAAAUACCAAAGAAAAGAAAAGAAAGGUGAAACAAAAAGGAGGAAAUGAUAAUUUUAAGAUCUUAAAGUUCUUUCGUUGGGUGAAAUGGAAAUGUCAUUUUCACAACUUUGAUAUAAGAAUAAUAAUUGCAACCUGACAGUACUUUUCUAUUUCAUGUUCUAUGGACAUGGACAUGGGCAGCUGCAGUUCAAGUUCUUUUUUUUCUUUUUCUUUUUUCUAAAUAUCAGUUUGCCUAUAUAUUCACAUUUAAAAUUGGUAAAUUAACAACUUAAUGCAUAUGCUACUGGCUGAAAUAAUUAUAAUAAUGAUACUUUGGGUUGAAAUCAUUAGGAUUAUGAUACUUAAAGAAAAUAGAUAAAUAUAUUUCAUUAAAUGUGUAUUUGGUGGUGAGGUAUACAGCAAAAGAAUCAGUCUUUUAUAUAUAUUCCAAAAUGUGACAUAUUUCUAUUAAAUAUCGGUGGAUGUCGUAUAUAAAAAAAGAAUAAAAUUAAAAAAAUUAUCAUUUGAUUUGAUUUUUUUUAUUCGAAAGGUGAAAAUAUUUUUUAUAUAAAAAAAAUAUCAAAUGUAUUAUUAUUUUUAAAUACAUAUUAUAAUUUUAUUAUUUUAAUAUGAAUCAUUACUAUGCUGUGAUAUUUAAUAAUACAUCAAAAGAUGUAUAAAUAUAUUAAAAUUUUAUUUUUUAAAUUUAAUUAAAAUUAAUAAUAUAUAUAUAUAUAUAUAUAUAUAUAUAUAUAUAUUAAUAAUUUUUUAUGAUCAUAAAAUAUCUAAAAGCUAUAUUAAUUAAAAAUAUUUAUUUUAUCAAAUAUUUAUAUCUAAGAAAUGAAAAAACAUUUAAUGUAUUUAAGAAAAUGCUGUAAAAAAUAAAAUAUAAUAUUUUUUUAUAUGAAAAAUAUCUUCAUUCUUCAAGUGUAAAAGCAUCAAACUACAAAGUAGUUUUUUAAACUUUAUCUAAAAAAGAUUAAAUUGAAAAUUUCUCUAUAUUGUGUUUGGUUGAAAUAUAGAAAAUAUAUAGAAUUCAAUUACAAAUUCAUAAUUUAUGUGUUUUGAAUGAAGUGAAAGUUAAUUUAAAAUAUAAUUAAAUUCAUGUGAAAUUGAUUAUAAGUAAACUAAAUGCUAAUGAAAUAGAUAGAAUUUAAAAAUGAAUUCCACAUUAGUUUAUCAAUAUAUUUCAUAAAAUUAAUAUAUCUCUUUCAACUCUGUUAUUUUUAUUUUAUUUUCUCUCUCAAAUCUUCUUUUUUAAAUAAAGUAAUUUUUAUAUAGAUUUCAGCUAAACAUAAUUUUAUUUUUUUGAUAAUUUUUAUAUUUUAAACUACUUCCUAAUUGAUAAUAAAAUAGAUUUCUCACAUAAAUUAAAUCAUAAAAGAAACAUAUAAAUACAUAUAUACUUAAAUUAUUGCCCUAUAAUAAUGACCAACAUUAAAAUAAAAUACUUUUACACUUUUGUAUCCCAAACUAAAGGAAUAAGAUAAAAGUGCACCACAAGAAUAUAUAAUUUAAUCUCAUUUUCAAAAGAAAAGAAUAUAGUUAUUCUCCAUUCUCAAUAAAUCUUUACAUUUUAAAGUUCCUAACUCUGAUUUUUGCAAUUGGAUCCAUAUAUAACUUUUCUUUCAAUUUGAUAAAAAGAAACAAAUAUAUAAUUAUUUAUGCAAUUAAGGAAGAAGAACUUUUAUAUCAUAGAGAAACUCAAAUUUAAAAUAAAAUUAUUCUUCCAUAACUUAAUAUUUAAUAUGUAUCAACUAUUCAAUAUCAAAAAUAUAAUAUAUAUAUAUAUAUAUAUAUAUAUAUAUAUAUAUAUAUAUAUAUAUAUAUAUUAUAGAUAAAAAAAUUUAAAUAUUACUCAAGUUAUAAUAUAUACCUACCACUAAAUUAAGUUUGUGAAUAUCACCCUUCCUCUUUAAUAUCAUAUUUGUAUUUUUUUAUUUAGUAAUUUAGAAUAAUAUAGAGCGUGUUGGAUAGGACUCUUGCGGAUAAUAAAAUAUUAUUUCAAAAGUCUUAACGUAGUUACACAUUUAAAAACUCAAAAUCAUAAUUAAGCUCAAAAUACUAUUACCAUCCUAUCUAUAUAUACUCAAAAUCAUAAUAAAAUUGCCAUUUCUAUUUUUAUCUGAUUGAUAACUCGACUAGCUAGUUGCUUUUGCCGUGAUAAUAAAAGGAUAGAAAUUCAAACACAUGCCAACUCUAUUAAGCUUGAUUUAUGGUUUUACUUAUUUUAAUCAAAUUUUCCAAUAAUUUUAAUUAUGGUUUUUUCAAAAUAAAUCUUUCUGAAAAAAGAGUCAAUAUAGUACUAAAAAGAGAAAAUUUAAUGAGAACUUUAUUUACUUAUCGAUUGUUUUAUUUUAUUGUAAAUAAAUAUCAAGGGUUAAUUUUACAUGUCAAUUCAUAUUCGGUAAUGCUAUUCUUAAAAUAAUUUACUUUCUUACUUAGAUAAAACAAUAGGUAUAAGUUAAUUUUUUUAGUUUUAUGGUAAUUAAAAAUGUAGAGAAGUAUGUGGUAAAAGGUAUAAAAAUGCCUUUAAACUUAUUAUAAAAGUCUAAUUAAAUUUUUAUUAUUUUUCUUAAUUCAAUUAAACUCAUUAAUUUUUAUAAAAGAUCCAGUUGAGUUUUUUUUUUUUUUUUGGUCAAUUAAACCCAUCAAUUUGUAUAAAAGGUCCAAUUAACUCUUAAUACUAAUAUCGUCCAAAAUGACGUUGACAUGUAAGAAUCUUAUUAUUUUAAGAGUGCAAAUAAUAAUCGCUCUGAAUAUUUUAAAAUCACGCCUAUAUCACAUGAGUGAGAAAAAACUACUUUUUUCCUUAUUUAACUUACAUCAUAGCUCCUACAACUAUAUAAUUUUUUUUAGGAUUGGUCUCCCUUCAUGAAGUAUACAUCUUUGUGGUUAAAAAUAUAUUGGAGGUGGAGAGAUAUAAUAUAACUCAACAACUUACACUCAUCCUUUAUUUACAAAUUAGCGUGAUGAAAAAAAUGAAAAUAUUAUUGCCAUUUUAGGUGAGGCAAGAAAUUACUACUCUUUUUUGUAAAUGAUGAUUUAUAAAUACUAAUUAUGCAAAAGUAAAAAAAAGUGGUUUUCUAUCCAUCACGUGAUAUAUGCAUGACUUUAAAAUAUUCAGAACGGUUAUUAUUCGCGCUCUCCAAAUAAUGAGAAAUUUACACUUAACGGUAUUUUGGACGCUAUUAUCAUUAUGAGUUAAUUGGAUUUUUUUAUAAAAGUUAAUAUGUUUAUUGGGCUAAAAAAUAAAAUAAAAAUUUAAUUGGACUUUCUAUAAAAAUUAAUGAGUUUAAUUAGCCAAAAAAAGAAUGAGAGUUUAAUUAUAUUUUUCUAAUAAGUUUAAAAGUAUUUUUGUUCCUUUUGCCAAAUUAUUUUAUAUAAUUUUAUUUUCCUAAAAGAGUAUAGUUUUCCAGUUAUUUUUACAUGUGAAAAUAAAUACAGGUCUGUCUGUCUGGUGAGAAGGACGGUUUGGUAAAUAGAGAAACAAGAAAAACAGAGCGGUGGAGAGAGGGUUAGCAGCGGGUCUUCUCACUUGUGUUCAACGUCCCUUACCUGCAAAGCAGUCCACAUAACACAAACAGAAAACACUCUUAUUUAUAUUUAUAUUUUCUUUUUAUAAUUCUUGCAUUCAAAGAGAGAGAAAAGAACAAACUACGCACUAAGCUUAAACAAGGAAUAAAGAAAAAAAAAAAGAGAUUACCAUGUUUAAAUAACAAAACAGAUACACAGCCAUAGCCACCCCCAACCCAACUCUUGUUUUAUCUCUCUCUCUCUCUCUCUNNNGUCUUAUUCUUCUGGAAUUCUACAACUGGGUUGGUUCUCUUUUCUUUUCUUUUGAAAAAUGGAUUCUUUGCUGAGAUAGCUAUUGGGUUUUGCAAUAAAGAAGAAGAAUUUAGAGACAGUAUAAACGAUACAAAAUUAAUAAAGAAAAUGUCUUUGAAGAGUAGAGGUGGGGAGCUGAAUUAUUCUUAUUCUUCUUCUACUUCUAAUAAAAGUGUUAUAUCACAAAGAUGGACCCUUUUCCUUUGCUUGUGUUGUUUCUGUGGUGGAAUGCUCUUCACCAAUAGGUAUGCUUUCAAUUCACACUGUUUUUGGGUUGUUUUCUUGAAUUUCAAGCUAGUGCUAUUUUUGGAAUAUAUGUUCUUUCUUUUUAAUCUCUUUUCCAAAAUCAGGAUUUUGAUAAAAUCCUUCUUCAGUUUUCUGGCUUUUACAAAUGGGAGAAAGCUGUUUUGGACAAAUUCUUUGAAGUUCUCAUGUUUUUGAGAUCUAUCUCUAUCUGAUUCUUAAUUGUAUUUACAUGUAUAUUAACUGGUUUUGUGAGAACAAAUGUGUUUUUAAUCAAAUGGAUGUUCUUUUUUUCUCUAAAUUUUUUUGUAAUCUUAAUAUGUGAAAGGUUUUCUUGGCUUAUACUUUUUGGGUUUCAUUUAGGCCUAAUAAAUGUAGAGAGAGAUAAAUAGAUCCAUAUUUGGAUUUUCUGAAGGAAGCUCACCCUUCAAAGUUUGUGGUGUUAUGUUGUUUUUCUAUCUUUCAUGAAGUUUUGAUGAUAAGUCAAUUGUAGUCUAAAACUAGAAUUCACUUCCCUUAAUUUUUGGUGGACAUUCUUGCGUCUUGAAAAACUACCUCCAAUUUUUUAUUAAAUCGGCUUCAACAUUAAUUGGAGGUAAAGCCUCUUUUAUCUGAUGUCAUAAUCUUUGUUCAGUUUGUAGCAAAUGUCACCGUUGGUCCUUCAUUAGAUUUUUUCAAUUGAGCGAUUUCUUUAUCCUCCCAAUAGUAUAAAAAUAUAAAACUAAAUCUGUAGUUCUCGAUUAGCUUUGAAUUUAUUUUGUGGCUUCUGGUGCAGUUAGAUCUUAUUGAGUCCGUAUUUUAUUAUCGAAAUUGAUUUUUGAGAUUUUGUUUGAAGUUCUAUGUGCUUUUAUUUUUAUUUAAUUCAAAUUGUGAUGAUAUUUCAUCAAGGACAUAUGUAGUUGGCAUUUAAUUUAUGAUGGCCUGCUAAUGAGGAAAAUUGCUGACAGGAUGUGGACAGUUCCCGAGUCUAAAAGUAUCACCCGGACAACUGCAAUGGAAGCUGAAAAAUUGAAGUUAGUUUCAGAGGGUUGUGGCAUUGAAACUGUGGGUAUCUCCUCCAUUACUUUGUUGUAAUCCUCUAAGUUUAGCUGACAGAUAUGCAUUAAUUUGUUCCUUCUCAUUCAAAUGAUUGUUUGUAAUCUGAUUUGAUUCCUUUAGUUGCAUCAGAAAGAAGUAAGACGCGACUCGAAGGAUAUUAUUGGAGAAGUGUAUAAGACCCAUAAUGCCAUACAGUGAGUAUAUCUUAUGCUGUUCUACCCUCUGCUGCUAUAAUUUGUUUAUUUUGGCUUUGAGUGCUAUAAUCUUGAGUAUCUAGCUUAUCAUAGCAUGUGGAAUGUAGGACAUUAGAUAAGACCAUUUCAAAUUUGGAGAUGGAAUUAGCUGCUGCAAGGGCAGCACAAGAGUCCAUACUCAGUGGCUCUCCUUUAUCAGAAGACUUGAAGAGUACCGGAUCAUCAGGGAAAAGAAGGUAUUUGAUGGUUGUUGGUAUUAAUACUGCUUUCAGCAGCCGGAAAAGAAGAGAUUCAGUUCGUGCAACAUGGAUGCCACAAGGUUUGUAGAUUGUUCACUUGCCUCUUUAUCCUCUAUUUUCAAUAUUCUUAUGCUAUUCGGAUUGCAAAUUAGAGUAAACUUUCCUGAUUACUGUUUUGAAACAUAUGGAAAUUAGGUGAGAAAAGGAAGAAACUGGAAGAAGAGAAGGGUAUCAUCAUUCGAUUCGUCAUUGGUCAUAGGUAAGGGUCCUAAUCUGGUAUGACUUUUUAGGCGUGUGUGUGCUAGUGUAUUUAUUCUUUCCUAAUAUGUCAAACUGUAGUCCCUUCAAGUUAAACUGAAGACUCAGCAUUUUAUGCAGGUAGAUAUUCAUAUUGAUAAAAUUUUUAAUGUGUAUCUUCAAACUGCUAGGACUUGCACUACUUAAGUUAAUAUCUAACACUUCUAUCUAAUCAGUUUACUUGAUAAAUUUAUUGUUUUAUGGACUAAGUUAAUUUUUUUGGAAAUAAUGGCACCAAUUUCUUAUGAUAGAAUAUGAAAAUAUGUAUUUUCCUCUGGUGAUUUUAUUCUGCAAAGAUUCUAGAAAAAGAUACUCAUAUCAUCAAUUUGUAGUUUGCUUGGUUCUUUGAUACAGACUAUUUGUAAACGUUGCCCAAUUGUUGUUUAUCUAAGAAGCAUUUAACCAUCGUGAAUAACUCAGGCAGUUAUUACUGUACAGAGAACUUUGUUUACCUGGGGCUACUGUUUUGUUUCAAUCUUUAAGACAAUCCAUAAAUUUAAUGACAAUCAAUUCUACUCUCUCUAAAAUCAUUGCAUGAUUUAUGACAAUUUAUAUUAUGAAUUCAAUUCUUGUGCCCUAGAUGCAAGAUACGCAUAAACUUCAAGUAAUACUCAUUAAUGGUUCCACUAGAUUGUGGAUUUAUCACUACUAAUCGAAAGUUUUUUAUUCUCUAGUGCCACUUCAGGAGGCAUUUUGGACAGAGCCAUUGAAGCGGAGGACAAAAAGCAUGGAGAUUUCUUGAGGCUGGUAGGAGUUUUUAUCCGACUUUCCUUUCUUCUAUCCUUUUUCUAUGGUACAUUUGUUUGCUGUAUACAAAAGUACGGUCAAGAAAUGAAAGAUAAAAUGAAUUGUUACAUUUUUUAUUCUACCGUAUGAACAGGAUCAUGUUGAAGGAUACCUCGAAUUGUCUGCCAAGACAAAAAUAUAUUUUGCUACUGCAGUUGCUUUAUGGGAUGCAGAUUUCUAUGUCAAAGUUGAUGAUGAUGUCCAUGUGAAUAUAGGUACAAAAAUGUACUGUUUACUGUCCUCUUAUUAAUGGUAUGAAGUAUUAAUCUGAAGAAUCUAAAUUGGUACUUUUGCCUAGUUGAAAAUUAGAAAAUCAGAAAACCAUUAGUGAAGAUCAAUUUUAUAUAUAGUUUUUCUUCAUCUGAAAAAAAUGAUCUUUAGCUUUUGAUUGCUCGAGCAUGUGAAAAUUUGCAAGAAUGAUUUUUUCUUUUUCUAUAUUCAUACAAAUUCAUGUAAAAUCAAGUCCAUUUCUUCUUAACUUGAUGCAGCGACACUUGGAGAAACUUUAGUUAGACAUAGAAAGAAAUCACGGCUAUACAUUGGAUGCAUGAAAUCUGGUCCUGUCCUUAAUCAAAAGUAAGUGAGAUUUUUUGGUCUGUCAGAAGAAUUUUUGAGAAGGUAGAUUCUAAGAUCGCUCAUUUCAAUGAACAGGGGAGUAAGAUAUCAUGAACCUGAGUUCUGGAAAUUUGGGGAGGCAGGAAACAAGUACUUCCGCCAUGCUACCGGACAGCUAUAUGCCAUUUCUAAAGAUUUGGCUACAUAUAUAUCAAUAAACCAGUAAGUUAUAUUUCAUUUAAAACUUAAGAUGGAAGCUUAUGAGCAGAUGCUUAGGUCUGUCUAUUUGAUGUUCUGUUCUUGAAUUAUGAUGUCACUUGUGGACAUAAUUAUGCCAGGCAUGUUCUGCACAAGUAUGCUAACGAGGAUGUUUCAUUGGGGUCUUGGUUUAUUGGACUUGAUGUGGAGCACAUUGACGAUCGGAGACUUUGCUGUGGCACCCCACCAGGUAAAUUCAAUAAAUUACCUGGAUAUUUGAAAAGUAUAGUUAUUAUUUAAUUCCUAAACUAGGCUUUUCUUUUUACCUUCAUGCUGAAGAAUAGUAGUUCCUAUGUCUUACUUUAGCAGGGCUUAAGCCUCUUUCGCAUCCAUUUUUACUUGCAAAAUUUUUCCUUGACAGUUCAUACCAGAAACUGAAUUGACUGAGUAGCACAUUGAUGUGAUUAUUUGUUUAUAACUUUUAGUGGAAGGUCAAGAGAAGUUAUCAAGUUCAUUCCUUUAAAGCUUUCGUAAAACUAAUACCUUGCAAAUAAUGAUUUUAUGGUACUCUCAUGGGGCCCAUUUGUGCUUUAACCAUUAAAUUAAGGAUACUUAUUCUGCAUACUGACAAUUAUCCUACUACACCACAGCAUUUGAAUUGAAGUGAAAUAUCCUCUUGCGGUCUUUUAUCAACAUUUUCAUUUCUAGCUUAUUUUCCUUUUUGAGAGUUUUUGCUAUAUAUGAUUUAUAUAUGUAUGUUUCCAAGUACAUGUAUACAUAUAUCUGAUGAAAUAUAUUUGACCGCACAUAUAGACUUGGAUGAGAGCCAAAAGUCAAGAUUGAGUCAGCAUCAACUUUUCUCAAGUACUGAUAGAGUCUAUUCAAAUAGUGAAUUCUGAAUUUGUUACGCAAUUACUGCAGAUUGUGAAUGGAAAGCGCAGGCUGGCAACAUUUGUGUUGCUUCUUUUGAUUGGAGCUGCAGUGGAAUUUGCAGAUCUGCCGAUAGGAUUAAGGAGGUCCAUAGGCGGUGCGGAGAAGGUGAGAAUGCUUUGUGGAGUGCAACAUUUUAAGAGUUCUUUUGAGUCUUCCAAACUUAGGAGGAUCAUAAGCUAGUGUUAAAGAAUGAGCGUGCGGGUCUUUUUCUGUAUUAUUUUUGAGUAUAGAAAGAAAUGGAAUAUUACACGAGUAGUGCUAGAGAGACACGGAGAGAGUGAGCGCACAUCCGCGUGCGUGAAAGAGUGAAGAGGAAGAGUGACCCCUUGCUGUGUGGAUCUUUUCCAUUUUAGUAUAAGGAAAUAGAACCACAUUGAUGGGCAAGGAAAACAGGCAAAAUGCUGUCACCAUUCAACCAUUCUUUGAUGCUUAGAAAGCCAAUUUGUAAGUUAACAGUUCUAUGGCUAUCAAGCUAAUAAUAAAUACAAAUUCUUCUGGUAUUUCCCUUCUUUUCUUUUGAUUUUUACUCAUCCGUUUUGCUAUUACCUUGUCUGAUUCUACAUCUAUGCAAAUUAUAUCAUGGCUCCAUGUCAAUGCAACAAUGUGGACCUGAAUUAUUUAACACGUGUGGUUGAUGACUAAAUUUAUAAGAUUUUGUUUUAAGAUCGGUGUUUGUACUAAAAUGUGUUUUUUCUUUUGUUUGCUUUCUUAGUCUUUUGCAUAAUAAAAUAGUUGUCUCGAACUAGUUAAUUAUAAAUCUUACAAUAUAAUUUUAUAUUUGAUAUUUGGUAAAUUAAUAAUUUUAUUAAGUAUUACAUUUCAUUAAAUAUUGAUUAUUUUAUUAUUUAAAAAUUAGUAAUUUUGUUAGUAGUUGAUUAUAAUAAUAAUUUUAGUAUAAUAAAAAUUAAUAGAAAUAAUAAAGAAUUAAAAUUUUAUUUGCUUAAAAUUUUUUUAAUGCAUUUUUUAUUUACAAAUCCUAACAUUUUUUAAUAUUUUUUUUAUUGACUUCAAGGAUGGUUCUAUUUUUUUUAUAAAAUAACAUAUUCUUUUUUAUAUGACAUUAAAUUUUCACCGCCACACAUAUUCAUUAGGUUUAUUAGACAUAAAUUGUAAGUUCAUUAGACAUAAAUAUUAGAUUCAUUGAUAGUACAAUGUAGGUUCAUUAAAGAUUUACUCUUAAAUAUAGUUAUAAAUAACAAGAUCAUUAAGCAUUAAUUGUUGAUAGGUUCAUCAAAUAUAAAGUGUAUAGUUCUAAAAUGCAAAUCCAUUAAUUAAAAUAUGAAUUGUUUUUUAAAUUAUAAAUUUCUAAACUAUAAUCUAUGAAUAUUAGGUGUACGUACGAUGAACUUAGUUUAUAAAUUAUAAAUUUUUUAUUUUGAACCUAUCAAUCUGUAUAUUUUUAUAAACUUCUUGGAUAUUAUAUAUGAACUUCAAGUAUACUUGAAAUAAAUUUAAAAUUGCUAACUUACGAACUUGUAGUUUUAUAAUAUAAAAUUUUCAAUGUAAUUUUUAUUUAUAAAUUUUAACACUUUUUAGUAUUUUUUUAAUAAUUUCACAAAUAAUUCUAUUUUUUUUAUAAAAUAUCAUAUUUAUUUUUUAUAUGACAUUGAAUUUUUACUGUCGCGUAUAUUUAUUAAGUUUAUUAGAUAUAAAUUGUAGGUUCAUUAGACAUAGAUUUUUGGUUCAUUGGUAGUAUAAUGUAGGUUCAUUGAAGAUUUAUUGUUAAAUAUAGUUAUAAAUAACAAAACUAUUAAGUACUGUUUAUAGGUUCAUCAAAUAUAAGGUACGUAGCUUCAUCAGUUCUAAACUAUAAAUUCAUCAGUUAAAAUAUGAAUCUGUUUUUCGAAUUAUGGAGUUUUAAACUAUAAUCUAUAAAUAUCAAGUAUCUGUGUGAACUUAUAGUUUAUAAACUAUAAAUAUUUUGGUUUUAACCUAUGAAUUUGUAUAUUUUUAUGAACUUUUUGGAUAUUAUAUAUGAACAUCAAGUAUACUUGUAAUAAACCUAUAGUUUACAAUUUAUAAACCUGUUGUUAACUUACGAGCCUAUAGUUUUAUAAUUUAAAAUUUUCAAUAUAAUUUUUAUUUACAAAUUUUAACAUUUUUAAUAGUUUUUUAAUGACUUCAAGGAUAGUUCUAUUUCUUUUAUAAAUUAUCAAAUUUAUUUUUUAUAUGAUAUUAAAUUUUCAUUGUCAUGCAUAUUCAUUAGGUUAACUAAAUAUAAAUCAUAGGUUAAUUAGACAUAAAUUGUAGGUCCAUUAAACAUAAAUUGUAAGUUCAUUGGUGGUACAAUAUAGGUUCAUUGAAGAUUUACUCUUAAAUAUAGUUAUAGACAAUAAAAUCAUUAAGUAUUACUUAUAGGUUUAUUGAAUAUGAAGUGUAGAUUCAUUAGUUCUCAACCAUAAAAUCAUUAGUUAAAAUAUGAAUUUAUUUUUCAAAUUAUGAAUUUUUGAACUAUAAUCUAUGAAUUUCAGGUGCACGUGUGAUGAAUGUAUAGUUUAUAAAUUAUGAACAUUUUAUUUUUAACUUAUAAAUCUGUAUAUUUUUAUAAACUUCUAGGAUAUUAUAUAUAAACUUCAAUUAUACUUAUAGUAAACUUAUGGUUUAUAAUUUAUGAAACCUGUUGUUCGUUACGAAUUUGUAAUUUUAUGAUUGAUGUUUAAAGAUUUUACUAAGAAAUUUAUGUUCAUAACAUAUGAUGGUGCAUUGUAAUUUGUAAUUAUGAAUAAAAAAUUAUUAAUUAUUAUAUUCUAUUACUAUUAUUAUUAUUAAAUUUUAAAAUCAAAAUAUUAUUAUGUAAUAUUGUUAAUAAAGUUUAUAUAUGUAUAAAAUUUCACUUUAACAAUUACACCGAAGAAGAGUAAUGAAGAAAGCAUGAUAAUUUGCAUUACUCUGUUCAUUAUUUUAUUGCCAAGUAGAAGCUCUCUCUUAUUACACUUACAACACAUGAGACCAUCCAUCAAAGUCUCAUUUUUGUCUUUCCGGACAUUGCAUUGACCUACGCAUAAUCCAUAGAAAAAGGGAAAAGAAAAGAAAAAGGGCUGCAUAUGCCUUUGUCGAUACAUAGCUUAAGCAUCAUAAUGCCUUCUUCCUGACUGGAACCUUGAGCUACCUAAGGUUGUUUCCUCUCUAGCAAACUUGAUUCUCCUUGCCUCUUCUAUCGACACCCGGAAUGCAUUGGCAAUCACCUCCACUGGCAUGCCGCGAACAGCAGAAGAGCGGCCGGAAAGAUCAGAGGUCAUGGCAUUGUCGUUGGUCUUGAACGCGACGUAUUCGAAUCUGUCACUCUCUGAUCGUUUCACCACCACAAAGUUCUGUGGCACGGUCAGGACCUGUCCUUCUCUUACAUUUCCAUCGAACACACUGUUGCCGUUCUCAUCCACCACCUGAAUCCUUGCUUGACCCUUCACGGCAUAGAUUACGCUGUGGGCAUUUAUGUGCCAGUGGGGUAACCUCACAGCAUCCUGCCAGGAACAUAUCAAUCAUUAUAAAUUGUGGAAGCGCUUCAUUAUAAUUAGAAUCAAAGGAGCAUUGAUGACUUACAUUGCGAAGAACGACAUGGGAAGCACUGAGUUGGAGCCAUCGCAGAAUAGGGAGGUUGUGGCUGUUGACAGUGCUAACACGGCCAACUUCUGGGACAAAUAUAUCAGAGCGAGAGGGAUCAGCAAUGUUCUCUUUCAUUCUCAUGGUGCAAAAUGUCUCCUCAACGCCAUUGUAACGUCCUGGUCGGCCUUCUUGCUCUCUCUCUCGUUGUUCCUCUCUCUCUUGUUGAGACCGGGGUGGCCUGACUACCAGAAGCCUACCUUCUACAUUCACAAUGCUGCCUCUGAAGUCAUUUUGGCCUUGAAGCUUCCUAGCCAACUGCUCGUCCACGUUGAAAGCUUCGGCAAGGACUCUUGAGUCUAUUCCGCAGAAAAGAUUGUUGCACGAAACAUGUGGUGGCCGACUUGGACGGCGAGCAAAUUGAUGCUGGCCGCGCUCAUAGUCGCCGCGUGGAAGUUGAGGGAACUCAUCUUCUGUGUUGCCAGCUAGAUAGAAGUUCUGUUAACAAGUUCAAGAAAAACCAUAAAAUGUGAAUUAACGCCUAACAAACACCUGACCAUACAGACACGCGUAGGUAGGCAUAUGUUUUUGAUUCUUACUCUGGGGUUCCUGUCAAGCUGGUUGCCUAUGUUGGCAGUGUCAAGGACAGAAAUAGUAACGACAGGCUCAUUGCCGUCGUUGUAGCACCAGUGGGCUACUCCAGCAGGCAAAGCAAUAACAUCGCCCUUACGGAAAUGACGAAUCUUCUGGUGCUGAUCACGAACUCUGCUGCUGCCACCUGAUUGCUGAGACUCUUGGAGUGUUUCAGCACAUCCCAGGAGCAAGACCCCUGUCAUUCCUCUACCUGUAUAUACACAAAUUAAUCAUCUCAUAAUCCAAAAUUCCAAGCACAUUAACUCACAUAUACAGCUUGAAUAUAUAAUUGCAGCUUUUGAAUAUUUAAUUUUACCCUGGACAAUGUAUAAGAGUUGAGGAGCAUUGCUAUAGGAUGGCAAUAGAAGGCCAUUGGGAUGAAUGGUACGUCUAACAACAGCAACACCAGCGCAUUGGAACUGAUCACGGUUAGGAUUCCACGACUCAACCAAACCAGCUUCGGUCUGAAUACGUUUAUCGGGUUCGAGGGCAUAGAGUUUAUUGAGUUGGCACCCAUUACCCUGCUGAAAUUCACGGCGAGCUAGAGAGCCAUGGAAGAGAACAAGUAGGAAGAAAGAAAGAGAGAGCAGCGAAGAAGGCUGAACCAUAGUGGCAGAGAGGAGGGGAUAGGUGGUUCUGGGAUGGAAGUGGCGAAUGGAAGGGGUUGGUAUUUAUAGAGGAAGAAGGAGAUGCAAAAGAAAGAUGAUCGUAAGGUUUCUUUGGUCACUCUCUUUGAUUUGCAUGGCUACUUCAUCUUAACUUCUUACACCUAAUAAAGUCAGAUAGGGCAGGUGUAUCAAAACUCCAUAGAAGAAUACAAAAGUUUGUGAAUGGGGAAAAAGAAAAAAGAAGAAGACAACAUUGGAUUGCAAAAACCAUUACCACAACACCAAAAAGUGAUCAAGUGUCUAAUAACUAUGGUUGAAAUUUAGCAAUUGAAGUGUCAUGUAGGCAUAACUAUGGUUGAUUUAGUACUUUAACUCGAUGUUUGAUCUUUAACGUCCAAGUAAAGAGAGGUUAGGGACAAAUGUUAGAUUUCUUUUCUUCUUUUGCAUUUAAUAUAACGCUCUUUUGCAUCUCCAUGCCCAAUUGUUUAAAUCACACAUACAGAAGAUGAUCUAUCCAGUGGAGUCAAUGUUUGAUCUAUUUCGUUAUAUUUACAGAUUGAUAAUUUAAUAUACUUUACUUAAACAUAUUUUGUUGUCUAUAAUAUUUACUUAAACAAAUCUCAUACUAUAAUUCAAACUGUAUGAUACUUUACUAGUAAUACUUUAAGAACACAAAUCCUAUAUAUAUACACUUAAAACUCUUAUUAAUUCGAAAAGAUAUACACUUGCUCAAAUAACCCUAGCUAGUUGUAACCAGAGUUACAACCACAUAGAUGCCAACAAAUAAAGACCAGCCUGGAGGGCAAUUAAUGACCAUCGUCCCCUAAAUGUCCCUUCAGGUACCAAGUCUGUCUAAGCUUCAACAUUAAUGGGUGUUAAACCCUCAUAAUCUUUGUUCUGUUUAUAGUAAGUAUCACUGUUGGUCCUUCAUAAGAUUUCUUCAAUCUAACCACCUCCUUAUCCUCUAAUAUUUUUUCUCUUUUUAAAAAAAAUAUGUAGUUCUUUUGUUUAGCUUUGAAUUUAUUUGGUGCAUGGCUUAGAAAGAAAUUAAGAUUAGUAAAUGCAAGUAUUGAUCCUCUGUCAUUUCAGGACUAUGAGAAUUAAUUGACGCAGCGGCAGUAGUUUCUUUUGUUUUUUCGUUGUCUCCCUCUCUUUGUUCUUGUUAAUGCCGAAUUAAUUCACGAGGUUAUUAUAGUUAAAUAUGAUAUCAAGUGAAAAAUAAAAGUAGAAAAACAAAAGCAAAAUGACCAUAGAAGCUGGUAGAUGGAAGAAGAGUCAAGAAAGCAUGGUGAACGCAUCACUUGCAUUCUCUACUACAAAUCCAGUUAUCGGUGACAAUUUUGUUUCUGCCACCAGAAUAAUUGUCACAAAUACAACAUAAUAUGUGACAUUACAUUUUAGGAUUAAGUAUUAUUUAUCGCUGCAGUUUGGUCUAAUACACAAAUUGAUUCUUAUAUUUUUUUAUUAUAUUAAAAUUUAGAACGUUUAAAUCAAAAAAAUUUACCCUAAAAACUUUUUCAGCGCAAAUAUAUAGUUAAAUUAUUUAAAAUACGUAAUCUAAACCCACAUUUAAUAAAUAACUUUUUAUUUUAGCUUAUGUGGCUAAUAGUAGACCCAUUAAAAACAUUAAAAAUAUGAAAAAAAGAAUAUUUAGAUCCAAAUUGAGAUAGUGAUCACGGUUCAAUUAACUGAAUCGUCGGCCAUUUUUAAGAACUUAAUAUAUAUAUCAAUUUUUAAAUUUAUGAACCUUAAAUCUAAAAUAUUAAUAUUGGCUAACCUGUAUUUACAGUACGGUUAACCAGAUUUUUAAUUUUUAAUAAAUAUUAAAUUUUAUAAUUUUUUUAAUAAAUUUUUAAUAUUUUAGCAUCCUUUUUCUUUCCUCAAUUAAUAAAUUAAUAAUAACAACGAUAAUAAUAAUAUAAUUAAUAUACUAUUUUUUUAAAAUUAGACUUAUUUUUUAAUAAGAAUUUUUUACUAAUUAAUAUAUUAAAUAUAUUUAUAUAAAUUAAUACUUCAGUAAUUUAUUAACUAAUUUAUUAAUUAAAUCUAUAUAAGCUAAUAUUAAAUAUAUAAUGGAUACAAGCAUUCCACAUAAUCAAUAAUUAUAAUAAAUAUAAUAAUUCUAUAUAUAUAUAUAUAUAAUUUCAGUGGUUAACUAAAACGUUGGUCUUUUAAUAUAGAGAAUCGAAACUAAAAUUGAAAACUGAAAAUUUCUAAAAUGAAAAAUAAAGUUGAAACGUUGGUUCAGUUAAUUUAUUUUAUCAAUUUAAUUUUUUUUUUUUUAUUCAGACAGAAUUCCUUCGAUUUUUUUUAUAUCACCCCUAGUGGUGAUAUGCCCUCUCUCUAUUUACUGUGUGAGUCGAUAUUUUAACAUUCCUUUUAAAUUAUUAUAUAUAUAUAUAUAUAUAUAUAUAUAUAUAUAUAUAUAUAUAUAUAUAUAUAUAUAUAUAUAUAUAUUAUAUUAAUUUUUGAAAUAAGUUUUGAAAUAAGUUUUAAUAUAUUUAUAAAUUCUAUAAUACAUUGUUAGAAGUUAUAUUAUUGAUAAAAUCAUAAUUCAGUGAUGGUUCAAGUUAAAUAUAUAUAAUAUUAUAUAAAAGAAUAAAAGUAUAAAUAUGUGUAUUANNNACAUAUAUACCUCAAGUUAAAAGUGCUAAACUUUUAUUAAUUUGACUGAAUUUGAUAACUUGAUACAGAAUGGGAUUAUGGUUGUCAUAGAAGCAACUAAUUCUUUUGUAAAUUUUGAAAUGGCAGAGAAAGGAAAAGGAAAAGAAGAAAGAAGAAGAAAAAGUAGGAGAAGGAAGAGAGAUAAAAGAGAAAAGUGGUAUUUUUUGAAAGUAAUUACUAUAUAUCUUUCAUAUUUUUUUUAUAUUACACUACUUACUCCUUAAUAUUUAAGAUUAGAUUUUUUUAUUUUUCUAUUUUAUAAUUUUAUAUUAAAGUCUAUUUUAUCGGAAUUUCUGCUAAAGAAUUGUUAACUAGGUUUAGUUUUAUACUAUUUGUCCACUAUGUUUUUUGUGUAAUAUACAUGCCUCCUUUAUUUUAUUUAUUGUAUUAAUUUUUUUUUUUGUAUUUUAAAAAUCAAUGCAAUUAAAAGACUAAAUUGAUAAAAAAAUAAUUUAAUUUUUAAAUUUUUUAUCAAAGUUAUGAUUUUAGUGUAACAAAAUUAAUAUUAAGGAUAAUAUCUAUUUUAUUUUAAUAAUUUAAAGUUAAAUUAUAUAAUUUUUUAAUAUUUUGAUAAAUAUAAUUAUUUUUAAAACACUUAAAUUUUAUUAGAGUUUAAUUAUGCCAAAAUUAGAGUAAUUAAAGAACACUAGUUAAUUAUUUGUGUACGAACACAACUUGAUUUUUACAUAAAAGUUAGACAAGAGAAUUCUAGUGUAACAAAUAAACUAUAAGGGACAUGUGUAUAUUACAUAAAAGAUCAAGGGGCAAAUGACAAUUGUUUAACAGAAAGUUUGACCAAAAGAAUUUUUAGUAUAAAAUAGAGAGAUGAAAUAUAUAUUUAUUAAAUAUUAAGAGGUAAUUAAUAUGAAAAUUUAUAAAGACAAAUAGUAAUUACAAAUGAAUGAGAAUUGUAUACAUUAAACCACCAUUAGCCACAUCAACACUAUUAAUUUCUCUGUUAUGUUGAGAGGUUUGAAUUGGAGGCUUCUACAAUUUAAGGGUAAAUAUGCUAUUCUCACCAAAUAUUAGCAGCAAAAAUGCACAUUUUCCUCUACUUUUAACUGGUCACUAUAUUAAAUUAAUUUUAUACUAAAAACUUCUUUUGUUAAAAUUUCUAUUAGGAAAUCGUUAAUUAGGUUUGGUUUUAUACUUUUUUUUUUUGUAAUAUACAAAUUGCACAUGUAUUUUAUUUUUACACUAAAAUUUCCUUGUAGUUUGAAAGUCAACGUAAUUAAGGAUCUAAAUUGAUUAAAAAAUAUAAUUUGAUCCUCAAACUUUUUAUCAAAGUUAUAAUUCUACUGAACAAAAUUAAUAAUAAUAAUAAUACUAUCUAUUUUAUUUUAACAAUUUCAAAUUAAAUUAUAUGAAUCUUCAAUAUUUUAAUUAAUAUAAGUACUUUUAAGAUAUUUAAAUUUUACUAAAAUUUAAUUAUGCUAAAGUUAGAAUAAUUAAAGAACACUAAUUAAUUGUUUUCGUACAGACACUAAAAUUAAUUUUUAUAUAAAAAUUAGACAAGAGAAUUUUAGUAUAAGGUCAAUUUGUAUAUUGCACUAAAGAUUAAGGAAAAAAUAGUAUAAAACUAAAUUUAGUUAACGGUUGGUUAACAAAAAUUCUAACCAAAGGGGUGUUACACAUGGUGCCCUUUCCUUAGCUUCCUUAAUCACACAAAUAUUUUCCUAAUCUUAAAAACAAAAGAUCCUAAGACAAUGAAAGAGUCCAAACCCAUCAGUCUCUGCAAUGUGUUUUAUAAAACUGUGUCUAAAGUGAUUACUAAUAGAACCAUGAAAGUACUACCUAGUGUUAUUUCUCAAACUCAAAGUGGCUUUGUGCAGGGGAGAUUGAUUACAUAUAAUAUUCUUAUUGCUUUUGAGUUCUUUCAUCACAUGAAAUGAAAUGCAUGAACAAAGGUAAAAAAAAAGUCAGAUGGCUCUAAAACUUAACACGACUAAAGCAUAUGAUAGGGUUGAAUGAAUUUUACGGAGAAAGUUAUGCAUAAUAUAAGAUUUCUUGUUGCCUUGAUUGAGCUGACCAUGAAGUGCAUUAGAUUUGUUUUUUUUACUGUCAUGAUUAAUGGCUUUUUUCAUGAUUUCUUUAAGCCCUAAGAAGGGAAUAAGACAUGGCGAUCCUCUAUCCUCCUUAUCUAUUUAUAAUGUGUGUUGAGGCUUUUUUAGGAUUGCUUUAUAAUGCUGAGAGGGACGAGAAAACUCAUGGUGCUUGAGUUGCUAGAGUUGCUCUCACCAUAUCUCAUUUAUUUGUUGCAAAUGAUUCAAUAGUCUAUGCUAGAGCAAUUCAAUAGGAAGGGGAAUCCAUUAUGUGAUACAAACCAAACUAGCACAACGAAUCCUACUCUAACAAAGAGUCUUGAUGAUGCAAACCUUACUAGCUCAAGGAAUUCUAAUCCAAUAAGGAGUCCUGACUCAACUGGGAAUCCUAAUCCUGUAAGGAGUCCUGAUAAUAUUAGGAGUUCAAGAAUCCUAAUUCGGAGUUCAAGCAAUAAAAAGAAUCCUAAUUCAACUAGGAGUCAUAGUUCGAUUGAAAUUGCAAGUCAAUGAGCUUAUCGAAGUCAUUUUGGCUAAGGACACAUCAAGACUUAAAAAAUUGGAUUUAAGUUCAAGGCUUGUUAAUCUAAUUCAGUUUAUUGGACUUGAAUGAAUUUAAUUGGCUUAAAAUGACCAAAAGAAGUUGAAUUGGAGCAUAUGACAACUCUGGGCCUAACUUGGCUUAUGUUAUGAGGCCCAUCUAUAUGACUUAUGUAAAUUAGGAUUUUAUGGCUUAUUUUGGGUGGCCACACAUGUAUUUUAACAUAAUUAGAACUUUGUUUAAGUUAUCUCUUUUAGUUAGGAAGGUUAUAUUUAUCCUAGAUUAGAUGUAAAUCCUUAUUAGUGGUUAUAUUUAUUCUAGAUUAGAUAUAAAUCCUUAUUAGUUAAGUAAGAGUUCUAUUCUUACUAAGACUUUGGAUAUGUCUUUAAAGCAUGUCAAAUUCGUAUGCCUUUGGCAGAUUAUAAUUAAUUACAGUUUUGUACUUCCUUUCAAAUCAAAAUUACUUGUAUCUUGUGUACUUAUUGAAUGUAAAACUUACUUAUCAAGGAGUUGAUAUAUCUUUGUGGCGUACUUAGGAUUGGGGUUUAAGGGAUUUAGUUUUCCUUAGGUUCUAAUUUUUUAUUAUCUUUCUAAGAGAUCUCUCUUCUAAUCUUUCUUAGAGGUUAAACCGAAUUGGUUCUUGGAGUUUUUAUGUUAAUAUGUUGGGGGUCUGCAAUUCAAAAGUAUUAGAGGGCAUCUGGUCUGGUGAUAAACUUAGAGAAUUCGGUGGUGGUGUUUAGCAUUAAUGUGAGCAUGGUUAGCAGGCACCAAAUUAGCAAUUGCUUGGGAGUCCAGCUUGUGAGUAAAUUUGAUAAGUAUCUUGGAUUACCUACAGAGCUAGGGAAAGUAAAGAAGCAGAUUUUUGGGAUGCUGUCUGAUCGGGUUUGGAAGAAAUUAUGUAGAUGAAAUUAGAAUGCCUUGUCACGACCCCACCCGUGGGCCCGUGACCGGCACUAGGGAAUGGGUAAAGAGGUAAAAAUUUUGAGAAAGAAAGAUUAAGGUCCCUGGUCGAGCAUUGCUCUCGGGGCGCCAGUCUUAUUGGAUUAAGAGAGCCGAAUGGCUACUAGAUUUCUUAUUUGGAUAUUUAAGUGACCAGACUGGAGGUAAGGUCCCUGGUCGAGCUUUGCUCUCGGGGCGCCAGUCUUAUUGGAUAAGAGAGCCAAAAGGCUAAGGCUGAGAGUUAAGUGACCGGACUGGAGGUAAGGUCCCUGGUCGAGCUUUGCUCUCUAGGCCCCAGUCCUGUUGGAAUGAGAGGUUUGAGAUGUUAGAGUUGAGGUUAGUUGAGACAUAAGUGUUGAAAUAAUCGAGAUUUUAGAGUUGGGAUUAGAGUUCUACUGAAGUACUCUGUCCCGUUGCAUGUGGAAUAAAUUUUGUUUAAGCAUGGCAUGACACGUAUGGUUCGCGUGAUUUACUAAUUAUUUUAAAAUUAAAUGAAUGUGACAUUGAGAUAUUUGAAACUGUUUUAGAUAUAUGAUUUUAACUCACUCUCGAGACUGACAGUCUCCAUUUAUGUUGUUUUUCAGAUUCGUGACUGUUAGUUCUCUCGCGACUCUUAUUCAGUAACCCGACUCCUUCAUCAUCGGGUGAAGUAUUUGAUUUGGUAUGUAAAAUGGUAAAUCUUAGAUUCUCCGCAGUAGUAAAUAGUAGAUGUAUCAGUUGUAAAUUUUCUGAGCUUCGGGUCUCGCCUAGUUUUUCUGGUAGACCGAAGUAAUUUUGUAAAGUGUAACUAUUAAGAUAAAUUGUGACUUUAAUAAUAUUAAUUUGAGAUGAGAUUUGUUUAAAUCAGUGAGUGUCAGGCUUACUACGGGUUUCGGUGGCCUUAAGCCUACCCAUUCCCUAGUGCCGGUCACGGGCCCACGGGUGGGGUCGUGACAAAGUUGGUAUCAGAGCUUAGGUUUAGAUUUCCUUCGACCUAAGUUAAGAUUUUUCUUGGUACUGCGGAGUUAGGAUCAUGUCUGUCUUGUUGUUUUCAUUGACUCCAGUGUUUCAGCCUUCACUGUUAGAGAGUCAGUCUUUCCUUUCUUGUAAGCUUGUCUUUGGUGCUGUGCUGAGAAUGAGCUUGUAGCGAUGGGAAGAUCCAGAGCGCGAUAGACUCGUGCUGUUUCUUCAAGUGAUUAGUGCAGUCCGCCUUUAGAAGAUUUGAUUGUUGUUUCGAUGGUGGGCACCGCAGUCAGUUUUAGUGUAGAGCGUGGUUGCAAUCGUGUCAUGGAUUGUCUCGUCAUUGCAUCAGGCAUCGUCUUAUUGAGUAGCGCCGAAAGUAGUGCCUGGGAAGUCGAGUAGAUGUCAGAGCUCUAUGGUUGAGUUUUGGUGAUUGUAAGAAGCUUAAGAAAGGUAGCAGGAGUAUUUUCGGACGCUCAUAAUCCAGAGAAACUUAAGCGAACAUUAUCUAUUUUUCUAAGUAGAACAAGUGUUUUAAAAUACAAUAUUGCGCCCAGUCCCGUAAGAAUGCAUAUGGCAUUUCACUGUUAGGCAUACAUAAAUUCAUUUUAGGACAUGCAUCAUACAUUGUGCAUUGCAACCCUUGGUGAUAGGGGGCAUCAUCACCCUGGCGCGCGAUAUUGUAGAAUUUUAUAUAAAGAAAAAUGGCUAGAGAUUUUACGAUUUUGUAAAAGUAUUUUUCAAGAUAAUAAAGUUUUUAUCAGUGAUGAUUAUAAAGUAAAUAAAUAAGUAAAUUUUUUCAAAGUAAAUAGUGUUAGCUUGAGAAUUCUCUGGAUGACGAGUUGAGUUGCUGAGAGAGUAAGUCUGUGGAGCUGUAGGCCCCAUGUUAGAUUAUAAGGGAGGCUUUUGGAUUUCAGUCAAGGAGGAAUCUUGUGUCAGGAUGGCAUGGGUUAUGUCGGUUGAUGCGAUCAGAUGGAUGUUAUGUCAUAAGUGAUGUGACUCGGUAAGAAAAUAAGGUUAUGGAGACCCUUGGUUUUGUCGGCAGGUUGGUGAGGUGGCAUGUAAGUUGGACUUGCCGCCAAGUAUUAGUAAUGUUCUCUGAGGUCAAAUCCAGUUGUUUGUAAGUCUGAGUUGAGGAAGUAUAUUUUCGAUCCUUUGCUCGUGUUGGAUCCUCAGUGUGUGAAUUUAAGUGAAGAUUUGGUUUCCGAGAAGUAGUAAGUGAGGAUCGUGGAUUUUCAGGUUCGCCAGUUUUAUUUAAGGGUUUUGUCGAUGAGUCUUGUGGUUUAGUUUAGUUUCUGCCGAGGAAAGUUCUCUAGAAGCCGGGUUGGAGUUGAGAGGUUCCUAAUUAGUUUCAGUCUUAGAGUGUAGCCCCUUUUCUUUUAAAAUUCGAGGUCGAAUUUUUUUUUUUAAGGGGGGGAGAAUGUAACACCCGGAAUUUUUAUAUAUUUAAUAAUGAGUUUUUAUUUAAGUUAAUUUUAGCUUCAUUAUUAUUGGGUUUAAUUUGAAAUGAUUAUAUUUUGGUUAUUCAAAAUUUUUCCAAAUGCAUAUUUAUAUAAGUAAAAUUAUAUAUUGAAAAAUUUUGGAAGAAAUUAUAAGGGAUGUUUUUAUAAAAGAAUUUUGAGAAAAUUGGUAUUAUAAUUGAUUAGUAGUAUUAAAUUUUAAGUUGGAAAUUGAUUAUUUAAUUUAAUUGUGUGUAGGAUUUAAUUGGAAAUUUAUUUUGGAAUAAGGAUUGAAAGUAUAAUGUUAUUUUUAUGGGGUUUUAAUGGAAAUUUGUGAGCUUGGUAUUUUUGUAAAUAAAUAUGUCGGUCAGGGGUAUUUUUGUAAUUGUGUAUUUUCAAUAAUUCGGAUUUGGCCCAAAUUAAAUAGUUAGGGGCUUAAUUGAAAGGCUAAAAAGAAGUUUGGGGGUCAAAUUGGAAUUCUGCAGGAUGAAAUUGUAAGUAAUUAAGAAAGUUGAGGGACGAAAUUGUAAUAAGGAAAAGUUCAAGGGUCAAAUGUCGAUAUUGAAAGGAAUGGAAGUCGGGGAAGGAAGAGAGGAAGAGAGAGAGAGAGAGCCGAAGAAGAAGGAGGAGCUGCGGUGGCGUGCGUCGUCGGAGCGGCUUCGGAAGUGUGCGGGGCUGGCCGGCGAAGCUGCAGGCGUCAGCGGCGGCAGCGGCAGCGGCACCAGCGGGCGACGGGAGCAGCUCUCGCGCUAGGAGGAAGAUGGCCGAAGCUUCUUUGCCGCCGUGCGGGCGUUUCCGGCGUCGGUGGUCGCUGAUUUUGGUGCCGAUCGACUCCUCUCGGCCUCAGCUUUGUUUUGGCGGCAGCGGUGUCGACAGUGGUGGCCGGAAUCAGAGAUUCACGGUGGAGAGAGAAAAUGGUGGCAGCCGGCAUUUUUGGGCUUUUCCGGCGAGCUCCGGCGGAGGAUGGAUGAUCGGAGGAUGUAUCCCGACUCUCCUCAGCUCAAGCUUCGCGAUGGCACUGGUUUCGUGGCGAUCGGGCUUCGUUUGUGAAUCGACGGUCGAGAUCGUCCGCAAAUCUCUCCGGAUGAUCGGGUGUCAGAUCGGAAAAUCGGAAGCAGGGAUCGUCAUCAGCGCGUCGUUGUGAGUCUGAUGGUGUGUUCGGAUCGUCGAUCGGACUCCGGCGGCUGGAGGCGAGUCGACCAAGCGAUCGAACGUCUCGGUAAAUUUCUUUGGCCCGUUAAUUUUAGAAAUCCUUGGUUUAAUUUGUGUCUAUGGUUUAUAUUGUGUACUUGAUGAUAUUUGUGAGUCAUAAAUAUUUGUCUGUCAGUUGGCCUGCCAUAGUCGUGUUUUUGUGCUGUGUGGCGGAGUCGGGAAAUAGUGAAGUUUGGGGACCCGACUCCCGUUGUUUUAAUUGUUGGUUAUUUGGAGUGUUUUUCUGGCAGGUCCUGGACCCGUUUUUACGGGGGGUAAUGUUCGUGUUGUAGAGGAGGUUCUGCCGAAUUUUCGGUAGUUCCCAAGUCGAGAUUCUUAGACAGUUAGUUCUAGGAGUCUAGACCUAGGGUCUAUUGUAAUUGUUUCAUCGUUUUGAUAAAUUAUUUUCCGUGAUUAGAUGAUCUGUCUGUUCGGCUCGCUCCUACCGAGGCACCUAAGCUGAGCUAGGAGGUCGCAAAUCUGUGAGUAAAGUCAUAUAUCGUUUACGCACGUGUCAUGCAUAAAUUUGAUUGCUACUGUGAACNNNNNNNNNNNNNNNNNNNNNNNNNNNNNNNNNNNNNNNNNNNNNNNNNNNNNNNNNNNNNNNNNNNNNNNNNNNNNNNNNNNNNNNNNNNNNNNNNNNNNNNNNNNNNNNNNNNNNNNNNNNNNNNNNNNNNNNNNNNNNNNNNNNNNNNNNNUAUUUGGAUAUUUAAGUGACCAGACUGGAGGUAAGGUCCCUGGUCGAGCUUUGCUCUCGGGGCGCCAGUCUUAUUGGAUAAGAGAGCCAAAAGGCUAAGGCUGAGAGUUAAGUGACCGGACUGGAGGUAAGGUCCCUGGUCGAGCUUUGCUCUCUGGGCCCCAGUCCUGUUGGAAUGAGAGGUUUGAGAUGUUAGAGUUGAGGUUAGUUGAGACAUAAGUGUUGAAAUAAUCGAGAUUUUAGAGUUGGGAUUAGAGUUCUACUGAAGUACUCUGUCCCGUUGCAUGUGGAAUAAAUUUUGUUUAAGCAUGGCAUGACACGUAUGGUUCGCGUGAUUUACUAAUUAUUUUAAAAUUAAAUGAAUGUGACAUUGAGAUAUUUGAAACUGUUUUAGAUAUAUGAUUUUAACUCACUCUCGAGACUGACAGUCUCCAUUUAUGUUGUUUUUCAGAUUCGUGACUGUUAGUUCUCUCGCGACUCUUAUUCAGUAACCCGACUCCUUCAUCAUCGGGUGAAGUAUUUGAUUUGGUAUGUAAAAUGGUAAAUCUUAGAUUCUCCGCAGUAGUAAAUAGUAGAUGUAUCAGUUGUAAAUUUUCUGAGCUUCGGGUCUCGCCUAGUUUUUCUGGUAGACCGAAGUAAUUUUGUAAAGUGUAACUAUUAAGAUAAAUUGUGACUUUAAUAAUAUUAAUUUGAGAUGAGAUUUGUUUAAAUCAGUGAGUGUCAGGCUUACUACGGGUUUCGGUGGCCUUAAGCCUAUCCAUUCCCUAGUGCCGGUCACGGGCCCACGGGUGGGGUCGUGACAUGCCUCAUCAAAAGCUAGCAAAGCAGCGUUGAUAAAAGCUAUGGUGCAUGCGAUGCCUACCUACACUAUCUGGUGCCAAAAACCAUUUGUGACAGAGUACAAGCUUUUAUUGAAAAGGGAUAAGCGACUCCACUAGCUUAGUUUGGAUAAUGUCUACAGCUCUAAGAAACAUGGGGGUCUUGGUUUUAGGAAUUUAGAGUUGUUCAAUAAAGCCUUCCCAUCAAAACAAGGGUGGAGACUCAUGAAAGAUGAAACAUCACUGGUGGCUAGAACUCUGAAGGCGAAACAUUAUCCAAGGUUAGAUUUUCUUAACGCCAGAAAAGGGCCUCGAAGUAGUUUUACUUGGCAAAAUAUUUUUGUUGGCCAAGAUUUGGUAAGACGUGGAACUCAUUUAGAUAGUGGGUAAGCUCACAGCAUUAGAGUUUUUGAGGAUGGAUGGUAAGCAAGAUCUGAUUCUUUUAAAGUAUGGACAUCGAGGAAUGGUAUGGAUGUUGAGCUAAGGGCACAGGACUUAAUGAAUGAGACGUAGAGAGUGGAAUAACACGUUCAUUGACUUAAACUCUGUUCCCCUUCCCCAAGAUGCGUGCAAAUCAAAAAAAUCCAAUUAGCAAAUUCUAUUAAGAGACUUUAAAGUGGCAAGAGAGGUGUGGUUUGCAUCUUGUUUGGGAUUGAAUGUGCAGGGAUUUAUUGAUGCAUCACUAUGUGUUGGUUUGAGUAUAUUUUGAGGCACUUGGACGAGGAGGUGUUUGGGUUUAUUUUGCUUAUUUUUUGGGCUUCGUGGUACCCUAGGAAUGUAUUUAUUUUUUAGCAGAAACCCAUGACCUGUAGCAAAAUUCUCAACUUGAGUUAUAAAGUGCAUGCAGACAUCGCCAUCGCCAUCGCUAAUGGAAGUCAUGAGCAGAGCCGGACAACUGUUUCGCCGAUAUGGACAAGGCCAGUUGGAGAGAGACAUAUUUGGAUGGAGGAAGUGCCCAGAGUGCGUAAAACAUAUUUUGGCUGAUGCCUUUCGUUAACUGAUGCUUUUGUUUUUCUAUCAAAAGAAAAAGACACCUCUUUUCAAAAGAAAAUAUUAUAAGAUGUUAUUUGUUCUUUUAUGUUUUAAUUGUUAAACAAUUUUUUCAUCUUUGAUCUUUCAAUUGUAAGAUCUCAUGUUUGCUUACAGAAAUAUUAUCAGAUUUAUUAUGAAAUUUAUUUUGUUUAUUUUUAUAGCUAGCAAUAAAUAGAUUUAAUUAUUAUUAAAGAAAUUCAAGACUCAUAUAUAUUAUAAAACUAUAUUAAUUUUCCAUUAAUAAUUUUAUUUGUUUUAAGAAGAUAAACCUUAGCAAAUACUUUUUAAUAUGAACAAUUUUUUUUAUUUCUACUUUAAAAAUUAUAAAAGUAAAGUAUUUUGUUAGAAGUAUAUUGGAAUUUUGAUUUUACAUAUAAAAUAAUUAUAAAAAAUAUAAAGACAUUUUUUUUUUUUUUUUGUAAAAGUUCUGAUUAGUGAAAGUGUCUAUAGAAUUAAUUUUCUAGAAUUAGACUUAAUUAUGCUUAGUAAUUCAAAAUCUUAAUAAAAUUAGAAUAAUACCCACCCAAUGCAUGUUUAAUUAUAUAUUUUCAUUAUUAUUUUUUGUUAUGAAUAUUUUUAUAUUAUUUAAUUAUCUAUUCAGAAUAUUAUUUUUGAUUAUAAAUAAUAUAAACAUAUGAUACUAAAUAAAUGUAGAUAAUUAUCUAUAAUUAUUGAUUUCAAUAAUGAUUGAAUCAUUCGUUAAAUAAAAAUUUGUUCAGUUUUUUUUUUGUUUCUUUUACUAAUAAUAUUCAUAUAAAUCUAAAUAACUAGGAAUAUUUUAUAAAAUUGAAAAAAAAAAACUAUUAAAAAUAUAAAUCAAACCAAAUUAAAUAUUUCAAUAUAAUUUGGUUUAAUAUUUAUUGUUUAAAUAAUCUUUCAGAGUUUUUUGGUUGAUUUAGUAUUCUCUAUUUUUAAGUACAUAAUUCAAUAGUAUUAAUUUACUUUACAUGUAUAAAAAUAUAAAUAUUUUAUUUUAUUAAAUUGCAUAAAAAAUAUAAUCAAAAUUAAUUUUUAAUAAAUAUAUUAAAAAUAAUUUAUUUAUUAAUAUAAAAAUUGAAUUCUAUACAUUAACAAAGGCUUUUUAUUUGAGACUAUAAUAUGCUGCAAUAAUUUUGAUAAAAUAUAUGUAAUAUAAAANNNNNNNNNNNNNNNAUGGUCUAAUGAAUAUAAAUAUGAUGAUAAAGAAAAAAGAAUAAUUCUUUAAUUAAUAGAUAAUUAUUUUAUUAUGAAAAUUAAAAAAGUUAAAUAAUCAAUUAAAAUUUAAAAUUAUAAAGAAGAAUUUCAUAAAAAAAGGAUUAUAAAAUAAUGUAAAUCUAUAAAAAAACUUAUUUUACAUAGUAAUACAAAAUUUAAAGGAAUUAUCUAAAGUUGAAGUUACAAAAAGAAUUUAAAAAUUUUAAAAAUAUGAAAUAACAAAAUAUUAUAACUAAGAUGAUAAAUUUAUAAUAAAAUAUUCUCUAAAAUAAUAAAAAUAUGUUAGAAUUUAUUGAUUCUCUAAAAAUUAAAAAAAUUAACUUAAGAGUGAUACAAUAUGCUAUGUAGGAGAAACGAAAGAGGUGAAAUUCUUUUUCCUUUCUAUAGGGACCAGGAGAUUGGAUCUAGCCGUAAGAAGAAUGCUUGGCUGAUAAAUAACUCAUUUUUUGGUUUUCGACCCCCUCAGUCACUACAAACGCCCCUGAUCAGUGCAAUGGGAUGUGUCUAUUUAUCUAUCUCUUGACUCGAAAUGGAAACAGGUUUGAAAAAGGAUCUUAGAGUGUCUAAGGUGGGGCCGGGAGGGUCUGGUCUCUUAACGCCUUCUUUUUUCUUCUCAUUGGAGUUAUUUCAAAAAGACUUACCACGGUAAGGAAGAAGGGGAGAACAAGCACACUUAGAGAGCGCAGUAUAACAAAGAAUUCUAUGCUGCGUUCGAGAAGGAUGAAUCACUCCCGAAAAGGAAUCUAUUGAUUCUCUCCCAAUUGGUUGAACCGUAGGUGCAAUGAUUUACUUCACGGGCGAGGUCUCUGGUUCAAGUCCAGGAUGGCCCAGCUGCGCCAAAGAAAAGAAUAGAAGAAGUAUCUGACUCCUUCGUGCAUGCUCCACUUGGCUCGUGGAUAUAGCUCAGUUAGUAGAGCUCUACUCUUGCAAUUGGGUCGUUGCGAUUACGGGUUAGAUGUCUAAUUGUCCAAGCGGUAAUGAUAGUAUCUUGUACUUGAACUGGUGGCUCACUCUUUCUAAAUAAUGGGAAAGAGGACCAAAACAUGUCACUAAAAGACUCUACUGAGACAAAGAUGGGCUGUCAAGAACGUAGAGGAGGUAAGAUGGGCAGUUAGUCAGAUCUAGUAUGGAUCGUACGGGGACAAUAGAUGGAGUCGGCGGCUCUCCCAAGGUUCCCUCAUCUGGGAUCCUUAGGGAAGAUGAUCAAGUUGGCCCUUGCAAACAACUUGAUGUUUAAGAAUCACCGCCAAUACCUCGGUGUAGGUAAGUCUGGUAUAAUCAUUUGUUCCAUAGUCUAGGGCUAUUUACAACUAGCCAAUUAUGAAUUUUCAGAUGUACGUACUAGUACUAGCAAAUGCAUCAAAGAUGUAGUCAUCGAUUCUCCCGAGAUGCCACAAUUACCGCAAGCAAACAUAUUAAUGACGAAGAACAUAUUUUUGCUAUGCUACUAAUACUUAUACUUACUCUGCUAUUCUACCCAAGUCUGACUGAGGAAGAAUUAGGGGGGUAUAAAACAAAAAAAGAUUCGGUCUGGGGCAUGUGGAAUGAAUCUACCAUCGAUAAAAAAAAGAAUAAAAAAAGAAAACAUUCUAUUUCGACAAAAGAUCCACACCCAAGUUCCAUAGCUUUGGGUCCGCUAUCCCGAUCAUGAUUUUUCUACCUCUAGAAGGAAAGAUCCUUUCCUUUUUGGCCAGUUAUGGGCAAGGAGGGAUUUGAACCCCCUGACAUUGUGGUUCGUAGCCACGUGCUCUAAUCCUCUGAGCUACAGGCCCCACCCCCUCUCCAUUGGAUCUGUUCCCAGGAGUACCCUAACAAAGGAACCUUUCCUUUCCCCAGCCAUUUCGGGUUAAGAAGAUGCGAAAGUGCCUCUCUCUCUCUAUAAGAACGGGGCGUUUCGAGGUAUGAAGUGGGAGAAUGGAAUUUCAUAAUUGGGGUUUUGAAUAAGACAACCUUUUCAUUUUUUUUUCGUAUUGGAAAAGUAAUAAGAAUGAGGGAUGUUAAGCUUUUUAUCAUCCUGGAGUCGAGCUAUUUUUUCGCAUGACCUCCCCUAUAAUAUCUUCACCGCAGUAGAGUUUAACUACCAAGUUCGGGAUGGAUUGGUGUGGUUCCUCUACGCCUAGGACACCAGAAUAUCGAACCAUGAACGAACAAAGAAAUGAGAGAAAAUCAUAUUUGCUAGUGAUUGUAAGGCCCUAAUUCUUGACUAGGGGGGACACCAAAGGCCUCUGCCCUUCCAUUCUUGGAUCAAUAGAAAGGGAGGGCAAAGCUUUUGGCUUUUUCAUGUUGUCAAAGAGUUGAACAAUAAAAAUAGAUGGCGAGUACCUAAUCAAAUUGAUCGGGUCAUGUAGGAACAAUGUUCAAGUCUACCGGUCUGUUAGGAUGGCUCAGCUACAUACAUCACUGCACUUCCGCUUGACACUUAUCAUAAUGAUAAACGGCUGGUCUUGUUGUGACCUUCUUUUGAAUUCUCAAAACUUCUAUCACUCCACCCCUGCAGGGGUAGAGAACCCGUUGCUGUCUCGGCUGUGCUACCGAAGUUUCUAGGGAAGUCAGAAUAGGAGAGCACUCAUCUUGGGGUGGGCUUACUACUUAGAUGUUUUCAACAGUUAUCCACUCCAUACUUGGCUACCCAACGUUUACCGUGGGCAUGAUAACUAGUACACCAGAGGUGCGUCCUUUUCGGUCCUCUUGUACUAGGGAAAGGUCCUCUCAAUGCUCUAACGCCCACACUGGAUAUGGACCGAACUGUCUUACGAUGUUCUGAACCCAGCUCACGUACCGCUUUAAUGGGAGAACAGACCAACCCUUAGAACAUACUACAGCCCCAAAUGGCGGAGAGCUGACAUCAAGGUGCCAAACCUUCGCGUCGAUGUGAACUCUUGGGAAGAUUAGCCUGUUAUCCUUAGAGUAACUUUUAUCCGUUGAGCGAUGCUCUUUCCACUCGGCACUGUCGGAUCAUUAAGGCCAACUUUCGUCUCUGCUCGACGGGUGGGUCUUGCACUCAAGCUCCCUUCUGCCUUUGCACUCGAGGGCCAAUCUCCGUCCGGCCCGAGGAAACCUUUGCACACCUCCGUUAUCUUUUGGAAGGCCUAUGCCCUAUAGAAACUAUCUAUUUGAGAUUGUCCCUUGGCCUGUAGGUUCUGACACAAGGUUAGAAUUCUAGCUCUUCCAGAGUGGUAUCUCACUGAUGGCUCGGACCCCCCCGGAAGGGGGCCUUCUUCGCCUUCCACCUAAGCUACGCAGGAAAGGCUCAAAGCCAGUCACGGGGAACAAUGAAGCUUCAUAGGGUCUUUCUAUCUAAGUGCAGGUAGUCCACAUCUCCAUAAACAUGUCUAUUUCACCGAGCCUCUCUCCAAGGCAGUGCCUAGAUCGUUACGCCUUUCGUGCGGGUCGGAACUUUCUCAACAAGGAAUUUUGCUACAUUAGGGCUGUUAUAGUCACGGUCGCCGUUCACCGGGGCUUCGGUCACCGGCUCCCCUGUCAUCAGGUCACCAACUUCCUUGACCUUCCGGCACUGGGCAGGCGUCAUCCCCAAUACAUGGUCUUACGACUUUGUAGAGACCUGUGUUUAUUAUAAACAGUCACUAGGGCUUGGUCACUGCAACCCCCUUUGUGAGGAGGCACCCCUUCUUCCGAAGUUACGGGGCUAUUUUGCAGAGUUCCUUCAAGAGAGUUGUCUCGUGCCCCUAGGUAUUCUUUACCUACCUACCUGUGUCGAUUUCGGGUACAGGUACCCUUUUAUUGAAGGUCGUAUGAGCUUUUCCUGGUAGUAUGGCAUGGGUUACUUCAACGCUGUAGUGUCUGGUACUCGAACAUUGGCUCGAGGCAUUUUCUCUACCCCUUCUUAUCCUGAAAAAGCAGGGACACCGUGCGUCCUUGAACCGAUUACCAUCUUUCGGCUAACCUAGCCUCCUCCGUCCUCAAGACCAAUAAGGGGUAGUGUAGGAAUAUUCAAUUGUUGUCCAUCGACUACGCCUGACUCACCCACUGUGGACGAACCUUAGGUGAUAUAUAUAUAUAUAUAUAUAUAUAUAUAUAUAUAUAUAUAUAUAUAUUGAACUUAGAAUUAGACUCCUGCUACAUGAAUUAUAAUUAAUAAAUUAAAUUACUAAAUAAAUAAAUUAACGUAAUUAACUAAAAAAUUAAUGAGACUUUACCAAUAAUUAAUUUAAUAAAAAUUAAUAUUGAUAAUUAAUAUAAUAAUAAAUAAUAUUAAUAAUUAAUAUGAUAAUACUGGAAAUCAUUAAAUUCGUCAAUCCCUUUUAUUUUGUUCUUUUAUGAAAAAUUGGCCGGUCGUUGUAUGUGAUAAUUAUACUAUAUUGAUCAUUCCUUAUCUAAUGAUUAUCAAUCCGUGCAUAAAAAAUUAAUUAUGAGUAUAAAAACCUAUUUAUUGAACUUUUAGUUUAAAAUAAUUAAGUCUAAAGAAGAUAAGGAACUUUAUUAUCUUUUAUAAAAAUUCUACUUAUUGAGAGUGUCUAAAAUUAGAUUUAAUUAUAUUAAAUAAUUAAAAAUAGUUAACUUCUAGAAUUAAUUUUAUACUAAUAAAUUAUUAAUUAUUAAUAUUAAGUUAUAAAUAACUAAUUAAUUUUUUAACUAAAGGAUUACUUACUAAGUUAAUCAGUAAAUUUGUCUAUCACUCUUUUUUCAUAUUAGAAGUUCUCUGUAGAGGUCAUCAAUUGUAAUAAUUUUAUAAAUUAUUUCCCUUUUUCUUACUGAAGAAAUAUAUUAUUGGUUUAAAAAAAUUAACUUUUUAUGACUUAUGAAGUAUAAUAUUUAUGAUGUAUAAAAUUUUGGAUUCAUCUACUUAUUGGUAAGUAGAAUUAAUUUUAUUAUUUUGAUACUUUCUAGUAAUAAAACAUUCCUUCUCCAAUAAAAUUCAUUCUUUCUUAAUUCUUAUUUUAAUAAAAAUUCAUGUUUCUUACUUUUCUAUAUUAAAUUUUUAACUUAUUCUUCAAUUAUGAUUUUAAUAUGACUGUUAAUAUUAAAAUGCAUAAAUCAAUUAAGGUAAUUUAGUCAUUUACUAAUUUAAUUUAGUAAUUAAUGAUUUAUUUAGUAUAAAUUUAAUUCUAGAAAACUAUAUUAGAAUUUUUAAUUAAAUAAUCUUUAUAAUUCUUUGUAAAACAUGAAAAUUGCAAGUUUCAAGACUUUAAAUUUGAGAACUUAAAUUUUCAUGAAAGAAAGAGAAAACAUAAUUCAAAUAACAAAGUAUUUUUUUCUCUUUGAUUUUUCAUUUGAAAUUAAUAUUUUCAUUGAAAACGACAACAAAUUAGAAAGUAUGUAAUAGUUCAAAAAUAAUUAUAAAUGAGAGGCUCCAAAUAAUCUAAAGUCAAAACAGCCAGUAUUUUGAAUAAGAAACUCUCUAAGGAAAAAUAAUUUGGCAAUUACAUCUUUAUUGAUGGGAUGCUUAAUAAUUGGAUAAAAUUUAACUGAGUAAUUUGGAAUUUGGAAUUAUGGAUUUUCUUUUGUAUAAAUUAAUCAUCUUCACAAGUUGGAUUAUAAAUAAAUUUCAAGUAUAUAGUCUCUAUUAUAAGCAUGUUUUAUAUUGCUAAUUUUAAAUUUUAAUUUAUAUACUAUAAAGCCUUUUUGAAAACUUUAAUAUUGUUACAAAUACUUUCAAUUUGAUUCUAUUAAAAUGUAAUAUAUGAUAUUAAUAUUAUUAUUGACUUUUUAUACUCAUAAAAAUUUUAAAUUUAUAUUAAAUUAUUAUAAUUACAUCAUAUGUAUGGCUAUUUUUUUAGCUAAACGCAGGUAAAAAGAUAUUAGUAAUAUUAAAACUGAAAGUUAGUUUUAUGAUAAAAAAAUUAAAUUUUUCUCUUUAAAAAUUAAAUUAAAAAGAUACUUUUUUCUCUUUCAUUGUAACUAUCUCUAUGGACUCUAAGGAAAUUAAAAUGUCGAUUUUACUCUUAAUCUAAUGUUAAUCGUUUUUGUUUGAAAUAUUAGUUAUAAAUAUAAAUCAAAGUAGAAAGAAUUAUAAAAAUUAUUUAAUAAUUAAAAAUUUUAAUAGAGUUGAAUUUUUAAAAUUAGAUUUAUACUAAAUGAAUUAUUAAUUAUUAAGUUAAAAUAAUAAAUAACUAAAUAAUUUUAAUUAACUAAAAGAUAAGUAAGGGUAAUGACUAACUUUGCCUAUCCCACUUAUUAGCUUUUUCUUUUUUUUUUUUUUUUUUUUUUUAUAUGUACGUUAUGAUAAGUAGAAAGUAUCUUUUUCUGCCAAUCAACUUUUAUGAGUUUACUUUUACAUUUUCUUAAUUCAAAUUUUAAACAAUGGAUCUAUUUAAAAUUUUUUAGUGUUUACUCAGAAUAUCUAUAAUCAAGCAAGAAUGCAGUAAACGGUAAACUCUUCUUAAUAUUGUAUAAUUAUAAGAAUUUGAACUCAUAAACUUUAAUAUCUAUAUUCCAGCAAGGAUGUAGUAAAUGGUAAACUCCUCUUAGUAUGCCUUAAAAUUAGUCAGUGUACUACUAGAUCAAUACCAUAUUGGUGUCAAUAGUAUCUAAUAAUUAAAACAAUAAUAACACAAUAACUCUUUCUUUUUAACUAUGGAUUUAGCAUGUAAGCAUAUAUUUUAUCUUCCUUUCUGUAUUUUCCUUCUCUUUUCUCUCUCCAGCCUCAAUAUCUUUGAUUUGUUCUUAAAUUAUUCAGGUAAAAGUCAGUUAUAAGGAGAGAUCACGAGUCAACCACUAAGUCUUUGGCACAGUAAAAGAGCUUUACGAAAAUUAGAUAGAGCUGUCAAGUUCAAACCUUUAUUUCUCUUUUUUAUAAUAAUAACUAUAAAGAAAAGAUAUGGGUCCAAGUCGUUCUUUGUAAAUAUAAUGUGGCCUUGAUCAUAUUCCUUCUCAUCUUCCGAGUAAGAAUGGGUCUCAUGUUUGGAGAUCAAUUUGCAAGAAUUGGAAUGUUAUCAAAAGCGGAGUGAGAUGGAUUAUUGGUAAUGACAGAAAGGUUCUCUUUUGGCUAGAUCCUUAGAUGGCUAAUAGUAAACCAUUGUUGUUUUAUGCUACUGGCCCGAUGUUUGAGGAAGUCUUAGAGGCAAGGGUCUAUCACUUUGUUAGCUCCAACGACAAUUGGAUUUGGGCUAAGUUUUCUAAGGUCUUGCCAUCUCAAAUCUUUCUCAAAAUUACAAACGUUAAACCUCCUUGUAAUGAGGAUGGUGAUGAUUUUAUGACUUGGGCAUGGCCUAAGAAUGGAAAGUUCUUUGUUGGGACAGCCUAUAACCAAAUGGUGAGCAGUGAAUGGAAUGAGGAAAAUUUCUCAUAGAGGUUGGCAUGGGAUUAGAAAGGGCCUUUAGAGGAUAAAAGUUUUCAUUUGGCUAGCUUGAACAAGAAUUUGACUGCCAAAGUGAAGCUGGUUAGGAGGUAAAUUAAGGAUGUUCCUAUUUUGACAUUUGUGGCAAUGCUGUAGAGGAUAUUCUCCAUGUGUUGCGGGAUUAUUUGGUAGCUAGACAAAUCUAGAAAAGCUUAAUUCCUCCGGAUAGCCAGAUGGCUUUCUUCUUACUAGACCUGCAUAAUUAAAUGUUAAGUGAUACAGGCAUUCAAGGAGAGAUAAAUUGGUCUAUCACCUUUAGAGUUGCUCUAUAGAAAUUAUGGAGGUGGAGAAAUGAUGCGCGUUAUCUGUACAUGACAAAAUGCACCGAUCGUAUUAAGUAAUACAAUAAUAAAUAAGAGCAUCGUUCCACUAGGGAUCUAAUUGUGAGUAAUAUCUUCAAUCAUACACUAAUAUUUAGCAAUCAUAAUAUUGUUGGGUUGUAAUAAUAUUUAAUGGUCAAAUAAUCUUGAAAACAAAGAUUAAAACAAUUAGUAAACUUAUCAAGAAUAAAACCAAUUUAGACAGUAAAUCUCCUUAAUAAGUUAAGUAUUUCAUGAAACAAACAAUAGUUAAUUCAAAUCAAGAGUUGAGUUAGCAUUUCAUAAAAUUAGGUUUAAACCUUUCUCAAGUGAUUAAACCCCUAAUUCCUAAGAGGAGGGAGAGGAAUCUCUUCCCAAACUAACUCACUUAGGUCAUGCAUUAAGAUUAAAAAACUAUUCAACCAAAGGAUCUUGUAGAUCUAUCUUUAGUAUCCUAAUCAAUCCUCAAUCCCUAAGAUGUUAUCAAUUUAUAAAAAGUUAUCUCUAAUCACUUUAUGAAAAUAAAUCAUAGUCAAUACGUCGACUUAUCAAUUGAAAUAGAUAAUUAAGCAAUCAAAGGAACAAAACAACUCAUAGAAAAAAUUAAUUGUAUUAACUUUGAAUCAAUCCAUACAAAACAAAUUAGGGUUCAUCAAAACCAAAAUAGCAAGAAAAUUAGUUCCUAAAAAUUACAAUAGAGAAAUAAAGAUUAGGAAAAGAAGAUCUCAAACUAUUCAUGGAAGAGUAGAGACAAAAAUCUUCAAUCUUCAAAAGUAAUGAAUGAAUUAAUGUUCUUUCUUGAGAAAUAACAAUCAAAACCCUAAAAAUGAAAGAAAGAUAAAGUUUCUAAGUAUUUCUCUCUCUAGAAAUGAAAAUAUAACAGAACUUCCUUAAAAAACCCCUAAAGUCCUUUAAAUAGUGUAUUUUUAUGAUUGACAAGGGGACCACACGGGCACCACAAGGUCGUGUGAUGUCCUUAGCUUUUCGAAGCUUGAAUAUAUAUUUCUUUCUGUUCUUUACUCUACGGGCUAUUUUAGGAUAUCAUAAAAAUUGAAUUAAGGCUUACGUUCUUCAUCAAAGUUGUAGCUUUUGAAGAGUAGUUCAUUUUAAGAUUUGCAACACUUCAAUUAAACCUCUUUAGCUCUAGAUAAAGUCCAAAUACUGAGACUGACCCAAACAGAGAUGGAGUGCAUAACAUCUGACUUCAACCUAAGCUUUCUCAUCCUUAGCAACCUAAUAUGGAGUUGAGCUAUUUAUAAGCAUUAUAGCUGAGGAAGUCCUCUACAAAAUUGAUGAAGACCAGUUUUCAAUUCUAAACCUGUAAGAUCACAAAAAACUACACUAAAACUAAUGCGAUUAAAUCUGCGUAAUGCUGAAAUAUCAGUCUGACACGGAAAGCACACGCCCGUGUGGAUCCUUCAUACAAUCUGCCAUUUCUUACAACUCAAAUGAGAAGGCACACGCGUGUGCCUUCCCGUGUCACAUUGAACUUUGGAUAAAUAUGCCUUUUCUUUGCUAGAUUCUCAUACUUUUCAAUUUUAUUUGACUCAUUAACAUGUAUUAUCCUUAAAGUGCCUAAAAGAACUGAAAAUUAAGCUUGAAUAAACAAAUCAAAUUAAAUUGCAGUAAAAAUUAAUAUAAGAUAAAGCUGAAAAGUAAGUACCUUUAGCACUUAUUAAAUUUCCAAACACUUAGCAAUUGCUUGUCCUCAAGCAAAUUGAAUAGAAUCAGAAAUAAAGAAAUAAUAAACUCUUUGUUUAACAAAUAGAUAUUAAAUAAUAUCAAGGUUAAUCAUUCAUAUCAUUAAAGCCUAGAAUCAUUAGCCAAUAAUUAAUCCUUAAACAAAAUACCAACAUCUAGGGGAAUCACAUAAUAGGAAGUAAUGAAAAUUAAAACCUUAACAUCUAAAGUCAGGGAAAUGAGCAUUCUUUGCAAAUAACCCAAAAUUUUAAAGAAAAUAGAGAAAAGAUUUUUUCCCUGAGCACAAAAAAACUUCAUGAACCGCAAUUACUUAUGUCUCUGUUUUUUUUAGAGAUCUAUGCAUAUUCAAAAUUGUCAUUCUUUUGACGCGAAUGUAGAUAUGGAUGAUGCCAACCCCCAGUUACUUAACUAGAGUCACAAAUCUAAAUAACUACUCAUAUUCUCGGGUUUCUUUCAAUUUAUUUCUUUUUAUUUCGAAUGAGAAUAGCGGAAUAGAGCAAAAAACUCUUAGCAUUGUAUUUUGUUUACGUUCAUUUUUUUGACAUUUCGAAAGAAUAAGAGAGUACAAAGGAGUAUUAGAUGUGUCUACUUGAUAAGAUUAAGCGAAAUUUGAAAACUUAAUGCUCAUAAAUAUAACUAAAGUUUCAAGAUAUAAAAAUAACGCGACAUUAUGAAUUAAAAAUCCUAGCAUGGAUACCAAGUUCAAGUCAUAAUUCAAAGUGAAAUCAACUAAAUCGCAAUUCAAUAAAUGACUAACCAAAUUUAUUAUUUUGUACCUAUAAAUUUGAGAUAGAGAAAAUCAUAAUAAGUAAUUAAUUAAACUUAAUAAGCUUAUAGAAAAUUAAUCACAAAUAGGCAAAAGACAACAAAAAUGCUUCCCCCACACUUAAUCGACAUUAUUGUCCCCAAUGUAUUUGUUAUAUAACGUACAAUAAAAUAAAAUAAGGAGGAGACUUAAACCGAAUGAUUGUCGUUUUUUUUUAAUUCAAAAUUCAUUCUAAUUCACAAGUCAUCUGUUUAUCUAUCGCACAUCUAAGAAUAGAAAUAAAUGUUAUAACAUAUAUAGUCAUCCAAUAACAAAAGAAAACAAAAACACUAAAAAUAAAAAAACCAUAAAUAUCCUAAUUAAGUACAAUCAUCUAAAAAUAAAAUAAAAGACAUAGAAACAAAUCAAAAUAAAAGUCCAGCUCAAAUGCUAGAACAAGGUGGAGGUUCAAAUCCUCCAUACCAUCAUCUCCACCAACCUACAUCAAGGAGCUUAAUCAUCACCACCAAAAAUGCAUAUUCUAAAUGAGAUAAGAAUUGCUUAAGCUUCAAAGUUAGUAGGUAUUUAAUAGGAGGCUUCAUUCUUUCUUUGAUGGGCAUCUCAAUAGCUUUUGAUGUUUUCAGUUUUUCUGGUUUCUGCACAAGACACAACUCAAAAGUAUCUUUAGCAAUAAUAGAUAAAAUUAAAUUGACAAUUUCAUGCUCUAUCAUAUCAACACUAGAAUCCAUAUCAUUAAGUGCAAGUGGGUGUUUUAUGCCAUUGGGGGUUUAAAAAGUCAAUUGCUCAUCCCCUACCCUAAGAAUGAGUUUACCAUCAUGAACAUUAAUAUAGUUCUAGCUGUAGCAAGAAAGGAUUUAUCAAGAAUAAGGAAAACAUCAACAUCCUCAUCUAUAUUCAUGAUCAUAAAAUCCACAAGAAGAAUAAACUCUUGAACCUUUACCAAAACAUCUUCAAUGAUAUCCCUAAGGUAUACAACAGAUUUAUCAGCUAGUUGAACACUCAUGAGUGUUGGUUUAGGUUCUCUAAGUCCUAGUUUCUUAGAAAAAUUAUAAGGCAUAACACUAAUGCUAGCCUCCAAGUUAGCAAGUGCAUUUUCAACAUUUAAAUUACUAAGCUUCUUUCGUAAUCGCCUCUCAAAGAUCGCCGAGCUCUUCUCUGAUAGUUGCACCAUUGACACUUCCUUAAGCUUCCUCUUGUUAGAGAGGAGUUCCUUUAAGAACUUAGCAUACUUAGAAAUUUACGAUAGAGCUCCUAUAAAAGGUAUGUUAAUAUGCAACUACUUAAAGAGUUCAAGAAACUUACUAAAUUUUAUAUCCAAUUUGUCCUACAGAAGAUGGGCUGGAAAUGGUACCCUUGGUUUAUACUCCUUCACAAAAGGGGUAGGCUUUGGUGUUACUUCUACUUUAUCUUCUACUUUAUCUUUAACCGCAUCAGAUUGCUUUUCUGCUUACUUUGUUUCAGUUCAUAAUUAUUUUCCAUUUCUGAAAGUAAUGACCUUGAGUUGCUCUCUAGGAUUUGUCUCUAUGUUGCUAGGCAAGCUUCCUUGGGACCUUUCACUCAAAAGCUUUAUAAUCUGCCCCACUUGAUUUUUUAAGUUGUGAAUCGAAUCUUGUUGGUUCCUAAGAGCAGUUUUUGUAUACUGAAACCUUAAUUCAGAAGCUAAGAUAAAUUUCUCCAUCAUCUCCUCUAAAUUACUCCUUCUAGGAGGAGCUUGUUGCUGGUUUUGCUAUUGAAAUCCUGGUGGUGGAGGUCUUUGCUGAUUCUGAUUCCCCCAAGAGAAAUUCAGAUGAUUUCUCCAUCCUAAAUUAUAUUUAUUGCUGUAGGGGUUGUUCUAUUGGUCUGAAGCAUUACCCAUAUAAUAAACAUGCUUUAGCUUAGCAAAAGUAUUGCCAUUUUGGCAAUCUUGACAUAGAUGACCACACCUAUACCAAUCACAAGUCAUAACUUGUGCCUGUCUUCCAGAUGAAGACAUAGUCAAAGCAUCCAUCUUCCUGCUCAUAGCCUUUCACUGUGCAUUUACAGUUACCAUAGGGUCUACCGCAUGGAUUCCACUCCUUUUGACUCGAACCUACUCUCUUGGAUUCUGCCAUUGAUAGUUCGUGACUGCCAUAUCCUCAAUAAGAUCCAUAGCUUGCUCAAGAGUCUUAUUGUUUAGUGAUCUACCUGCUGUAGUAUUAAUAGACUAUUUACUUGCGUAAUUCAGUCCAUUAAAGAAUGUUUGAAUUUGUAGCCAUAAAAGUAAAUCAUGGUGUGGAUGGCUUCUCAGUAAAUCUUUGAAACAUUCUCAACAAUUGUAUAGAGUCUCAUUCUCUUACUGAAGAAACCUUGUUAUGUCAUUCCUUAACUUGGCCAUCUUAGAAGGUGAAAAAUAUCUUUCCAAGAGUUUCUCGGCCAGCUGAUUCCAAGUCGUAAAUAUCCUACUUGGAAAUAACUUCAACCACUUCUUUGGCUUAUCCCUUAAUGAAAAUGGGAAUAGCCUCAACCGAAUAGCACCAUCUAAUACCCUAUUAAUCUUGAAGGUAUCGCAAAUCUCCAGAAAAUCAUUUAAAUGGGUGUUUGGAUUACCAUUUGAAUGAUGUUAGGCUUGAUCUCGAAGUUUUUUACUACAACAUUUGACCUUAUAAUACUCGAUGUGGCCCCAUUAAGAGUUUGGCAUGCAUACUCCUGCAUGAUUCUCUCCCUCGGUGGAGCUGCCAUCCUUAACUAUUCCCCUUCUUAGUUUGGUUCUCCUUCUUGAUUUCGAUUCUGUAACUCUGCUGGCAUUUCGGCUAAAGCUCGUUCUCGUUCUUCUCUUUGUUGCUUCCUUAAAGUUCUUUCCAACUCUAGUUCGUAAGCAAAUAAUUCAGUUGAACUAGCUCGGGUCAUAUACAAAUUCAAGUAUUUACAGAAAAUACAAACAUAACAAAGAUAAAUCAAAUGAAAAAUAAAAAUGCUAAAUUACUAGCUUUUGAAUUACUAAUGAUAUCACAAUAGAAAAUAGGUCCCCGAUAACGGCGCCAAAAAUUUGAUGCGUGCUAUCUGCACAUGGCAAAGUGCACCAAUCGUAUCAAGUAAUAUAAUAAUGAAUGAGAGUAUCGUUCUACUAGUGACCUAAUUAUGAGUAUUACUUUCAAUCAUACACUAAUGUUUAACAAUAAUAAUGUUGUUGAGGUGUAAUAAUAUUUAAAAGUAAAAUAAUCUUUAAAACAAAGAUUAAGACAAUUGGUAAAGCCUAUUUAGGUAAUGAAUCCCCCUAAUAAGUUAAGUAUUUCAUGAAACAAACAACAAUUUCAAAUCAAGAAUUGAGUUAGCAUUCUACAAAAUUAGGUUUAAACCUUUCUCAAGUGAUUAAACUCCUAAUUCAUAAACGGAGGGAGAGAAAAUCCCUUCUCGAACCCACUCACUUAGGUCAUACAUUAAGAUUAAGAAACUAUUGAACCGAAGAAUCUUGUAGAUCUAUCUCUAAUAUAUCAAUUCUCAAUCCCUAAGAUGUGAUCAAUUUAUAAAAAGUUAUCUCUAAUCAGUUUAUGAAAAUAAAUCUCAAUCAAUACAUCGACUUAUCAAUUAAAAUAGAUAAUUUAGCAAUCAAACGAACAAAAUAACUCAUAGAAAAGAUUAAUUUUAUUAACUUUGAAUCAAUUCAUGCAAAAUAAAUUAGGGUUCAUCAAAAUCCAAAUAGUAAGAAAACUAGUUCCUAAACAUGACAAUAGAGAAAUAAAGAUUAGAGAAAAAAGAUCUCAAACUAUUUAUAGAAGAAUAGGGAUGGAAAUCUUCAAUCUCGGAAAGUAAUGAAGGAAUUGAUAUUCUUCCUUCAGAAAUAUUAAUCAAAACCUUAAAAAUGAAAGAAAGAGAAAGUUUAUAAGUGUUUCUUUCUCUAAAAAUAAAAAUAUAACGGAACUUUCUCAACACAACCCUAAAAGUUACUUAAAUAGUGUAUUUUUAUUACACGGGCACCACACAGCCGUGUGACGUCCUUAGCUUUUCGUAACUUGAAUAUGUGUCUCUUUUCAUUCUUUACUUUGCAGACUAUUUUAGGGCAUCGUAAAAAUCUAAUUGAGGCUUACAUUCUUUAUCAAAUUUUAGCUCUUGGAGAUUAGUUCAUUUUAAUAUUUUGAAUCACCUCAAUAAGACCUCUAUAUCUCUAAAUAAGGCCUAAACACUAAGAUUGACCUAAACAAAGACGGACUGCACAACAUCUGAUUUCGAUCCAAGUUUUCUCAUCCUUAGCAACCUAAUAUGGAGUUAAGCCAUUCAUAAGAAUUAUAGCUUAGGAGGUCCUCUAUAAAGUUGAUGAAGACCACUUUUCAAUCCUGGACCUUUAAGAUCACAAAAAAGUAUAUUGAAGCUAAUGAAAUCAAAUAUGCGUAAUGCUGAAAUUCGCCUAUUAAUAUGACACGAGAAGCACACGCCCGUAUGGGCUUCCCAUGUGGACCCUUCAUGCAUUUGCCAUUUCUCACAAUGGAAGACUACAUGCUUGUGUGGCUUCCCGUUUCACACUGAGUUUUGGAUAAAUAUGACUUUCUUUUGCCCGAUUCUCAUACUUUUUAAUUUUAUUUGACUCUUUGAUAUGUAUUAUCCUUAAAGUGCCUAAAACAAUUAAAAAUUAAGCUUGAACAAACAAAUCAAACUCAAUUGAAAGUAAAAUCAAUAUAAAAUAAAGCUAAAUAAUAAGUGCUUUUAGCACUUAUCAAGAAAUGAACUCUUUUUUUAAAAUGCAAGCUUGUGGAAGGAGCGAAUGAUAUCUGACAUUCUUUGUUUUUAGCUGAAAUUGCAAGGACUGCCGAAGGUCAUGGUAGUAGAAGCUAUAACGAGUUGCUUGUCUAUUAGACACCUUCAAAGGGACCCAGUUUAAAGCUCAACACUGAUGUGGCUUUCUGCUCGAAUACUAUGCAUGUGAAUGGGGGUGGGGUUCUGCAGGAUGUUAAGGCUAUGUGGCAGGAAAGCUUUAUCAUGAAUAUAGGGUGUUGCUCAAUUACUAAGGUGCAGGUAUGGGCCUAUUUAAAGGUCUACAUUUUGCUUGGGAGAGAGGAGUUUGAAACCUAGAAUUAGGGCUGAUAGCUUGUGUAUCGUGCAGCUUGUCGAAAGUCAAAAAUUAGGGAUCAACACUCACUGCCAGCUUACGAAGGGUAUUAAGAAUCUUUUGUCUAGGAAUUGGCAAGUCUUAUUAAGGCAUAUCUUCAGAGAGGCCAACAGGGUAGCUAAUUAGCUAAUAAGCUUUGCUUCAACUUUUCCAUUGGUUUUUAUAGGGAUAAUAAUAUAAAUGGUCACUAAACUUUGCAAUUAAUUUUAUUUGGAUUAUAAAAUUUUAAUUUAUUUUAUUUCAACAAUUCAAUAUUAGUUUUAGUUGUAAUUUAGUCACUUUGCCAAUAAAAAAUUGCCAUGUCACAAUUUUCUUACUUAAUUAUAUUUUUCUUAUUAAUUGUUUUUACUACCAUCAAUCUUGUAUUUAAGAAGUGAAUAAUUGAAAUAAAAUUAAGAUUAAAUGACAAACAAAAAAAAAAAGAUUUUAUGAUUAAAAUAAAACGGAAUACAAAGUUGUUUUAAAGAAUCCGCCGGUCAUCUCUUAUUUCAGGAUGUUGUUGACUACUAGUAGAGUUAUCAGUAUUUAUUAGCUUUCUUUAAAUCUCUUUUUUGUAAAAGAAGAAAAAAAGGAGUGCGAGUCAAUUUUUCAGUUCAACAUUUAUUCUCAAGUAGAAGCUCUCUCUUAUUACAAACUGAAGAGAUGAGACCAUCCAUCAAAGUCUUCUUUUAUUUUUCCGGACUUCGCAUUGACCUACACAUCCCCCCGCUCCCCAUAGAAAAAGAUAAAAAAAGGCCAUGUACGCCUUUCUCAGUACAAAGCUUAAGCAUCAUAAUGCCUUCUUCCUGACUGGAACCUUGAGCUACCUAAGGUUGUUUCCUCUCUAGCAAACUUGAUUCUCCUUGCCUCUUCUAUCGAC